UGCUCACAAUUAAUCCGACUACACACGAGCUUCUCUCCCUGGCCAAGACACAAUCAUAGUAUGAUGAAGAACAUGGCACUAGCCGGCAAUGGUAUGAAGAAGUUAAUCCUCGCUGUUCUCUUACUCUGUCUAGUUAUAGGGCAGAUACAAGUGGAAGCUAAGAGCUGCUGCCCAUCCACCACUGCAAGAAAUAUCUACAAUACCUGCCGUUUCGGGGGUGCAUCCCGUUCAAUGUGUGCAAAACUGUCAGGCUGCAAAAUUAUCAGUGGGAACAAAUGCAAGCCCCCUAACGACCACCUCACCCUUGACCCGGACACUGGUAAAUAAUAAAUUUAUCUCACUUGAUUUCUUCGUGAUUUGAGUCGUUAAUGUAUUUUCCAUCUGAUGAAACGUAUUGGUUUUGCAUUGAAGAGGAAGUUAAUGUGCUUAACUUCUGCAAGUUGGGGUGUGCGUCGUCUGUGUGCAACAACAUCAACGCUGGUAAGCACCUUUUGCUCAGACGGAGAAAACAAUAAUCAUUAAUUAGCGGCAGCUAGAAUCCUAUAAUCUAAUAUAUUUAUAUAUAUAUAUAAUUUUAUCAGCUCUGGGAAAUGAAGAGGCGAACGAUGCCGUUGAGAGUUGCGACCAAGCCUGCUCUAGCUUCUGCAGCGUGCAUGUUGGCAGCGCCACCGUGGUUGCUUAAGCAAAUGCAUGCAACUAGAUCGUCCUUGUGCUGAAUAAUUGGAUAUCGUAUCCACUUAAAGCUGCCUUGUGUAGUACGUCUUUGUUUGUGUCUCUCUUUAUAUUCCACUAAGGUCGGUGAUCUUGAUGCCACACACACUCAGAUGUGUGUUCAUCUCCAGAUACUACUCCAUGCUACCUGCCCUUUUUGUUUUGUUCAAUAACUGGGUAUCAUAUCCCGGCCAGUGUGCCAUCUAUUUUGUGUUUGUUUCCUUCUAGUUCCAAAGGGGUCAUCAUGAUGUUACCUUCUUUCGAUAUGGUGCUUUGCAUGACAACUGUUGUAUGGUACCAUCUUGUUGGCCAAUAAAUACAUCUUAUCCUAUGACCCUUUGCUAUGACCCUUUGCAAAUAAGUACAAGAUUGUUAUAAGCGUCAAUACUCAGUAUAAUUGAUCGCUGCUGUGAGUUCCCUUUCAGCUUAUCGUAGGCACACAUUAUUGCUAGCACGGUAAAGACAACCAACACGAAUGAUGAAGUAAACGUAGCGGUACUUUUGUAUACCAACACCCUUACUUAAAUGUACUGGUGUCAUUCCCUACUGGCACAUAUAUUCUUAUAUGCUAGCCAGAUUGGAAAAUUAACCAAUUAAAAUAAUUAUUUCAAGAUAGAAAUAACUUAUCGGCUUCUCGAAGCAUGUGUAAUUUUAAUUCAAGGACUCAAUGGAAGUUGAAUCACUUCAUCUAGAUUGCCUUCUGGAUUUUGGUUAACUAAAUUUAACAUUUGUGUCGGGGGGAAAUAUUAACGAUUUUCUUACGCUCUCUAAUUAACGGAUACAAGGGCUAGGGCCCACCCCUAAUACCCAUAAUCUCCGCUAACAACACAUCCCAGAGGCACUCCGCUCCGCCUCGCCCGACUUCAGGGUCGCAGGGUCGGACGUGCCCGACCCCCCAAGGCCUCGCCUCGUCUCAGCCGAUGGAGUUCCGCCUCGCCCGACCCUGAGCCCAACGGAUCGGACGCGCCCGACCCCUCGAAGCAGGACUCCGCCUCGCCCGACCCUGAGCGCAAGCGGUCGGACGUGUCCGGUCCCACCUGACAGAGCUCCGCCUACCCGAAGGUACGAGCAGGUCAUCAGACGGAAGCGCGGGCUCUGUGAGUCCCCCUGGGCUCACCCAACCGAUGGGACCGCGCAAGCUUCCAGAUACAGUUCUGACACAUGGAGAGGCGCCCGCGUUCCUCGACAUGACCUGUCAAAAUGUUGGUCUGCGCACUGCUGCCACGACUGCACAGGGCUACACCUGCACCGUCCUACCCCACUGUGACAUCUGUCAUAGGGCACUCAUCGCUCAUACCAUCUAAUGGAGGAGGGAAAACCGCCUAGUUUUCCACGUGGGCUAGCAAGAAGAGCACGUCAGCCACGCCGCCCCGUCAGGGUGCAUGGCUACAGUGGUUGACCAUCACCCGCGACGUGCACAGUCACAGUGGCCAGUCGUCACCACCAACUUGCACAGCUACAGUGGUCGGCCGCCAUGCACGACUCGCGUGUCCGGCUACAGUGACCGACCGCCGAGUCACCGAUGGGACCCAACGGCAACCCCUAUCCCUUAGUAGCAGUACCGACAAGACGCAGAGACAAGAAGGGAAGACGACGUCUCUAGUAGCCCCACUUGCUUCCCUUUUUACCUUUCUACCUGUUUACCUUCCUUACUCCCGGCUCAUUUGUAACCUCUGUAUCCUCCUUGCACUAUAAAAGGAGACCAGGGGGUCUGAGGGCAAGGGACCCUCGGAGACCGAACCCCGAAUUCACCCAAGUACAAACCAACCGAACCACCAGACGAGAAAGACUCACAGAGAUCUGGGAACCAGCUUCCCUCUCUCACCUAUUUGUAGCCUCUACUCCAGACUUGGUACGAGUAACACGAGCAGCCACCCGCACUGGACUCCUCCGCCAGAAACUGGUCCAACCAGUCGGGUCCCUCCCCCUGCUCUUCGUCCUCAUCAUCCUCAUCAUCGUCGUCCUCAUCCGUUGCCGUGUCUGGCCCCUCCGCAGCCUUCAGAACUCCGCUGCAGCUUUCUUUUUCUUCCUCACCGUCUCCUUGUCCUUCCUCUUCUUCUGUGCUUCGUCGAGGAGGCGGUUCCGCUGCCUCUGCACCACGUCCUCUGGCACCGGUGGACGGGAGGCUGUGACAUGGUUUAAGUUACCCUGCAGAUUCGAAGACUCCGCGUCAGAAUAGCAAACCAGGAAAUGCAGGAAAGAAGAACGAGAGUGCAAAUUUCUAACCAGCAGGACAUAGGCCUCGUCCGGGCGCAUCGGAGGGUGCCCCGGCACCGGGAACACGACAUCCCUGUCACCCAAUGCAUCCCGGACACGCUGCUCGAUCUCGGCGUCGGCAAUUGCACCCGUCGCAAGGACGGUGCUGUGGUACGCCCCAACAACUCCGGCCCCGGUCAGGCCCUCCUCCUUCAGAAGGUUGAUGGCUUCGAGGAGACCCCGGAUAUUCUUCUUCUCCUUCUCAACAGGGCCAUAUGUCCACGUUCCCGGUGCCUCCACGAUGACGCGGCCAGUGAACUCCGUCAAGAGGACAUCGGGGCGGUUCUUCACAUAGAGCCACUGCUGAUGCCACCCUUUGUGGGAUGACGGGGUCUUCAUCGAUGUAUACUCCUUGGGCCGAUGGCCACAGAGGUGGAUGCCGGCACACCCCAUCAGCAUCGGAAUCGUCCGCGUCUGGUUUCCUCUCUUCUCGGUCCUCUGAUGAAGAGUGACAGCGAAGAAGUACUUCCACAGGGCGAAGUUGGGCUCGAUCCCCAGGUAUCCCUCCCAAAGCACGACGAACGCCGCGAUGUGCUGGAUUCCGUUGGGGUUGAGGUGCUCCAGCUCAAUGCUAUAGUAGUGCAGCAGCCCCCGGAAGAAGCGACUUGGGGGAACCGCGAACCCCCUCUCGUGGAAGUGCGCGAAGGAGACGAUGUACCCGUCCUCCGGCUGUAGCACGGCCUUGUUCCCGGGAUACCGCCACUCGUUCUCGGCGAUCCUAUCGCGAAGAAGGCCCUUCUUCACGAGACCGAUCACGCGCGCGGUGUUGAAGAUUGACCAAGACCUUGAAUCCAUCGCCGAGGAAGGGGAAGGCUCGACGGCGGUGGUGGAAAGGUGAAUGCUCUGGCUCGAAAGAGGAUGAAAAGUGAACAAGGAGGCGAGAAAGGCUGAAGACGAGUGCGGAGCGGAGCAAGCAAGGUAAGCUCUCUCGUUUUACAGGGGGCGUGCGAGAAACGAAAGGCGAACCGAACGCAUUUAUUGCGACGUCAGGUAUGCCCCAUCGCCUCCGCCUUUCUUCGGAAACCGUACGCAUGAUUUCUUUUUAACCGCAGGGAACGCUACGCCCCCUCGCCCCACGAGCCCGGUGUUUUUUGCCGCUUCGUCUCCUGGAGGUCAUGCGCACAACUUCCUCCACAAGCGGCCCAGGGCCCGCUUCAGGUAAAAAAGGGAUACAGAGCUGAAAACACUCUAACGGCCCAUUACGGUCCAGGGGUUCGAAGGCUGGCCCUCUAGAGGGUUCGACAUCCACCCCAGGACAUUUCUUGAGCAAGGGGUGAGAAGGGACGGGUCCGCUAGCGACCACUACCCUGGUGAACAAAAGCCAAGGGCGUCCCGACCUCACAUUUGAGUCUCGAUUGGCGUUUAAGUUCAUGGUUUUUCCCCGAAGAAAGGCAAAGUGCCCCCGGAUCCGGUUGAACAGACCUGGGAACUAUAUGAACUGGCCGUCCGAAAUCUGGAGUACGCCACCAGCUUGGCCCAAGCCGGACCCGCCCGAACAGGGACCGGGACUCCACUCGAACUGACCCGUUAGCAGCUCACCGAGCACCAUGGUUCGUCCGAUGAGGAUAACAUGGCACGGCUCACCCCCUCCGUCCCAACGAACGGACGCUGAGGGGUAACGACUAAAAGACGAUCCGACCUCUCGAUCGGUCCCCUGCAAUGCGCGGGGGCUCGAGGGCUGGAAUCACAACGAAACGACCAUGCGCAUGGUUACGACUCGGAAUUUUGAGGCAGGAAUGGUCAUUGAAACAAUAGGGAAUCUUCCCAAACCGUACCAUCCUCAGAACACUCUGGCUACCCAAAACUCCCCGGCCAGGCCAAACAAGCAAAACUUUUCUCCUGAUCAAAUCAAGGUACAUGUUAAACAAGACCCCUGACAAACACUCUGCCGAGAGCCAAUCACAGCCUCUGGAGGAGCACCUUGCUCCACCAAAGGCUCGGGGCCUACUGUCAGGGGGAAAUAUUAACAAUUUUCUUACGCUCCCUAAUUAAUGGACACAAGGGCCAAGGCCCACCCCUGACACCCGUAAUCUCCACCAACAACACAUCCCAGAGGCACUCCGCUCCGCCUCGCCCGACUACAGGGUCACAGGGUCGGACACGCCCGACCCCCCGAGGUCUCGCCUCAUCUCAGCUGAUGGAGUUCCGCCUCACCCGACCCCAGGCGUAAGGGGUUGGACGCGCCCAACCCCUCAAAGCAGGACUCCGCCUCGCCCGACCCCGAGCGCAAGGGGUUGGACACAUCGGAUCCCACUAGACAGAGCUCCGCCUCGCCCGAAGGUAUGAGUAGGUCAUCAGACGGAAGCGCGGGCUUUAUGAGUCCCCCCAGGCUCACCUAACCGAUGGGACGCGCACAAUUCUAGAUACAGUUCUGACACGUGGAGAGGUGCCCGCGUUCCUCGACAUGACCUGUCGGAAUGUUGGUCUGCACACUACUGCCACGACUGCACAGGGCUACAACUGCACCGUCCUACCCCACUGUGACAUCUAUCAUAGGGCACUUAUCGCCCAUGCCGUCUAACGGAGGAGGGCAAACCGCUUGGUUUUCCGCGCAGCCUAGCAACUACAGCACGUCAGCCACGCUGCCCCGUCAGGAUGCAUGGCUACAGUGGUUGACCGUCGUCCGCGACGUGCACAGCUACAAUGGCCAGUCGUCACCACCAACUUGCACAGCUACAGUGGUCGGCCGCCAUGCACGACCCGCGUGUCCGGCUACAGUGGCCGACUGCCGAGUCACCAAUGGGAUCCAACGGCAACCCCCAUCCCUCAGUAGCAGUACCGACAAGACGCAAAGACAAUAAGGGAAGACGGUGUCUCCAGUAGCCCUACUUGCUUCGCUUUUUACCUUUCUACCUUUUUACCUUCCUUACUCCUGGCUCAUUUGUAACCCCUGUGUCCUCCUUGCACUAUAAAAGGAGACCAGGGGGCCCGAGGGCAGGGGACCCCCGGAGACCGAACCCCGAAUUCACCCAAGUACGAACCAACCGGACCACCAGACGAGAAACACUCACAAAGAUCUGGGAACCAGCUUCCCUCUCUUGCCUGUUUGUAGCCCCUACUAUAGACUUGGUACGAGUAACACGAGCAGCCACCCGCACUGGACGUAGGGCUAUUCCUGCCCGAACCAGUAUAAACCUCGCGCCCUCUCGUACAACCAUCCAAGCCUUACGCGUAGAGAAACAAAUUUACUAAGCCGGUAGUCUUGACCCGUGAUUCGUGAGACCGACAAUUUGCACAUACAAAUGUUAAAGUACAAAUGUUAAAUCUAGUUACCAAGCAGAAUACGAAAUAGCGGGCUAUAGUGAGGCUAUAGCGGCGCUAACUGCUGCAACAACAGUGUUGUACUAAUUAGCAGGCUAUAGCGGAGCUAUAGCGGUUGAGCACAGCUCUACGCUAAAUAUCAUAGCCCUCAAUUUUGUACAUUGUAUAUACUAUAUAAAUCUAGUUAACAUUUAGUCUAAAUGUUAAAUCGAGUUACCUAAAAUCCUGAAAGCAAAAUGUAUAAAUAUAUAUCUUUUAGGGUAGUAUAAGCUUCGAUUCCUUUUGCUGCUCUGUUAAAUCUCAUCUUUCGUUGUAGCCCAACACUCUAGUAUUGAUUUUGCACCAAGCUUCUUUGAGCCGCUCUGCCCUCUGAUUUUGCUGCGUAGGGGAAUCUUUAUCAGGUUGGGCUACUUCCAGUCGUGCGAUGUAUACCUUUGUAUCUUCUAGAAGGUAGACAGAAAACCCGCGUUCUCUUAAGGCAACAACCAGAAGAUUCUGCAGCGCACGGGGCAUAUCAUUGUUGUAGAAACGACCUUUAGUAUCGAUCUCCAACCCCUUAUAGUACUGGUUUUGCAACCAGUACCGUUAUGUCGGACCUUUAGUACCAGAUCAAAUAACCGGUUCUAAAGGGACUCCUUUAGUACCGGUUGGUAACCAGUAUCAACUUGUUUUGCGGCCAAAAAAAUAAAGAAAAAAAUAGCCAGAAGGCUAGCACACACACACAUCCCACGAAAUAUGCGCGUGCGCGGUCCAUGGGAUUCGAACCCAUGAAAUCAAGCUGCGCGCAACCCUUCGUUACCAUCUCACCUUCAGUACCGGGUCAUAACACCACCCGGUACUAGUAUCGGAUGCUGUAAUGACUCGAUACUAAAAGGCCUCUAGGGACCCUCAAAUUUGGACCCGAUACUAAUGCUAACAUUAGUACCGGGUCAAAGUGCAGCCAGUACUAAAGCAUGGGACGAAAGGUCAUAUUUCUAGUAGUGUAUAGUUGUUGUGUAGGACUGACUUGGCUGUCCUCUCUCUUCUCCAUCCCAUUGGUCUUACGCCGCCGCUCGCACGCGAGCCGGCACCCAACCAGAGGAGUGAGAGCUAGGGGCGGGUUGGGAGGUGGGGGUAGCGACUGGUGGCUAGGGUGAUGGUUGAUGUUGGCGGGGUUAGGGUUUCAUGGUUUUCAAGCUACCUACGGCCGGCGAACCUAGAGGAGGAGGUCGACAUCAGCUGCAACCCGCGGUGGUGGUGGUUUGGCCGGCGCCCCAGGCGAGGCAGCGUGGGAGUGCUGCUGGCGGGUUGGUGUUGGCGCUCAUUAUUGACACAUUUUUAGUACUAUUUUGUUCAUGGAAUAACACUCAAACGUGCUGGUGCUGCUGCCGCCAUCGCCGCCCUAGCCAUAAUAUAAAGGCAAAAUUUGCUAGAGGACAUGCAAAAUGAUGCUAGUUUGCUGGAGGGCACCGUUGACCAUGUAAUAUGCUACAAGACACUCUAGUUGUUCUAGAGUGUAUCAAUUUGCUGAAAGACAUUGCUACGACUAAAAUAAUGUUUCUGGACUGAGUUGGAGAGAGAGAUGGAGUGAAAUGUCUGUUUUGCCCAUGACCCCACUGAUCAGAUCCUUCUUCUUCCACCCUCCUUUCUUCUUUCUUCAACCAUUACCCAGCUCUAGUGUGUUGCAGAUCUACGAGGGUGGCGGCCCGGGGCGAGGGGCAUCGCUUGCCCUCAGACGAGCGCCGCGAGCGACGGCGCGGGGGCAGCAACGGCGCGUCGGAACCUGACCGUUCGUUAGCUCCUCUCGCUGCUGGGGAAGGAGGGGGAGGGGCCAUGGACGGGGUUCCCUCGAAAACCUUAGCCUCGAGCUCAGGCGGCUACGCGCAGGCAGCACUAGGCUCUUCGCGGGGAGGGGGCGCGGCCAAUCAUUGGCACCCCACUGGUCCAAUGCUGAUGAAGAUGGUGCCAGCGUCGUGAAGAUGGUGCCAGCGUCGUGUGAGGACCUCUCAUCUCCUCGAGUUCCAUGGCCAGCACAGGUGAGCGUCCGCUACCACAAAACAGAGGUGUCGUGAGAGUCAAAAAAACUCAUGAAAAUAGCUAAAACCAUCAUGAAAAUAAUCCAUGACACGACACUCUAACGAAAAUCCUCUCACAAAUAUGGUGCCAUCAAAAUACCAUUUUCAUGAGAGUGAACUGUCAUGAUUUUAUUUCGUGAGAGUAUUUCCUAUCAAUGACCUCCACGAAAUACUUUGUGCCACCAGGUCUUCAAGAUCAUUUUCAUGAGAGCCGAACGUCACGAAAGGUCCGCCACAAAUGUUUUUCCUGGGAGCCUCUAACUCUCAUCAAAAGCAUGUGGGCCGCCGCGAAAAACAGCCUGACCAAAUGACAAUUUUCAUUUUCAUGUGCUCUUACCGCCAUGAAAAUGGUCAUUUUCAUGAGAGUUGAUGAAACAAAAAAAUAGUGCCAUUUUCAUGAGAGUUCAAGCAACCAGGAAAAGGCACUAAUAAACAUCCAGAUCCCAUCCAGCACACAUCCAUGCACAUAUAUAACCCACAUAUUGCUCCAGCAACAUCCAUGCAUAUACAAGAUCCAAAUGUCUUGGUAUGAACCUACAUGCAUGUGAUGAACCAGUAACCUGCAAAAAGAGCUCAUAGGAUCUUGUCCUCAUAUUGUAGCUGUGAAAUUCUUGCAAGUAGUGUUGCAAUCAGUUCACUUUGAACCAAAAGAGCUCAAAGGAUCAUGUCCUCAAAGUUCCUCUUAAAGCUUAUGGGUUUGCUGGUGGAACUGGAAGGGCUUGAUGCAGCAUGCCAUUCUGCAAUAGAGAAAAAUUUAGAAAGCUGUACUAGUUAAAAUUGGAUGCAGCAGAGACACAUGAAACUAGUAUUUAUACAAUUCUAUAUAUAUAAUAAUUUGUCCCCUAAAUUUUUAGGAUCCUCUCGACGGUGGUGAGUCUUCCAGUAAGGCAAUUGAAUGUCCAUCGUGAUAAAAUUCUCCUUUGGAUUUAUCAUCUUCUCAACCAGAAAUCCUAGGAGUUCAUCCUUAAGCCUUACCAGUUGUAAUUUGGAAAUAUGUGAAAGUUAAACGAACAAUUAAAAUCUAAGGAUCCUUAUCAUCAUUUCCAUACGUUUGCGAAUUAAAAUAAUGAAGGAUACAAUGUUAGGUGAAAAUUCAAGAAACAAAAUUUUGUAUAGAGAUAAUGGUCCGACAUUAUUACAAGUUAAAGUUGUUUUAAAUAUCCUUGUAAUCUUCCUUUGGUUUCCUCGACGAUUCCAAGACAGUAACCUUGCUUCUAUCAAUGAUAAUUAUAAGGAGAACCCAAUGAAAACUGUGUAUUCAUAUUAGAACUAACUAAGGUUAAUUCGGAUAGGAAAGGAAAUCAAAAAUAGAUGGUACCCACACUUACUUAAAGUUGUAGGGUAGUAGUAUGUAAUGCUUGUAAUUCUGUUGCUCCAAGAAUUUGUAUAUGUGGUUCAAUGUAGACUUUGGUUGAUCCUGUAUCUGCUGUUGGUUGAAUAAGUGUUUCUAACCAUUUCUAGCCGUUAGAACUGGGACUAAAGGGAGCUCUUAGUGCUGGUUGAUAUUACUAGUCGGGACUAAAGAGCCCCCGUUAGAGUUGGUUUUCGGACGUGGAACUAACCACUCCUUUAGUCUCAAGUCCAAAAAUGAUUGAGACAUUUGUUGCUGGAUGGAACACUAGUAGAGAAUUGGCUUUCGAUGCGCCCCCUUUUGUCCCGGUUUAAAGUUGGACUGGGACAAAAGAGGGUGCGCCACGGUAGGUAAAAAUGGAGGGGGGAGUUAGUCCCGGUUGGUAAUUGCAACCGGGACUAGAGGCCCCCCUUUAGUCCCGGUUGCAAUGGCUAGCUGGGGGGCGUCGGUGGCGGCACCUUUUUGUCCCGGUUGGAGUCUCCAACCGGGAUAAAAGGUCCACCCUUUUAUCCCGGUUGGAGGCUCCAACCGGGACAAAAAGUUUAGUCCCGGUUGGAGCUUCCAACCGGGAUAAAAGGGUGUCCCUUUUGUCCUAGUUGGAGCCUCCAACCGGGACUAAACUUUCAACCGGGACAAAAGGUGUGGUUGGAGUUUUUAACUGGGAUAAAAACUCAUCCCCCAUUAUAUACCAAGACAGAGGACUUUCUUCCUCCUCCAGCCCGAGCCAGUCCAGCACAUUCACAGAGAGUUGACCUUCACCUACUCUCCGGUGGUGCCGAAGCAAGGAGGUGCUGCCCGAAGUUUUUUCCCUCAUUUUCGUGGGAAUUUCACUCAGCUAACACAAGUGUUGUGAAGGUUUGCUACUUCAUCCUCGUUUAUGCUUUGAUUUAUGCUUUGGAGAUGGAAAGAUUAUUUGUUAGAAUGUGAUGAAGUAGAAAAUGGAGAGAAUAUUUUGAGCUAGAAUGUGAGGGAGAUUGAUGUGUCAUAUAUAGUAUGCAUUCUUGCAGUGGUUUAAGAAUGAUGCUACCUUGUCCAGACAAUUUAUCUUAUCAAAUUCAAUAUAGUUUUUCAAAUCCAUACUUGUUGAACUUGCAUACCGUGUUCAUCUCUACGAGGAUAUUCUCUGCCGAGCAGCAACGUAUGUCAAGAAGGAGGUUCGAUUCUACGAGGAAGAGUGGAUACGGACAUCGUGACCGUGUCCCCUUUUCCGUAGCAUCUAACCUCUUUCAUGAUGAAGUGCGGUGCCGCCCAGUUGAGAACAUGCUCGCGAGAUGAACACAGUAUGCAAGUUCAACAACUUCUGCAGUAGUAAGGAAAGAAUUUUUGUACAUAGAUGACUUCUGCUACUUGUUGAACUUAUCAAAUUCAAGAAGGUUUUUCAAAUCCAUACUUGUUGAACUUGCAUACCGUGGUCAUCUCGCAGAGGAUGUUCUCCGCCGAGCAGCAACGUAUGUCAAGAAGGAGGUUCGAUUCUACGAGGAAGAGUGGAUACAGACAUCGUGACCGUGUCCCCUUUUCCGUAGAAUCGAACCUCUUUCAUGACGAAGUGCGGUGCCGCCCAGUUGAGGACAUGCUCGCGAGAUGAUCACGGUCUUUAAGUUUAACAACUUAUGCAGUGUUAAGGUAAUAAUUUUUGUACAUAGAUGGCUUCUGCUACUGGAGAAAGUGGCGAUGGUGGGGGUGAUCGUGGUUCCUCUUUCGGCAAGGGGAAAAUCAUAGUUGGCCCUCAGCAUAAGCCAAAGAAAAAGAGCGCACUGGAAAAAGCAAUGCUUCGUUAUUUGCAGCAACGUCAUGAAGAAGUUGUUGCCGCGGGUCAGGAACCUCCUUUUGGUCGUCGUUAUGCUCCACCCUUAGUCCCGGGUGUUUCACAUCCACUUAGUACUACCGUUUCAGGCGGCACAAAUAAACCUAAGGAUGAGGCUAGGUCAGCGGAACUUUCGUCUUCACUGUCCAAGGAUGCUUAAAGUCCUCCUAGAUAAUAACCAGUGGAUGGCUUGUUGUAUUGUAUCAUGUUGUUUGGAUCUUUAAUUUAAAUAUGUGUAUUUGGAUCUUCAUGUUGUUGUAUUGUACCAUGUUGUUUGGAUCUUUAAUCAAUUUUCACACGUAAUCCAUUGUCAAGUGUAAUCCAUUUUCAUGCAUAAUAAGAUGCAGAUGGACCGGCAAUGGAUGUAUAAUGCAGACAGGCAGAGCAAGGUGUUUAUUGAUGGCUUGCAUUAUUGUCUCGAAGUGGCCAAAGCGAACAAGCCAGAGAAUGGGUUCGUAUGUUGUCCAUGCUUCCAAUGCAAUAACAAGAAGGAGUAUUCAUAGGAUUCCUGGGGGACUAUUCACAGCCACUUGUUUAAAUACGGUUUCAUACUUAACUAUUUGGUUUGGACCAAGCACGGUGAACGAGGGGUCGUAAUGGAAGAUGGCGAGAAGGAGGAGGAAGAUGACACCAUUCCAGACUGGGUUGUAGGCCAAGCUUUUGCAGGUACUACAAUGGGCGAGGCUCAUGAAGAUGAGUUUGCAGAAAAUGGCCCUAUUGAUGACUUUGGUCAGGUGAUACGAGAUGCAUACAGAGAUUGCGAAAUUGAGAAGGAAGCAGCAAAGUUGCAGCGCAUGAUAGAUGAUCACCAAAAAUUAUUGUACCCAGGUUGCCAGCUGGGCCAUAAAAAACUAGGUACGACACUAGAAUUUGUGCAAUGGAAGGCAAAAAAUGGUGUGUCCGAUAAGGCAUUUCAGGGGAUGUUGACCAUUGUCAAGAAGAUUCUUCCCGAGAAUAAUGAAUUACCGUCCACAACAUAUGAAGCUAAACAGAUUAUUUGCCCUCUCGGAUUGGAUGUUCAGAAGAUACACGCAUGCCCUAAUGACUGUAUCCUCUAUCGUGGUGAUGACUACGAGAAAUUGGAUGCUUGUCCCGUGUGCGAAGCCCUGCGGUAUAAGAUUAGGUGAGAUGAUCCUUGUGAUGUCGAGGGGCAGUCUCCCAAUAAGAGAGUUCCCGUGAAGGUGAUGUGGUAUUUCCCUAUAAUACCACGCUUGAAGCGCUUGUUCAGGAAAAAGGCGAAUGCUAAGUUGAUGUGAUGGCACAAAGAAGACCGUAAGGAAGAUGAGAUGCUGAGACACCCCGCAGAUGGGGCACAGUGGAGAUCAAUUGAUAGAGCAUUCUCGGACUUUGAAAGUGAAGCAAGGACAUAAGGUUUGGUUUAAGUACUGAUGGAUUCAAUCCAUUCGGUGAGUUGAGUAGUGGCCAUAGUACUUGGCCUAUGACCCUAUUUAUGUUGAACCUUCCUCCUUGGCUAUGCAUGAAGUGGAAGUUCAUUAUGAUGCCGGCGCUUAUCCAAAGUUCAAAACAACCCGACAACGACAUUGACGUGUACCUAAGACUGUUGGUUGAUGACCUUUUACAGCUCUGGAAGGAAGAAGGUGUACGUGUGUGGGAUGAGGAUAGACAAGAGAUCUUUAAUCUACGAGUAUUGUUGUUUGUAACCAUCAAUGAUUGGCCUGCACUGAGUAACCUUUCGGGACAGACAAAUAAGGGAUAUCGGGCAUGCACCCACUGUUUAGACGACACAGACAGCAUGUAUUUGAAGCAUUGUAAGAAGGUCGUCUACAUGGGUCAUCGUCGAUUUCUCCCUGCUCACCACCAGCUGAGAAAGAGCAGGAUGCAUUUCAAAGGGGCGCCAGACCAUCGUAAAAAACCUGCACACCAUAAUGGAAAGUGUGUCUUCAAGAUGAUGAAGGAUGUAAAUGUAGUCUUUGGAAAGGGUCUUGGUAGCCAACCUAUUCCAAACGACAAUAACGGACAUGCACCCAUGUGGAAGAAAAAGUCAAUAUUUUGGGAGCUACCUUAUUGGGAAAUCCUAGAGGUUCGCAAUGCAAUAGACGUGAUGCACCUGACGAAGAAUAUUUGCAUGAACGUGCUAGGCUUCAUGGGUUUUUAUGGGACCUCAAAAGACACAUUGGAAGCACGACAGGACCUGAAAGCCAUGGGGCAACGAGAUGACCUACAUCCGAAAAAGAGAGAUAAUGGAUAGCACUACUUACGUCCUGCCAGUUACACUCUGAGCAAGGAAGAGAAGGAUAGCAUGUUUGAAUGCUUGAAUAGUAUGAAGGUCCCGUCUAGGUACUCCUCGAAUAUAAAGGGAAUAAUAAAUAUGAAAAAAAAGAAGUUUAUAAAUCUCAAGGCCCAUGACUGUCACAUGUUGAUGACCCAGUUGCUUCCGGUUGCACUGAGGGGUGUUCUACUAGAAAAUAUCCAGUUGCCGCUCGUAAAGCUAUGUGCGUUUCUAAAUGCGAUUUCACAGAAGGCAAUCGAUCCAUCCAAGCUAUCAAAGCUACAGAACGAUGUGGUGCAAUGUCUUGUCAGUUUUGAGUUGUUAUUUCCACCAUCCUUCUUCAAUAUUAUGACGCACUUACUGGUUGACCUAGUAAAAGAGAUUGGUAUUCUCGGACUUGUAUACCUGCACAAUAUGUGGCCUUUCAAGUGUUCAUGGCAGUCCUAAAAAACUAUGCUCUUAAUCGUGCCCAUCCAGAAGGAAGCAUCGCCAAGGGAUAUGGAACAGAGGAGGUGAUCGAGUUUUGUGUUGAUUUUAUUGAUUCAAUUGACUCGAUUGGGGUUCCAACUUCACGCCAUGAGGGGAGGCUCCGAGGAAUGGGCACCCUUGGAAGGAAAUCAAGUUUGAGCAAUGAUACUGAUUUGUUCGACAAGGCACACUACACGGUUCUACAACAGUCAUCCUUUGUGUCUCCAUAUAUUGAGCAGCACAGGCAGAUGGUAGUUUCCAAAAACCCGACCAAAUCCGAUGCUUGGCUUACCCGUCUUCACAUGGAAACUUUUCCCUCCUGGUUGCGCCAACAACUUAUGGGUAACUCUGAGAUUCACCCACAGCUUGCCUGGUUAGCCAGGGGACCUGCUAGCACAAUUGUGAAAUUUCAAGGCUAUGAGAUAAAUGGUUAUACAUUUUACACGAGAGCCCAGGACCAGAAAAGCACGAAACCAGAAUAGUGGUGUCCGCAUACAUGCCAUGGACAGAAAUAAUAGCAAGGAGUCGUAUUAUGGUUUCAUAUAGGAGAUAUGGGAACUUGAAUACGGACCGUUGUACAUCCCUCUAUUUCUUUGUAAUUGGGUGAAGCAAACUGCCGUAACCAAAGAUCAGUACGGAAUGACAAUAGUAGAUCUGAGCAAGACUGGAUACAGUGAUGACCCAUUCGUACUUGCCAACAAUGUGCAACAGGUGUUCUAUGUGAAGGACAUGUGUAGCAAACCCAAGAGAAAUCCAGAAGAGACAUGGGAGCCAAAGUGCCACAUAGUUUUUCCAGGUAGAAGAAAAAUCGUGGGAGUCGAGGAUAAAACAAACCAAUCAGAUGAUUAUGAUUAGUUUGAUGGCAUGCCUCCAUUCGCCGUUGAAGUUGAUCCAAGCAUCCUGCUAUCCAAAGAAGAGGCUCCGUACUUACGCCGCGAUCAUGAUCAAGGAACUUUCGUGAAGAAGAAAUUCUACAACGUUGUAUUGUAAUGCGCUAAAUUUACAUGACCUUUGUGUAGUAAUUGAUACAAUUUUUAAUUUACCCUAUGUAUGAUUUGAUGUGUUCUUAAAUUUGUUAGGUGAAGAUUUAUUAGAUAAACAUGAACAAUGUUAACCACAUACAUACAUGGAUUUUUCUGCGCAUUGAAAUUAUUUAAUGGAAUAAUUUCUUGAUCACAGCGAUGUAGUAAAAUAAAUAUUUUAGAGCCUAAAUGAACUGGUAUAGAAUUAAUGACUAACUCACACUUAUUGUCAAUUUACUCGCUAAUUAAAUAUAUUUUUGCAUGUACAAAAUAUGUGAAGGUUUUUGUUUUUCAUCCUGAAUUGCAGUGAAAAGAUAAAUAAAAUCCAUUUCCAAAAAACAGGCGGGAGAAGAAAACUGGGAAAAGGACCUUUUGUCCCGGGUGCCAACAGAAACCGGGACAAAAAGCCCCCCCCCUUUUAUCCCGGUUGGUGGUGGCACCCGAGAUAAAAGGGUAGGCUCCAAGCCCCACUUGGCGGACGCACCCUUUUGUCCCGGGUCCCGUCACCAACCGGGAUAAAAGGGGGGGCCUUUUAUCCCGGUUGGUGAGGGGACCCAGGACAAAAGGCCCUUUAGUCCCGGGUGUCAUUACGAACCGGGAUAAAAGGGGGGUUAAAAGGCACUAUAGCCCCUUCUACCCCCCACGCCAGUUACAGUUAGCAAAAUUUUCACCAAGAUCCCGCGCGCACUCUGCUCCGUCGCUGCCCGUCCGCCUUCCUCGCCAGCCGUCAUCGUCGUCGUCCCCCAUUGCCCCGGCCGUCGUCGUCCCGCCGGCUGACCGUGCCCAGAUAGCCUCCUCCUCCAUCGCCCCGGCCCGCCUCGAUCCUCCUGCGUCGUGCCCGGCCCCUACCUCAUCGACGCCGGCCACCUCCAUCGCGGGGCCUCAUCGCCGCCUCCAUCCUCGUCGCCACCUCGACGCCCUGGGUCGCCGCCUCGUCGCCCCUCGUCGCUGCCUCGUCGCCGUCCUGCCUCCGCCGUCUCGCCGUCCCGCGCGCCUUCGCUCCGUCGUCGCCUCCGCCGUCCCACCGCCCCAGCCACCGCCAUCCCGCCACCCCGGCCACCUCGUCGCCCCGACCACCGUCGACCGCGCGUGAGGUCCGCCGCACCGGCACUGGCGCCGGGAGUACCGCCUUGCUGACGCAAGCCCACCGGCUUGCGUCAACAAGGGCCUUUUUUAAGUUAGAAAAUAAAUAGAAAGGAGUAGUAAUUAGGUAGAAAUUCAAUAGAUUUUUGUAUAUGUGUUACAAAAUCAAAUUAGUGUAAAUUAGUUGUAAUUAGGUUCGUCGCUCUGCCUAGGUUAGAAAUGAAUCGUGUUUCGUCGUGGUUCCGUCCCCGCCUCCGCCGUCCCGCCACCCUGACCGUCGCCGUCCCAACCUAGGCACCGUCUGUGGUUCCGUCCCCGCCUCCGCCGUUCCGCCUCCAUCGCAAAUUCAUGUUAUUGCUAGAAAUUCCAAUAAAUAUGAACAAAUUAGUAGAAAUUUGGUAGAAAUUAAUCAUUGCUGCGGCCACCUCGCUCCACAAAUUCAUGUUAUUGCUAGAAAUUCAUAAAAAUUCAUGUUAUCACUAGAAAUUCGUACAAAAUUCAUGUUAUUGCUAGAAAUUCGUAAAAAUUCAUGUUAUUGCUAGAAAUUCGUACAAAAUUCAUGUUAUUGCUAGAAAUUCGUACAAAUUCAUGUUAUUGCUAGAAAUUCGUCACAAAGUACUACUAAUUUGCAAAAAUUUGUAUAAAUAUUCCGGACUUUGUGGGAUUCAUGUUAUUUUCUGAUUUCAUGUAUAUACCCUUAUGUACAUAUAACUAAGGAGAUUUCUAUGACUUUCAUGUAUGUUUCAAUCAAUAGUUGAAAUGGCAGACGAUGAGACCGCAAGGUAUCUCAUGGAGCAGAUAAUCGCUGGUGAUGGUAGUGGCGACAACCUUCCACUAUCGUACACCGAUGAAGAGGGCACCCAGGCGGACAUGUUCCUCAACAUGUCCGCCGAUGGGAAUGAAGAGCAAAAGCCCCAGCAACACCUUGCCGGGGCGGAAGGUUCCGGCGAGGUAUAUAUAACGAUUCUUGUAUUGUUUCACACCACCGUUACUACUACGUACUAAUUAACGAAUCAUGAACCGUUAGCCCUCUGGAUCGACGCAAGGGCAGAAGACACGAGGUCGUACAAAGGUGAUGGAAGGGAGGCUUGUCAUCACGGAAGUGAUAGAAGAGGGCAGGCCGGUUGCUCCCGAGAAAGUAGCAAAGAAGUACGUGAGUCAGAUCGGGGCAAUCGUCCGGGACAACGUGCCUAUCAGCAUCAGAGAAUGGAAGGGCAGAAGCACUAAUCCGUACGCCCUCCUGGAGACAGAAAGAAUAUGCUGUGGGAAGAUGUCAAGAGACAUUUCACAUUCACCGAAGGAUAUAUUGAGAAGGAUGUGAAAGCGUGGACGCUUAAGAAGAUGGCUACACAAUUUCCAGACAUUUAAGAAGAUGCUAGAUACCCACUACAUUAAGAAGGGCCGAACUCCAGACUUCAACGCGUGGUCAAAGUUGAGGGACCACUAGGAUGCAUUUGUUGAAUAUAAGAGGAGUGAAUACGAUGUGAAAAAGAUCACGACCAACACAACAAAUGCUAGUCAGAAGGGCUACCAUCAUCAUCUGGGGCGAGAUGGUUAUGGCUCAGCAAUUCCCAAGUCGAGGAAGAUGGAACAAGAUCUGAUUGAACGGGGAAUCGUACCGGCAACUAUUGAAUGGCCCGAACGAUCAAAAAAUUGGUACUACGCUCAUGGAGGCUCCCUGUGCCAAGAGGAUGGGACGUUGAUUUUCAAUAACACAAUACGUUAGAAGGCCAAACAUCUUGUGAAGAACAUUGAAGAUUCUAAGGCUGGGAGGUUGAAGGUGGACCGAGAAAAUGAUGAGCUCACAUUGGCCCUUGGUAAUCCAGAGCACCCAGGAUGUUGCCGAGGGUUCGGGGUCGUUCCGUGGAAGUUUGUUUUCCGAGGCGACAGCGCCUCGUACAGAAGCCGGAAGCGAAGAAAGGAACAGAUCGAGGAGAGCUGGUGGCAGAUGCUAGAAUCCAAAGUGCAGGCACAAGAACAAAGAAUGAUGGAGGAAAUCAAUCGUCGAGUGGCCCACGCAGUUGUGGAGUUGGCCCAAUCUGGAGCAUUGCCGAAUCCUAACAACGCCAGCCCUUCUCAAUGCCUCUUGAGCAGUUAUGCUUCUACAGGGGUCCCCGAUGCGCACACGCCCAGGUUACCCGUGGAGGAGCAACGGUUCCCCGUGGAUGCCAUCACGCAACACACCACAUGUGAGCUGCAUGCACCGGUCGGCAACCUCACUAUUAAGGUAUACUUAUACAUAAUAUUUAUGCAAUCUUGUCAAUUGAUCCACGCCUCGAUAUCGGAGUUUAACUUGUUUACUUCUACUAUAUGUACAGGUAGCGUACGGGAGUGCGUUAGCAACCCUGGCGGGGCAGAGCAGUCAUGGCAUGAAGAUUCCACCUGGCUACGCUAGCGUCCGCGUAGAGCAAAUAGUUGAUAGCCAAUAUGAAGGUCUAGAGCUCGACCUCCCGGGAGGUGACAGGGAAAGAACACUGGCAGAUGCGCUUCAUGGGAUCAUUCUAUGGCGAAAACGCUACAUCAUUAUUCCCGGCACGGAGCCAUCUCCUCAGAGCUCAAGACCACUCCCCGUAGAUCCCCAGCAGCGACCUUCUCCUCAUAGCUCGAGACCGUCAUCUCCUGCACAACCUGCUCCAGGACCGUCCCUUCCAUCUAUAUCAAGGUCUCCAUCUCCACCACAUCCUGGUGGUGGGAGCGACGACGACAAUAACAACACCCCUUCCUGAUCACCAUCGCCGGCACCAAGAGCGGCCCCCAUGAAGGAACCUGCACCACCACUAAAAAAGUCACGAGCACCGCCUCCCAAGCAAAGACAGAGAAAGAAGAAAACAAAGGAGCCUGAAGUGACUCGUAAGGAACGCUGGGAGACAAUGUCUCAUGCGGAACAGUGGGCAGAAAUCCAACAAGAGGCCAGUGAGUGGUUCAAGAAACAAGCCGAAGAAAAAAAAGCAACGGAGAUGCAGCCACCGCCAGUAAAUCGAAGAGAUUUAAACUUUUUUAUCAGGAUGGAAGAAGGAGCCAAGAAAAGGAUACCACUCUUAUCAAACUAUGAACGGGCUUUAGUAAAGGCUGAUGAAAAGGAUAAAAGGAAAGGAAAGUCAUCUUCCAGCGGUGCUGUCCCCGACCUCAGCCAUUUAUCAAAAAAAGAUGCUCAACGGGUAAAAGCAAUGCCCUUGGAUCAACAAGCAGAAGUAUUGAAGUUCAUGCAAGAAACAGGUCUGGGACUUGAUGAAUGCCUAGGGCAAGUUGAGACGCCAACUGCACCGCCCCCUGAGCCGAGAUGGCCUUAUGAGCUAGGCAAACCUCUAGUAAAGCCUUCAUUGGUACGAAAGCUAUCAACAAAGAUGUACGCAUUCCAUCAAUGGUACAUGAUGGCAUCCGCUGACUCAAGGGAGAUGCUCGGCCUGAAGGUAAAACCGAUGGAUUUUCACGACAGAGGCGAGAAAGUGCUGUGGCUAGACUUCAAGGAUAUAUACGAAGUGUACCAUCAUGAUGCCAUAGACGUCUCUCUGAUCCGCGCUUGGGUUCUGUAAGUGUCCGUUUAUCUCUACAUGUAAAUUUUGGCGUGCGUCACCGUACUAACUUCGUCUUCCAUUUCAUGUAGGAUGCUAAUUCAGACAUGCCGCCGAGAGGCGUACCUACAUAUAGGCUUCAUGGAUCCAUCUGUAGUUAACCAACAGCAGAUACAAUUAGCAUCGGAGAAAACCUUGGUGGAAGUAUACAAUUUCCUAGACAAACAAACAUUCAAGGAUUUCAUACUAUUUCCAUACAACUUCAAGUAAGUGUGUGUAUACCGUCUACUUUCGAUGUCUUUUUCCUUAUCUCUACAUGUUAGUUAGCUCUAAUAUGCAUGAACAUUUUACGCACGCAGCUUCCACUGGAUCCUUAUUAUAAUUGAGCCUCAAAGAAGCCACGUCACUGUCUUCAAUUCGUUGAGGAAAGAUCCAGUGGAGCACCAAGAAAUGCAACACAUGCUAGGCUUGUAAUAAUUCUGGACCUUUAUCUCUAUGCAAAAGUUUGUUUCCUAAAUUCUAUCCCUGUUACACUAUAUCAUUCAUUAUUCUAAUCCACAGCGUAUGGAAACAAUUCAUAAGGACACAAAAAGGUCCAUUCAAAGAAAAACUUACAUGGAACACAGACUUCCCGGUACAUAUGAAGUCUGCACAUUUAUUACAUUGUAUAACACGAAUAUUUCAUAACUUAUUUUUUUCCGUAUUGAAGUGCUUAAGACAGGAACUCGGAAAUAAUCUAUGUGGCUACUACAUCUGUGAGCACAUGCACAGUUUUAUGGGACCCAAGGGACUAAAGAUGACGCCGCACAACUUUAAAGUACGUAAAAUAAAACUAUUACUAGUUAAUUAUUUUCUAGCUCCUUAUAUGUAUUUGUUCACGUAACAUUCACAAAUUUCCAAAUUAUAGAUGUUAAAUAUUCAACAAGGACUCUUGAAGGAAGAAAGAGUAGCGGCAAUAUGUGAAGGUCUCAUUGGAUUCCUAAUGGACAAGGUGGUAGAUCCAAAAGGAGAAUUUUAUUUUGAUGGACGACAAUUAGACACUCUGAUCAGCAACACCUCGAUGGGAAGAUUGUAGAUAGAUACUUUGAUUUAUUUGUAUAUAUAAUACGCGCUAAUUAUGAUCGAUUUGUACUAGUUGAAUUCUGUAUAUGAAUUGUGUAUAAGAAUUGUGUAUAUAUAUAGUAACUGUAUAAUUACAAAUCCCAUUCGUUUAAAUACUAGUUAAUUUCAUUCUAAAAAAAUCUCAACUACUUAAGGUUAACAAAAGGGCUGCGGUACUACGUACGUGAUGCAUGCAUGAAAAAUUCAGGCGCCAGGCAGGUGCCAUGCAGGGCAUCAUUUAGUCCCGUUUGGAAUCCAGCCGGGACUAAAGGGUAACCCUUUACUCCCGGUUGGGAAACCCAACCGGGACUAAAGGGGGACCGUUACUCCCGGUUAAAAGACCCGGGACUAAAACCCCCCCUUUUGUCCCGGUUGGCUUAUCCCGGAUAAAUUUUCGGGAGAUAUGCACCCUACCAACCGGGACUAAAGGCCAAUUCUCCACUAGUGGAAGGUCCUUUCUCUACCAUGAAUAUUGCCAGAAAGAAUUGAAAGAGACCGCUUGCUAAAAACAUGUCAUAGAUGCGGACCAAGCUACCAAGGAGGUAGACCAAACAUGAUACACACCAUGCGUACCUUGCUGUGCAGACUAUGCAUGGACAAGAUACCCGACCACAUGUUGGCUUUGGUCACAUCAAAAGAAUCAUGUAGGCCAUUAAUAAACUACUUGAAGCGUCAUUCCGUAUCUUAUAUCCAUCAUCUGCAUUACAUUACAUUAAAUAUUAUUAACUAUUUGAAUAAAAUGAACCAAUUUAAAAAUAAUGAAUUGUACAUUACUACAAAAAGCCCUAGCACUGCCAGUUCCAAAAACAUCAUUGUUGACGGCCGUUAAGUACCAAAUAUGACGGUCAAUAUCCUAAAGAAUAAAGGACAAUUGGCAUUUCUUACACACAUAUUUGGUUUCGAAUAAUGUAGUUCUACAUGUCCUUGGAGAUUAUUUGGGUGUGGGUGAAAUAAUACAAAAAGAAGGAGAAAACACACUCCCAUGGCAAAGAAACAUAACUCCGACCAAUGAGAGAUAGCCACAGGGGCAGCACAUGGAUCCAUGGGCCCACAAACUGCAUCAAACCAUCUUACAAGGCGGGUAGCACCCACAACUGUCAUUAGGACCCACCUGGAAGUCUAGCAAAGAAGAAGGUUGUGAGUGGGGCCACGAGGGGUUCGGUUGAAUCAUCUCUAGCUCCCUUCAUCCCCAGCUGGCGCGUGGCGGUGGUUCAUGGUGUCCCGACAUCGGUUAGAGGACAUUCCCCCAAAUAUUCCUCCUGUAAACCAGCUCUAUGAACCUAUAAAUAGAGGGGUGUGCUCUCCAUUCCAACACACACCACAAGUUGAAGCACUCUCUCCCUCUUUAGUUUCCAAGUUUACGGAGAUAGGCUGGAGUAGCUCUGCUAAAGGUUCCAAGUCCACUUGGAGUUAAGCGUAUGUCUCUUGUAUCAUUAUUUCCUAGAGAGACUUUAUGCUAUUCAAGUUAUUUAUCUUCUUCAUAUAGUGUUAUGCUUAGUUCUUAUAUGCAUGAGUUAGUCUAAUACCCUUGCUCUAUUGAUAUGCUCAGCUUAUGUGCUCGUAUGCUAGUCAUGUACCCUUGCUGUCAUAGUAUAGGGUUAUAUGCUGUCAUGUGUGCCUAUAGACCUUGCUACAGUAUAUACUUGUUGUGUAUACAUACCAUUUGUAUAUACAUUAUUACAAGUUAAGGUAGUUUUAAAUAUCCUUGUGUUGACAACCAAAGCUUGAUCUUUUGUUUCCAUUGCCAGCGGAUUCAUCGGCUCAGAGUAGGAUCAAGACAUCAAGUUGAUGGAGUUCUUUAUAUUUCAAGAGGAGUCAUGGAGUUCUUUAUAUUUCAAGAGGAGUUGAUGGUGCUUUCAAUAUUGCAACCAGACAUCAUUGGCUCUGAAGACACCGAAUCAUCGGAGUUCUAUGAUCAGUUUCGGAACAUGAAGCCUUCAUACUCCGAAACUGGGGGGCCUGUGUUGACACCGAAUUAUCGGACUUCUAUAAUUAGUUUCGGAACAUGAAGCCUUCAUACUUCGAAACUGGGGGGUAUGUGUUUACACCAAAAUUUAGAAAUGUGCUCUGAAAGGAAGGACCUGGGAGAUCUAUUGGCUGAAAUACAAAUCCAUCGAAACUAGCCUUAUGCUAAGAGAUCAGAAUAUUGUACAAAGUCUAGAAAGUUCUAUUUACAUCUAAGUAACUCGAUAACUAGCCUUACGCUAAGAGAUCAGAAUAUUGGACAAAGCCUACAAAGUUCUAAUAUAGGUAACGUAAUGACCAGGUGAGGAUAGUUACAAGCUCGCUUGAGAUCGAAGCCGAUGUAGCCCUGCGCGCAAGAAGAAACUCACCUAUUUCUACUCUACUCUUACUCCUAGGGUUUGAUGGCGUGGCGUCAAAAGAUUGUAUUGAUUGAUUGAUUAUUUGAUACAAAGCUCAUGGGCCUAUAUUUAUACCCUUGAGAAAGCUAAAAUCCUAAUCAGUUAUGACAUGAAUCGUGACAGAAAAUCUAACUAAAGAUAGAUCUCCAUGCUUUCCCUUAUUUGGUGGAGUCGAUUUCACUUCAUAUCGGAUCCCUCCCGAUCUUCUAUCGGCUUCUAGCAUCCGGUCAUCUGCGACUGGCCUUGGUCAACAUCAGGUGUCAACAGACUUAUUUCUUCUACAAGUUCAUCGGCUGUCAGAGCCUUGUCUUAGUCAGUUGACUCUAGUAAAAAAUCGAUGUCAAUACAUGCCCCCCAAUUUUUGAAUAAAAUAUUAUAUUUCAAAAUUCUCUUCUCUUGUCAACAGCUUUUGAAAGAAAAAGAGUCACUGCUGCAAUCAUAAUCUUUUUCCCCGGGUUUUGUGAUAGCACCCUCCUCAUUUUAAGGGAUUCACCAUGUGGAAAUUAUAAUAUAACUGCUUCACCCAUUUCGUUUUCUUCACCAAACCAACUAUUGUCAGCCGCUACAACCAAAAAUCAAUUAUUCCCUUCACAUGCCUAGCGACUGCAUCCAUCACUCAUCGUCACCAUUAGUCUCCAUGUGUCAAGGCUUCUUCAACCAGCAAUGGCGACAUUAUCUUCCAUUCCACAGGUACCAUGUAUCCUAGCCAUUCCUUUCCCCUUUCAACCUGAAAUCCAAUCUAGUCACUAUAUAUCAAACCUGUGUUCUUAAUCAAUACUUGCCCCCUUGUACUUAGAAACACCCUUUUGAUCCCCAUAUCCGAUACGCAAGCAGAAUACUUUCUAGGCCCCAUGGGUAGUGAAGACCCAAUAGAAUCUAUUAAUGCUGAAAUACUUGGACAAAGUCUAGAAAGUUCUAUUUACAUCUAAGUAACUCGAUAACUAGCCUUACGCUAAGAGAUUUAAAUAUUGGAUAAAGCCUAGAAAGUUCUUAUAUAGGUAACUGAAAAGUGUGUUGACGCAAAAAUUGGAUGGUUGACUCCUGCGUACUAACACACGGAACCAGGGAGAAUCUGCUUAGCUACUGUUCGGGUUAUAGCCCUCUCGAUCCGUAGCGUGCCAGUUAAUCUGACCUGCUGAUUGACAAGUAAAAAUGUCAAAUUAAGAGCAAAUCAGCUGGUGUUCCGAAUCGCUCCACGGGACGUAUCAGUAGACAGCCGAUACGGGCAAACGACAAUCAGCUAGAUCAGCCGAUUUGCUCUUGUAUUUGACGUUUUACUUGUCCUUCUCAAUCAGCAGGUCAGAUUGACUCGCACGACGCAGAUCGAGAGGGCUAUAACCUAAACAAGAGCUAAGCAGAUUCUCCCGGGUUUCAUGUCUUAGUACACAGAAGUCAACCGUCUGAUUUUAUCAUCAACACGCUUUUUGGCACGCUCAGUGGGACCCGAUUCAUAUCUUAAUGGUAAUUGGUGAUCAAGUUUCAAACAACGUAUCCACUGGUAGAAAACUGAGCAUUAGUCCCGGUUGGUAAGGGUCAUAUCUCUCGGAUAUCCAUCCGGGAUAAACCAACCGGGACAAAAGGGGGGGGUCUUUAGUCCCGGGUAUUUUAACCGGGAGUAAAGGACCCCCUUUAGUCCCGGUUGGUGUCACCAACCGGGACUAAAGGGCCUGCCACGCCAGGCGCGGGACAGGCCCUUUAGUCCCGGUUGGUGACACCAACCGGGACUAAAGGGGGUCCCUUUAGUCCCGGUUGGAUUUCCCAACCGGGACUAAAGGGGUCCCCUUUAGUCCCGGCUCAAUUCCAACCGGGACUAAAUUGCGCUUGCAUGGCACUGGUGACGCCUGAAUUUUUCAUGCAUGCAUCACGUAUACGUAUAGUAGUACCGCGGCCCUUUUAAUUUGUUAACCUUGUAGUUGAGAUUUUUUUAGAAUGAAUUAAAUCAACUAGUAUUUAAACGAAUGGGAUUUGUAAUUACACAACUACUAUAUAUAUACACAAUCCUUAUACACAAUUCAUAUACACAAUUCAACUAGCUUAAUUAGUACAAAUCGAUCAUAUAUACAAAUAAAUCAAAGUAUCUUCCUACGAUCUUCCCGUCGUGGUGUUGCUGAGAGGAGUGUCUAAUUGUCGUCCAUCGUAAUAAAAUUCUCCUCUUGGAUUUACCACCUCGUCCAUUAUGAAUCCAAUGAGACCUUCACAUAUUGCCGCUACUCUUUCUUCCUUCAAGAGUCCUUGUUGAAUAUUUAACAUCUAUAAUUUGGAAAUUUGUGAAUGUUACAUGAACAAAUACAUAUAAGGAGCUAGAAAAUAAUUAACUAGUAAUAUAUUUAUUUUACGUACUUUAAAGUUGUGCGGCGUCAUCUUCGGUCCCUUGGGUCCCAAAAAACUGUGCAUGUGCUCACAGAUGUAGUAGCCACAUAGGUUAUUCCCGGGUUCCUGUCUUAAGCACUUCAGUGCGGAAAAAAAAUAAGUUAUGAAAUAUUCGUGUUAUACAAUGUAAUAAAUGUGCAGACUUCAUACGUACCGGGAAGUCUGUGUUCCAUGUAAGAUCUUCUUUGAAUGGACCUUUGUGUGUCCUUAUGAAUUGUUUCCAUACGCUGCGGAUUAGAAUAAUGAAUGACAUAGUGUAACAGGGAUAAAAUUUAGGAAAUAAAUUUUUGCAUAGAGAUAAAGGUCCAGAAUUAUUACAAGCCUAGCAUGUCUUGCAAUUCUUGGUAGUCCACCGGAUCUUUCCGUAACGAAUCAAAGACAGUGACGUGGCUUCUUUCAGGCUCAAUUAUAAUAAGGAUCCAGUGGAAGCUGCGUGCGUAAAAUGUUCAUGCAUAUUAGAGCUAACUAACAUGUAGAGAUAAGGAAAAAGACAUCGAAAGUAGACGGUAUACACACACUUACUUGAAGUUGUAUGGAAGUAGUAUGAAAUCCUUGAAUGUUUGUUUGUGUAGGAAAUUGUAUAUUUCGGCAAAGGUUUUUUCCGGCGCUAAUUGUAUCUGUUGUUGGUUAACUACAGAUGGAUCCAUGAAGCCUACAUGUAGGUACGCCUCUCGGCGGCAUGUCUGAAUUAGCAUCCUACAUGAAAUGGAAGAUGAAGUUAGUACGGUGACGCACGCCAAAAUUUACAUGUAGAGAUAAUAAACGGACACUUACAGAAUCCAAGCGCUGAUCAGAGAGACGUCCAGGGCAUCAUGAUGGUACACUUCGUAUAUAUCCUUGAAGUCUAGCCACAGCACUUUCUCCCCUUCACCGUGAAAAUCUAUCGGUUUUACCUUCAUGCCGAUCAUCUCCCUCGAUUUGGCGGAUGCCGUCAUGUACCAUUGAUGGAAUUCGUACAUCUUUGUUGACAGCUUCCGUACCAUUGCCGGCUUCACUAGAGGCUUGCCUAGCUCAUAAGGCCAUCUCGGCUCAGGGGGCGGUGCAGUUGGCGUCUCGACUUGCCCUAUGCAUUCUUCAAGUCCCAGACCUGUUUCUUCCAUGAACUUCAAUAUAUUUUCUUGUUGAUCCAAGGGCAUUGCUUUUACCCGUUGAGCAUCUUUCUUUGAUAAAUGGCUGAGGUCGGGGACUGAACCGCUGGAGGAUGAUUUUCCUUUUCUUUUAUCCUUUUCAUCAGCCUUUACUAGAGCCCGUUCAUAGUUUGACAAGAGUGGUAUCCUUUUCUUGGCUCCUUCCUCCAUCCUGAUAAAAAAGUUUAAAUCCCGCCGACUUACUGGCGGUGGCUCCAUCUCCCUUGCCCUUUUUAAUUCGGCUUGUUUCUUGAACCACUCACUGGCCUCUCGUUGGAUUUCUGCCCACUGUUCCGCAUGAGACAUUGCCUCAAAGCGUUCCUUGCGAGCCACUUCAGGGUCGACCUUUGUUUUCUUCUUUCGAGGCUGUCUUUGCUUGGGAGGCGGUGCUCGUGACUUCUUGAGUGGUGCUGCAGGUUCCUUCGAGGGGGCCGCUCUUGGUGCCAGCGACGGUGAUCGGGGAGGGGUGUUGUUAUUGUCGUCGUCGCUCCCAGCACCAGGAUGUGGUGGAGAUGGAGACCUUGAUAUAGAUGGAAGCGACGGUCCUGGAGCAGGAGAUGCCGGUCUCGAGGUAUGAGGAGAAGGUCGCUGCUCGGGAUCUACGGGGAGCGGUCUUGAGGUCUGAGGAGAUGGCUCCGUGCGGGAAAUAAUGAUGUAGCGUUUCUUCCAUAGAAUGAUCCCAUGAAGCGCAUCUGCCAAUGUCUUUUCCCCGUCGCCUCCCGGGAAGUCGAGCUCUAGACCUUCAUACUGGGCAUCUACUAUUUGCUCGACGCAGACGCUGGCGUAGCCUGUUGGAAUGUCCAUGCCAUGACUGCUCUGCCCUGCCAGCGUUGGUAACGCACUCCCAUACGCUACCUGUACAUAUAGCAGAAGUAAACAAGUUGAACUCCGAUCUCGAGGCCUGGAUCAAUUGACAAGAUUGCAUAAAUAUUAUGUAUAAGUAUACCUUAAUAGUGAGGUUGCCGACCGGUGCAUGCAGCUCACAUGAGGUCCGUUGCGUGAUGGCAUCCACGGGGAACCGUUGCUCCUCCACGGGUAACCUGGGCGUCUGCGCAUCGGGGACCCCUGUAGAAGCACAACUGCUCCCGAGGCGUUGAGAAGGGCUGGCGGUGUGAGGAUUCGGCAGUGCUCCAGAUUGCGCCAACUCCGCAACUGCGUCGGCCACCCGCCGAUUGAUUUCAUCCAUCAUUCGUUGUUCUAGCAUCUGCCGCCAGCUCUCCUCCAUCUGUUCCUUUCUUCGCUUCCGGCUUCUGUAAGAGGCGCUGUCGCCUCGGAAAGCGAACUUCCACGGAACCACCCCGAACCCCCGGCAACGUCCUGGGUGCUCUGGAUUACCGAGGGCCAAUGUGAGCUCAUCAUUUUCUCGGUCCACCCUCAACCUCCCAGCCUUGGAAUCUUCAAUGUUCUUCAUGAGAUGUUCGGCCUUCUCACGUAUUCUGUCAUUGAAAAUCAGCGUCCCAUCCUCUUGGCUUAGGGAGCCUCCAUGAGCGUAGUACCAGUUCUUUGAUCGUUCGGGCCAUUCAAUAGUUGCAGGUAUGAUUCCCCGUUCGAUCAGAUCUUGUUCCAUCUUUCUCCACUUGGGAAUUGCUGAGCCAUACCCACCUCGCCCCAAAUGAUGGUGGUAGCCCUUCUGACUAGCAUUUGCAACGUUGGUCGUGAUCUUUUUCACACCUUCUUCACUCCUCUUGUAUUCAACAAAUGCAUCCCAGUGGUCCCUCAACUUGGGCCACGCGUUGAAGUCUGGAGUUUUGCCCUUCUUGAUGUAGUGGGUGUCCAGCAUCUUCUUGAAUGUCUGGAAUUGAGUAGCCAUCUUCUUAAGUGUCCACGCUUUGACAUCCUUCUCGCUAUAAUCUUCGGGGAAUGUGAAAUGCCUCUUCACGUCUUCCCACAGCAUAUUCUUUUCUGUCUCUGGAAGGGCGUACGGAUUAUCGCUUCUGCCCUUCCAUUCUCUGAUGCUGAUAGGCACGUUGUCCCGGACAAUUGCCCCGAUUUGACUAACGUACUUCUUUGCGACUUUCUCGGGAGCAACCGGCCUGCCCUCAUCUGUAACUUCGGUGAUGACAAGCCUCCCUUCCAUCACCUUUGUACGACCUCGGGUCUUCUGCCCUUGUGUCGAUCCGGAGGGCUAACAGUUUAAGAUUCGUUAAUUAGUACGUACUAGUAGCGGUGGCGUGAAACAAUACAAGAAUGGUUGUAUAUACCUCGCCGGAACCUUCCGCCACGGCAAGUUGUUGCUGCGGCUGUUGCUCUUCAUUCACAUCGGCAGACAUGUUGAGGAACAUGUCCGCCUGGGUGCCCUCUUCAUCCGUGUAUGAUAGUGGAACGUUGUCGCCACUAUCAUCACCAGCGAUUAUCUGCUCCAUGAUAUACCUUGCGGUCUCAUCGUCUGCCAUUUCAACUAUUGCUGCAAACAUACAUGGAAUCAUACAUGACAGUCAUAGAAAUCGUCUUAAUACAAAUUUGUAUAUAAUCACAGUUCGGAAUCAUACAUGUAUAUAAUGAAAUCAUAAAAUAACAUGAAUCGUACAAAGUCCGGAAUCUUUAUACAAAUUUCUAUGAAUUUAUACAAAUUUCUAUGAAUUUAUACAAAUUUCUAUGAAUUUCUAUGAAUUUCUAUGAAUUUCUAUGAAUUUCUAUGAAUUUCUAUGAAUUUAUACAAAUUUCUACGAAUUUCUAUGAAUUUCUAUGAAUUUCUAUGAAUUUAUACAAAUUUCUACGAAUUUCUAUGAAUUUCUACAAAUUUCUACGAUUUUCUAUGAAUUUCUACAAAUUUCUACGAAUUCCUACGAAUUUUGACGAAUUUCUACGAAUUUUGACGAAUUUCUACGAAUUUCUACGACGGCGAUAAGGGCGGCGAAGGCGGGACGGCGGCGGUCAGGGCGGCGGAGGCGGGACGGCGGCGGUCAGGGCGGCGGAGGCGGUUCACCGGAACCACGGGCGGUGCCUAAGCUACUACGUUGUGAUGGGCGGCAGGACGGCGGCGAUCACGGCGGCUACUCGGCGGCGAUCACGACGGCUACAAGGCGACUGUCACGGUAGCUACUCGGCGGGACGGCGGCGAUCACGACGGCGGGACGGUAGUUAACAACCUAACUACAAAUCUAACUUAACAAACUAACUAGAAAUCUAAAAAUCUAACUUAACAAAAUUAGAAAUCUAAAAAUCUAACUUAACAAAAUUACAAUUCCAUCUAAAAAAACAAAAUUAAAAAUUAAAAGAAAACGGCCAGCUCUCCCGGCGCACCGGCCGGCGCGGCAGACCUCUCGCGCGCGGGGCGGCGGCCGGGGCGGCGGGACGGCGGCGGCCGGGGCGGCCUGACGGCGGCGGCUGGGGCGGCGACGAGGACGAAGACGACGACGGCGGGAUGACGGCGGCCGAGGCGAAGACGACGACGGCGGCCGGCGAGGGGCGACGAGGAUGGAGCUGGCGACGAGGGGCGAUGCAGCCGGCGAGGGAGGCGGACGGGCGGCGACGGGCGGAGAGGGAGGCGGACGGGCGGCGACGGGCGAGGGAGGCGGACGGGCGACGACGACGGCGCAAUGCGGGACUUCGACGGCGCAAUGGGGGACGACGACGGCGGCGGCCGGCGAGGGAGGCGGACGGGCGGCGACGGGCGGAGAGCGCGGGACUUGCGAAAAUUUCGCUAAGUGUGGAACUGGCGGGGGGUAGAAGGGAGUACAGUGCUUUUAACCCCCCCCCCCUUUUAUCCCGGUUCGUAAUGGCACCCGGGACAAAAAGGGCCUUUUGUCCCGGGUCCUGUCACCAACCGGGACAAAAGGCCCCCCCUUUUAUCCCGGUUGGUGACGGGACCCGGGAUAAAAGGGUGCGCUCCCAGCCCCACCUGGCGGGGGCACCCUUUUAUCUCGGGUCCCGUUACCAACCGGGACAAAAGGCCCCCCCUUUUAUCCCGGUUGGUAACGGGACCCGGGACAAAAGGGUGCCCCCGCCAGGUGGGGCUGGGAGCGCACCCUUUUAUCCCGGGUCCCGUCACCAACCGGGAUAAAAGGGGGGGGCCUUUUAUCCCUGUUGCAAAUGGCAACCGGGAUAAAAGGGUACGUUCGGGCGGGAGACGAAACGUACCCUUUUAUCCCGGUUGCCGUUUGCAACCAGGAUAAAAGGGGGGCCUUUUAUCCCGGUUGCUGUUAGCACCCGGGACAAAAGGUCCUUUUUCCUAUUUUUCUUCUCCCGCCUGUUUUUUGGAAAUGGAUUUUAUUUAACCUUUUCACUGCAUUCCAGGAUGAAAAACAAAACCUUCUCAGAUUUUGUACAUGCAAAAAUAUAUUUAAUUAACGAGUAAAUUGACAAUAAGUAUGAAGUAAUCAUUAUUUCUAUACCAACUCAUAUAGCCUGUAAAAUAUUUAUUUUACUGCAUUGCUGUGAUCAAUAAAUUAUUCAAUUAAAUUUUUUGAAUGCGCAGAAAAAUCCAUGUUAGUAUGUGGUUAACAAUGUUCAUGUAUAUCUAAAAAAUCUUCACCUAACAAAUUUAAUUACAAAUUUUAUCAAUUAAUACACAAAGGUCAUGCACAUUUAACGCAUUACAAUACAACGUUGUAAAAUUUCUUCUUCACGAAAGUUCCUUGAUCAUGAUCGCGGCGUAAGUACGGAGCCUCUUCUUUGGACAGCAGGAUGCUUGGAUCAACUUCAACGUCGAAUGGAGGCAUGCCAUCAAACUGAUCAUAAUCAUCUGAUUGGUCUGUUUUAUCCUCGACUCCCACGAUUUUUCUUUUACCUAGAAGAACUAUGUGGCACUUUGGCUCCCAUGUCUCUUCUGGAUUCCUCUUGGGUUUGCUGCACAUGUCCUUCACAUAGAACACCUGAUGCACAUCAUUGGCAAGUACGAAUGGGUCAUCACUGUAUCCAGUCUUGCUCAGAUCUACUAUUGUCAUUCCGUACUGAUCUUUGGUGACGGCAGUUAGCUUCACCCAAUUGCAAAGAAAUAGAGGGAUGUACAGCGGUCCGUAUUCGAGUUCCCAUAUCUCCUGUAUGAAACCAUAAUACGACUCCUUGCUAUUAUUUCUGUCCAUGGCAUCUAUGCGGACACCACUAUUCUGGUUCGUGCUUUUCUGGUCCUGGGCUCUCGUGUAAAAUGUGUAACCAUUUAUCUCAUAGCCUUGGAAUUUGACGAUUGUGGUAGCAGGUCCCCUGGCUAACCAAGCAAGCUGUGGGUGAAUCUCAGAGUUACCCAUAAGUUGUUGGCGCAACCAGGAGGGAAAAGUUUCCAUGUGAUGACGGGUAAGCCAAGCAUCGGAUUUGGUCGGGUUUUUGGAAGCUACCAUCUGCCUGUGCUGCUCGAUAUACGGAGACACAAAGGAUGACUGUUGUAGAACAGUGUAGUGUGCCUUGUCGAACAAAUUAGUAUCAUUGCUCAAACUUGAUUUCCUUCCAAGGGUGCCCAUUCCUCGGAGCCUCCCCUCGUGGCGUGAAGUUGGAACCCCAAUCGAGUCAAUUGAAUCAAUAAAAUCAACACAAAACUCGAUCACCUCCUCUGUUCCAUAUCCCCUGGCGAUGCUUCCUUCUGGACGAGCACGAUUACGAACAUAGUUUUUUAGGACUGCCAUGAACCUCUCGAAAGGCCACAUAUUGUGCAGGUAUACAGGUCCGAGAAUACCAAUCUCUUUUACUAGGUGAACCAGUAAGUGCGUCAUAUUAUUGAAGAAGGAUGGUGGAAAUAACAACUCAAAACUGACAAGACAUUGCACCACAUCGUUCUGUAGCUUUGAUAGCUUGGAUGGAUCGAUUGCCUUCUGCGAAAUCGCAUUGAGAAACGCGCAUAGCUUUACGAGCGGCAACCGGACAUUUUCGGGUAGAACACCCCUCAGUGCAACCGGAAGCAACUGGGUCAUCAACAUGUGGCAGUCAUGAGCCUUGAGAUUUGUAAACUUCUUUUGUUUCAUAUUUAUUAUUCCCUUUAUAUUCGAGGAGUACCCAGACGGGACCUUCAUACUAUUCAAGCAUUCAAACAUACUAUCCUUCUCCUCCUUGCUGAGAGUGUAACUGGCAGGACGUAAGUAGUGCUGUCCAUUAUCUCUCUUUUCCGGAUGUAGGUCAUCUCGUUGCCCCAUGGCUUUCAGGUCCUGUCUUGCUUCCAAUGUAUCUUUUGAGGUUCCAUAAACACCCAUGAAGCCUAGCACGUUCACGCAAAGAUUCUUCGUCAGGUGCAUCACGUCUAUUGCGUUGCGAACCUCUAGGAUUUCCCAAUAAGGUAGCUCCCAAAAUAUUGACUUUUUCUUCCACAUGGGUGCAUGUCCGUUAUCAUCGUUCGGAAUAGGUUGGCUACCAAGUCCCUUUCCAAAGACUACAUGUACAUCCUUCAUCAUCUCGAACACACGCUUUCCAUUACGGUGUGCAGGUUUUUUACGAUGGUCUGGCGUCCCUUUGAAAUGCAUCCCGCUCUUUCUCAGCUGGUGGUGAGCAGGGAGAAAUCGACGAUGACCCAUAUAGACGACCUUCUUACAGUGCUUCAAGUACAUGCUAUCUGUGUCAUCUAAACAGUGGGUGCAUGCCCGAUAUCCCUUAUUUGUCUAUCCUGAAAGGUUACUCAAUGCAGGCCAAUCGUUGAUGGUUACGAACAACAGUGCUCGUAGAUUAAAGAUCUCUUGUCUAUCCUCAUCCCACACACGUACACCUUCUUCCUUCCAGAGCUGUAAAAGGUCAUCAACCAACGGCCUUAGGUACACGUCAAUGUCGUUGCCGGGUUGUUUUAGGCCUUGGAUAAGCGCCGGCAUCAUAAUGAACUUCCGCUUCAUGCACAGCCAAGGAGGAAGGUUGAACAUACAAAGGGUCACAGGCCAAGUACUAUGACCACUACUCAACUCACCGAAUGGAUUGAAUCCAUCAGUGCUUAAACCAAACCUUAUGUUCCUUGCUUCACUUUCAAAGUCUGGGAAUGUUCUAUCAAUUGAUCUCCACUGUGCCCCAUCUGCGGGGUGUCUCAGCAUCUCAUCUUCCUUACGGUCUUCUUUGUGCCAUCGCAUCAACUUAGCAUUCGCCUUGUUCCUGAACAAGCGCUUCAAGCGUGGUAUUAUAGGGAAAUACCACAUCACCUUCACGGGAACUCUCUUCUUGGGAGACUGCCCCUCGACAUCACCAGGAUCAUCUCGCCUGAUCUUAUACCGCAGGGCUUCGCAGACGGGACAAGCAUCCAAUUCCUCGUAUUCAUCACCACGAUAGAGGAUACAGUCAUUAGGGCAUGCGUGUAUCUUCUGAACAUCCAAUCCGAGAGGGCAAAUAAUCUGUUUAGCUUCAUAUGUUGUGGACGGUAAUUCAUUAUUCUCGGGGAGAAUCUUCUUGACAAUUCUCAACAUCCCCUGAAAUGCCUUAUCGGACACACCAUUUUUUGCCUUCCAUUGCACAAAUUCUAGUGUCGUACCUAGUUUUUUAUGGCCCUGCUGGCAACCUGGGUACAACAAUUUUUGGUGAUCAUCUAUCAUGCGCUGCAACUUUGCUGCUUCCUUCUCAGUUUCGCAAUCUCUGUAUGCAUCUCGUAUCACCUGACCAAGGUCAUCAGUAGGGUCAUUUUCUGCAAACUCAUCUUCAUCAGCCUCGCCCAUUGUAGUACCUGCAAAAGCUUGGCCUGCAACCCAGUCCGGAAUGGUGUCAUCUUCCUCCUCCUCCUCGCCAUCUUCCAUUACAACCCCUAGUUCACCGUGCUUGGUCCAAACCAAAUAGUUAGGCAUGAAACCGUAUUUAAACAAGUGGCUGUGAAUAGUCCCCCAGGAAUUCUUUGAAUACUCCUUCCUGUUAUUGCAUUGGAAGCAUGGACAACAUACGAACCCAUUCUCUGGCUUGUUCGCUUUUGCCACUUCGAGAAAAUAAUGCAAGCCAUCAAUAAACACCUUGCUCCGCCUGUCUGCAUUAUACAUCCAAUGCCGGUCCAUCUGCAUCGUAUUACGCACGAAAAUGGAUUACACUUGACAAUGGAUUACGCGUGAAAAUCGAUUAAAGAUCCAAACAACAUGGUACAAUACAACAACAUGAAGAUCCAAAUACACAUAUUUAAAUUAAAGUCCCAAACACUGCAUAAGUUGUUCAACUUGAAGACCGUGAUCAUCUCGUGAGGAUGUCCUCAACUGGGCGGCACCGCACUUCGUCAUUAAAGAGGUUAGAUGCUACGGAAAAGGGGACACGGUCACAAUGUCCGUAUCCACUCUUUCUCGUAGAAUCGAACCUCCUUCUUGACAUACGUUGCUGCUCGGCGGAGAACAUCCUCGGCGAGAUGAACACGGUAUGCAAGUUCAACAAGUAGCAGAAGUCAUCUAUGUACAAAAAUUCUUUCCUUACCACUACAGAAGUUGUUGAACUUGAAGACCGUGUUCAUUUCGCGAGGAUGUCCUCAGCUAGGCGGCACCGCACUUCGUCAUGAAAGAGGUUAGAUGCUACGGAAAAGGGGACACGGUCACGAUGUCCGUAUCCACUCUUUCUCGUAGAAUCGAACCUCCUUCUUGACAUACGUUGCUGCUCGGCGGAGAACAUUCUCGCCGAAAUGAACACGGUAUGCAAGUUCAACAAGUAUAUGGAUUUAAAAAACCAUAUUGAAUUUGAUAAGAUAAACCGUCUAGACAAGGUAGCAUCAUUUUUAAACCACUGAAAUAAUGCAUACUAUAUAUGACACAUCAAUCUCCCUCACAUUCUAGCUCAAAAUACCUCUCCAUUUUUCUACUUCAUCAUCACAUUGUAGCAAAUAAUCUUUCCAUCUCCAAAGCAUAAAUCAAAGCAUAACACGAGGAUGAAGUAGCAAACCUUCGCAGCACUUGUUGGCUGAGUCAAAUUCCCACGAAAAUGAGGGAAAAAAGUUCGGGCAGCACCUCCCUUGCUUGGGCACCACCGGAGAGUAGGUGAAGCUCAGCUCUCUAUCAAUGUGCUGGACUGCUCGGGCUGGAGGAAGAAGAAAGUCUCUGUCUCGGGGUAUAGUGGGGGAUGAGUUUUAAUCCCGGUUAAAAACUCCAACCGAGACAAAAGGAAACACCUUUUGUCCCGGUUGGAAAGUUAGUCCCGGUUGGAGGAUCCAACCGGGAUAAAAGGGACACCCUUUUAUCCCGGUUGGAGGCACCAACCGGGACUAACCCUUUUAUCCCGGUUGGUGCCUCCAACCGGGAUAAAAGGGUGUCCCUUUUAUCCCGGUUGGAUCCUCCAACCGGGAUAAAAGGGUCCCGCCACCGACGGCCCCCGCUAGCCGUUGCAACCGGGACUAAAGGGGGGCCUUUAGUCCCGGUUGCAAUUACCAACCGGGACUAAUGCUCCCCUCCAAAUUCCCGCACCCCGGCGCACCCCCUUUUGUCCCGGGCCACUUUUAAACCGGGAUAAAAGGGGGUUGAUCGAAAGUCAGUUCUCUACUAGUGAUCGGUGACUCCGCUCGAGGAGAAUUGUUUAUAUCAAGCAUAGAAAUGACAACGUUGGAAGUGGAGGAUAUAUUUUGCUCUGUUGAUUUAAUUGCCGCGAGAGUGGCGGACAAGUUCUAAUGAUUGAAGAUCAGAAGCGUCUCGUGGAGAAUUUUUCAGAAGCUAUAUUUGGAAUUAUUAUAUUAUCUCAGGAGCAGAUUAAAUAUAACGCCACCACUGAAAGCCGAUGAGAUGUAUCUAUCGGCUACAUGCUAUUCAGAUGAAUUUGAUGACAGAUUAAUUACGGAGGAGACCGACCGAUACAACAUUAUGGUUUCUUACUGCUGAUCUGUUAUGAAAGAGGAUGUGAGAAGCUGAUAAUCAAGCAACAAUAAAAUGAUAUACACGCAGGGCAUUAAAUAUUGAGUUAAUGAUUGGGAGUACUACCAUUAUCUUAUGAAAAGUCCAUCGGCUAACCAAACAGCGUCAGCCGAUGGAAGCAAAUAGUGUCAGCCGAUAGAAUGAUGUUAUAUAAGUAUAUAUAUCGGCCUCCGAGCCAAUGGGAAGUAGGAACUAUCAGCCGAUGCACACAUCCAUGGACAUAGCCGAUAAGACAUUGUAUCGGCUGCUUGGCAAAUAAAAAUAGCAUCGGCUGACCGCUUGUUAAAAUAUUAUCGGCCGAUUGCUUGGCAAAAUAGUAUUGGCUGACUGCUUGGCAAAUAAAAAAAUAAUAGGUUGACCAAAAAAGGAUAGCAUUGCCUGAUUGCUUGGCAAAUAAAAAAAAUUACGUCGGCUGAUUGGUUCCAGCAAAAUAGUAUCGGCUGCUUGUUGAUCAGAAAAAGCCGAUACUGUUACAGCUCCCGCAACUGUGCUUUGCUGUCAUCGGCUGGGUUGUUCGUGCUCCAUCUGCAAAUAUUUGUCCCGGCUAGAAAGUAUCGUACGUGCAUUGGGAUUCGGCAGUACAAAUCACGUACACGCGUAUGGUCUGCUCAGAAGCUGUCUGUUCGACGAAGUUCCAGGCCAAUGGUGGAGACUUGAUGACCAUGGUGACCUGCAUUAAUCAACAUGAAGUAUGUAUCGGCUGUUCGGUGAUUGGUAGCAAAUCAGCUUUCUCAUAGCCGGUGACAUAUGGGGCAAGAAAUAUCAGGCUUAAAAAAGGACAGUACGAUCAAUGUCGAAAGUUGUAGCCGACGGUUCUAUUAUUGUGCAGUCGAUGGAACAUAGAAGAUGCAUCUGAAUGAGCAAAAGGAAGGGAGCCGAUAGAAGGGAAUUUAAGUUGCAUGAGAUCCAAUUAAAUUAAGAUGACGAGAGGUGUUGACAUCGAAUCAUCGGACUUCUACGAAGUCUUCAUACUCCGAAACUAGGGAGUCUGUGUUAACACCAAAAUUUAGAAAUAUGCUGAUGCAAAAAAAUAAUGAAAUCUCCUAAAUAAGGCUCAAGAAAGAAAAAGCAAGAAAAGAAAAUCAAUCGCACGCGGCAAGAAUUGAAUAAAAUAUUCUAGAGGUAGAGUUGGUUAGGAUAAGCUUAAUUAGGGAUAGAGUUGGAUUAGUUAGAGAUAGUAUUUUGAUUAGAAAAGAUUGUGUACAUGACUUGUACGUGGUGCGUCAGAGGCCAUCCGCCCUAUAAAUAUAAGGGGUCGUGGCCAUUGUAAUUAUCAUCACACGAUCAAUAUACAACAUAUUUAUCUUUUACCUUUUCGGCUUCACGCCAUUGUAUUAGGAGUAGGAGUAAUGUAGCUUCCUGACGAGUUCCUUCUAGCAAGCUGUGCUGCAUUGACCUUGAUCUCUGGCGAGCUGCAAAGUUCCGUCACCAGGUGUUCUAGGCUUUAACCACCGGGCGCAUCGCUUGUGGUUUCGUCUAGUUUCAUCUACAAGGUAUCGAAUAUCAUGGAUCUUUAACUUACGCAUCGCUUCUGUCUUGAUCUACGGUAUUCACCAGUUAUCCUGCCUUGGUUAAGUCUGCAUCGGCUGAUAUUUAUCUGUUCUAUCAUCUUGCCGUUCAGUUUGCUUUAAUUAGCUUUAGAUCGGUUCAUUAUAGAUGAUAGAUCGCUUAAUAGCCUGUUGCAUCUUAAUCUUGGUUACCCCUUCAAGUGCUGUUGGGAUUAAGUUUCGUUAUGAUUGGAUUCAUCGGCUGGUGGGGUUGGUGGGGUUCAGAUUAACAUCGUGCUAAAUAUUUCUAGACUGCAACUACUGGACGCAUCGCUGUGGUUUCAUCUAGAGAUAUUGGUAGAGAGUUUAGUUUAGAUCUCAUCGGUUCGUGGCUCUAGCUAUGGUGGAGCGGCAGCUGAAUAGCAUCCUGUUUUCUAUCGGUCGCCUGGCCGAUAGUUAUUGCAAAAUAUAUUAAAUCGCCUGGAUGGCCGAUGGAUCACUCACGCUCGUCAAGGAUCAUAUCGGCCUGAUCGGCCAGUUGCCUCGGACUUCAAAGGAUUAUUUUCACCUUGUCAGUUGAAUGGUCAAACUGGCUGGCACGCCCGCGCACACCAUGCGCGCCGAUUUGGAUUUUGCACUGGAGUUAAGUAGAUCUUCCAGGUCCUCAUGUGGUGACGAAGGAUCCACCACCAUCAGGAUUUUGCGUCAACACAUUUUGGCACGCCCAGUGGGACACGGUUAUAAGGUUCAUAUUUUUAUUCAUAUAAAAAAGCAUCUUCGGCAUCAUCGGCCAAAUGAGUGUUCAUCGGCUUGUUAGAAUUAAUUCAAUAUAAUAUUUCAGCAAAAGCAGCCGAUGUAGCGAUUGGAGAUAAGGCCAAGUCAAGUCUGCGUGUAUACGCAUGUUCCGGUGGGAUCAUCUUCAUAAAUGCCAAUGACGAUUAGAGAUGAAGCUUCCUGCAAAAUGAUUGGCUACUCUAUCCGGGAAGAAUUGCUUUUUUAUGAGGCAUAUAUAGAGACCCAUGUUGCAAUUAGGGGGCGUAUUCGUGCAUUGGCUGAAAUAAAAAAAUGCAUCGGCAUAUUGAAAAUUGCAUCGGCCGAUUGACAGUCGUAUCAGCUGAUUGGAAAAAUAAAAAGGGAUCAGGGAUCCGCCGAUUGAAAAUUGCAUCAGCUGAUGGAAAAUGAGAGCAACAGUUACAAUAUUUUUUUUAAAAGAAAGCAAGUAUCGGCAAGCAGUAGCCGAUGGAUUUGUAUUUCAGCCAAUGGGGUUUUUGUUUCAGCUGAUAGUACUACUGGCUGAUGGCAAGUCCAAUGGAGUUAAAAUUGCAUUGACUGAUUGAAAUAAAAAUUAAGUAUCGGCUAAUUUAUGGCCAAGUAGCAUCUGCUGAUUUGUUGCAAAGUAGUUUCGGCUGAUUUAUGGCAAAAUAGAAUCGGCCGAUUUAUGGCAAAGAAGCCAAUAGACAAAAGCAUCGGCUGGUAGAGAAGCCGAUUGAGCAAGCAUCUGUUGAUGAGCUAUGUAUGGGAAAAAGUAUUGGCUGCUUAAACAAUUGACAAAAGCCAAUUGGUCAGACUGAGAAGCCAACUGGGAAAGCAUCGAUCGAUGGAUUGCGUAUGGGAGAGAGUAUCGGUUGAAGUCUUUAGUAUUGACUGCUAGAUAUUUGAGCAAGCGUCGGCCGAUUGACUGCUUGGUAAAAAAAACAUCGGGCUGAUUGCUUGGUUAAUAAAAAAAUUGCAUCGUUCAAGCAAAGAUUGCAUGGGCUGAUUGGUUCAAGCAGAAUAGUAUCGGUUGCUUAUAGAAUAUAUCGGAUAUUAAUUUCGAAGCAUGAAAAUAUUCAUACUCCGAAACUGGGGGGCCUGUGUUGACAACAAAAGCUUGCUGGUUACUGCAUCAAGUUUUGGUGUCAACAUACUUGAUCUUUUGUUUCCAUUGCCAGCGGAUUCAUCGGCUCAGAGUGGGAUCAAGACAUCAAGCUGAUGGAGUUCUUUAUAUUUCAAGAGGAGUCAUGGAGUUCUUUAUAUUUCAAGAGUAGUCGAUGGUGCUUUGAAUAUUGCAACCAGACGUCAUUGGCUCUAAAGAUACCGAAUCAUCGGACUUCUAUGAUCAGUUUCGGAACAUGAAGCCUUCAUACUACGAAACUGGGGGCCUGUGUUGACACCGAAUCAUCGGACUUCUAUAAUUAGUUUUGGAACAUGAAGCCUUCAUACUUCGAAACUGGGGGGCCUAUGUUAACACCAAAAUUUAGAAAUGUGCUCUGAAAGGAAGGUAUCGGCCGAUGAUGCAAAAAAAUAAUGAAAUCUCCUAAAUAAGGCUGAAGAAAGAAAAGCAAGAAAAGGAAAUCAACGCACACGGCAAGAAUUGAAUAAAAUAUUCUGGAGAUAGAGUUGGUUAGGAUAAGCUUGAUUAGAGAUAGAGUUGGAUUAUUUAGAGAUAGUAUUUUGAUUAGAAAAAAUUGUGUACAUGACUUGCCUUGUACGUGGUGCGUCAGAGGCCAUCCGCCCUAUAAAUAUAAGGGGUCGUGGCCAUUGUAAUUAUCAUCACACGAUCAAUAUACAACAUAUUUAUCUUUUACCUUUUCGGCUUCACGCCAUUGCAUUAGGAGUAGGAGUAAUGUAGCUUCUCGACGAGUUCCUUCUAGCAAGCUGGGCUGCAUCGACUUCGAUCUUCGGUGAGCUGCAAGUUCCGUCACCAGGUGUUCUAGGCUUUAACCACUGGGCGCAUCGCUGUGGUUUCGUCUAGUUUCUUCUACCAGUUACCGAGUAUCUUGGAUCUUUGACUUAUGGCACAUCGCUUCUGUCUCGAUCUACGGUAUUCACCAGUUAUCCCGCCUUGAUUAAGCUUGCAUCGGCUGAUAUGUAUCUGUUCUUUCAUCUUGCCGUUCAAUUUGCUUUAGUUAGCUUUAGAUCGGUUCAUCAUAGACAAUAGAUCAUUUAAUAGCAUGUUGCAUCUUGAUCUUAGCUAUCCUUCGAGUGUUGUUGGGAGUAAGUUCCGUUGUGAUUGGAUCCAUCAGCUAGCAGGGUUUAGAUUAACAUCCUGCUAAAUAUUUCUAGACUGCAACUACCGGGCACAUUGUUGUGGUUUCACCUAGAGAUAUUGGUGGUGACGUUAGUUUAGAUCUCAUCGGCUUGUGGCUCUAGCUAUGGCGGGGCAACAACUCAACAACAUCCUGUUUUCAAUCGACCGUCUAACUGAUAGCUAUUGUAAAUUAUAUUAAAUCGGCUGGAUGACGAUGAAUCACUCACAUUCAUCAAGGUACUGGAAUCGGCUUCACAGCCGAUAUAUUUGUCAUGAUUUAUUUUGUUGCACCAUUAUCGCUACUGUGCUAGGAUUAUAUCGGCCUAAUCGGCCAGUUUCCUCGGACUUCACAACGACUAUCAUCUCCUUGUCAGUUGAAUGGUCAAACUGACUGGCAUGCCCGCGCACACCACACGUGCCGAUUUGGAUUCUGCACUGGAAUUAAGCAGAUCUCCCAGGUUCUCAUGUGCUGAUGCAGGGUCCACCACCGCCAGGAUUUUGUGUCAACACCUUGUAAUCUUCCUUUGAUUUCCUCAAUGAUUCGAAGACAAUAACCUUGCUUGUAUAAAUGAUAAUUAUAAGGAGAACCUAGUGGAAACUGUGUAUUCAUAUUAGAACUACCUAUGGUUAAUUAGGUUAGGAAAGGAAAUCGAAAAUAGACCGUACCCACACUUACUUAAAGUUGUUGGGCAGUAGUAUGUAAUGCUUGUAAUUCUGUUACUCCAAGAAUUUGUAUAUGUGGUCCAAUGUAGACUUUGGUUGAUCCCAUAUCUGUUGUUGGUUAAAUAAGUGUUUCUGGCCAUUUCUAGCCGUUAGAACCGGAACUAAAGGGGGCUCUUUAGUACGGGUUGAUAUUACUAACCGGGACUGAAGAGCCCCCAUUACAGUUGGUUUUUGGACGCGGAACUAACAACUCCUUUAGUCCCGAGUCCAAAAACGACUGAGAUAGAAGAUCCUUUCUCUACCGUGAAUAUUGCCAGAAAGAAUUGAAAGAGACCGCUUGCUAAAAAUAUGUCAUAGAUGUAGACCAAGCUACCAAGGAGGUAGACCAAACAUGAUACACACCAUGCGUACCUUGCUGUGCAGACUAUGCAUAGACAAGACACCCGACCACAUGUUGGCCUCGGUCACAUCAAAAGAAUCAUGUAGGCCACCAAUAAACUACUUGAAGCGUCAUUCCGUAUCGUAUAUGCAUUGCCGGUUCAUCUGCAUUACAUUACAUAAAGUAGUAUUAACUAUUUGAAUAAAAUGAACCAAUUUAAAAGUAAUGUGUUGUACUCUACUAUAGAAAGCCCUAUCACUGUCGGAUCCAGAAACAUCAUUGUUGAUGGUCGUUAAGUACCAAGACGGUCAAUAUUCUCAAGAAUAAUGGAGAAUUGGCAUUUCUUACACACAUAUUUGGUUUUGAACAAUGUAGUCCCACAUGUCCUUGGAGAUUAUUUGGGUGUGGGUGAAAUAAUACAAAAAGAAGGAGAAAACACACUCCCAUGGUGAAGAAACAAAACUCCGACCAAUGAGAGAUAGCCACAGGGGCAGCACACGGAUCCAUGGGCCCACAAACCGCAUCAAACUGUCUUACCAAGGCGGGUAGCACCCACAACCAUGAUUAGGACCCACCUGGAUGUCUACCAAGAAGAAGGUUGUGAGUGGGGCCAGGAGGGGUUCGGCUGAAUCAUCUCUAGCUCCCCUCAUCCCCAGCUGGUGCAUGGCGGUGGUUAAUGGUGUCCCUACAUCGGUUAGAGGAGAUUCCCCCAAAUAUUCCUCCUGUAAACCACCUGUAUGGACCUAUACAUAGAGGGGUGUGCUCUCCAAUCCAACACACACCACAAGUUUAAUCACUCUCUCCCUCUUUAAUUUCCAUGUUUAUGGAGUUAGCCUAGAGUAGCUCUGCUCAAGGUUCCAAGUCCACUUGGAGUUAAGCAUAUGUCUCUUGUAUCGUUAUUUCCCAGAUUGACUUUAUGCUUAGUUCUUAUAUGCAUGAGUUAGUCUAAUAGCCUUGCUCUAUUGAUAUGCUCGGCUUAUAUGCUCGUAUGCUAGUCAUAUACCCUUGCUGCCGUAGUAUAGGCUUAUAUGCUCUCAUGUGUGCCUUUAGACCUUGCUACAAUAUAUACUUGUUGUGUAUACAUACCAUGUAUAGGCUAGUCGAUCUAUACCAUGGCAUUGGUUCAAUAGCCAUGUUUUUGGUGGCUCCAACCCUAGUCAGAAUAGCUCGGGACAGCUAGAGUGUUGUUAAAAAUGCAAGAGUGAUGGUUGGGUUGUUUAGCAUCGUUGGAUAUGGGUUUUCCCCACGGGUUUCUAAGAGUAGGCGGCAGCUAGUGACAGCCCUGUCCGUCCUUCGUAAUCCCCCCACAUUCAAGUACGCCAUAGAAGUUCAUAAAUUAGCAGUAACUACACCGGCAGACCGGUAGGGUAUUGUCUCCCUAUAGUACCUUGGUGCAUAGAACUAGGUCAUAUACACUGUGUGUCUAUGUUUACGCUGAUAUGAUCUGUGCAGUAUAUAGCAUGUAUAUAUGAACCUAGAGCUAACUCCUAGUCCAUUCUCCGUAGCUUAGUUAUCUUGAGAUGAUUCUUCUGUGUGUGUAACACUACCCAUCUUAUCAUUAUCCUUAAUCCUGUCUUGUGUAAUAUAUCUACUCAUCCUAUGAUAUACUCAUAUGCAUAGUAAACUAUUUUGACCUACCCGCCUUCCUUUGGGAAAUACGAUACCCUGGAAUAAUCCUAGGUGAAAUGCUACAACGGUAUAUCCAUGUGCUUACGGAAUUAUUCCUGACCAUUAAAUAUACCAACAAUCAUCACUAUCUAUUUUGGGCAUCGUUAGUGAAGGGUCGGCAGUGAUGGGCAUCCCCUUCACCAAUGGAGCUGGAACUGGCGGUGAUGGCCAUUAAAAAAAAUGGGACCCCACCCAGCGUACCCCGCAACCCGGCCGGCUGCGCCUCCCAUCAUCCCCGCCGGUCGCCCUUCCUCUUUGCCGGCCGAGCAUGGUUCCGGCCCUCGUCCCUACCGCCUCGCCUCCAUCGCGACCCCCUGCCGAUGCCCUCAUGCCUGGCCCCCCUCGUCUGGCCGGCCACCCUCCCGAUGCAUCCACCGGGGCCCUCGCACCACCAACCACCCUAGCCUAGAGAGAGAGAGGAGGAGGGAGGUGAGGCCACGCACCUCGUCCUACAACGCCGCUGUUGCUCCUCGGCCCACCGCGCCUCACCCCACACCACAGCCGCACCUCGCCAUCUUACCGGCCGCGACGCCCCAUCUCACCGGCCACCGUUCCUCACCCCCACAUCGGUCAUCGCUGCUCCUUGCCCUACUGCUGCUCUUUGCAGCCGCGAAUGAGGGGCGAGUGGAGGGGGAGGGGCGGGGCAGGAGGAGGGCAAGAUCCGGGAGGAAGGGAGAGAUUUUGGGAGGUGGAGAUGGAAGGAUAUGGCGGAAGGUAGAGAUCUAGAGGGAGAGAGCGGGGGGGAGAGGGGGGCAUGUGGGGAGAGAGCGCAUGUGGGGUGGGGCCGGGCUGGUGGGAUGGAAGGUAGAGGGGCCGGAGGGCGCAGUGCAUUCAACUGGAUUAAGUAAAUAUUUCGGAUUCGAGACCCCAGCUUUAUUAUCACCGCUGGUCCGUAGUACCAUUCGGUGCCGGCUCAUAAUUUAAUUUGAACCGGUGGUGAUGUUUUAUUAUCACUGCUGGUUUCAAUUUUCACCAUCGGAUCAUAUAAAAAUCCGGCGGUUAAAAAUCCGCUGGUUUCGAUGAAAACCGACAGUGAUAGGACGACUGUGAUAGUCUCUUCUCUAGUAGUAGUAUAUUAGUACCGGCUGCCGGAUGGUGUUGCCGACGAGUACUUCUCCAGGGGCGAUUCAGUACUGAUGUUAGCAAAGCUUGUUCUCUAUGAAUUUGGGGAUGGAAAGCUAGUUCUCUAGUUGUGAUUUGUUACAUAUAUCUCUAUGAUAGUCUAGAAAUUGCAUGUCCUUCGUUGACAUAGUUGAAGCUGCUUCAAGAAUUUACUUCGUGCAGUCGUGCAGCAUAUUGGAUUAUCACCUAGACAGGAUACAUAGGUGAAGCAUUGCAUGUGAUUGUGGCUGAUAAUUAUGCAGGACGCUGUUGCAAUCAACCAUCAAGAAGACUGGAGCGAUGGGGUUGCCUCAUCAACAAUUUUUAUAUAUGGCUGCAGUAUUAUUAAGCCCACGUCAAUAAUUUUUUCUCCGCAGCAUAUAUAUGGUUACUCAGUUCGCUGGAGUAUCGCUGUGGAAAAACAUACGUACUGCGCCUCGGAACUAACUGGCAUUCAGGCCAUCAACGACCAGAUAUUUGGGACAACCAACAAAUAGUAGGUGGUUCCUAAGUUGUAGUCGUAUGUACUAAUGCGCCUCGAUGGGGUUUUCUUCAGAUAUUUUAUUGCCGUUCAAUGAACAAGCAGAUACAUAACCUGUGCAGAAAAUUCCAUCUCCACGCAUGCCACUGCACCAACAAGAUCCUCAGUCGACGAUGAUGGCUCAGCCUGUUCCUUCUGCCACCAAAUCCUCAAUCUUCCCUCCAGCAACGGAGAAUGCACCUUUAGUACCUUCAGUAUCAGAUGUUGCAAUCGGUACCGUGAAACCGAGACUAAAAUCCUUACUUUGCAGGGGGCAAAACAAUCUUGCAAAUAUAUAUUUUGAAUUCCAACAAAAUUUAAGAAAUGUUAAAGAUGACUAGCUGAGAGUCAACAGACAAGAUAUGAUAUUAGGAAUGUGGGAGGAUGAAUGCAUUUGUACAGGGGUCAUACUAUUUCCAGACUCUUCUAUAUUUCCAUAUGACUACCUACUUCAAUGUCACGCGAGCCAUUCAAAAAGAUACAUGGUACACUUGUAUGUCUAAUCCAUUAUUGAUUAUUUCCUCUUGUCAUCUCUUACAAGUAUUUCUCCAUACUAUAGAAACGUGCAACACAUUUUUAGGAUAUGGACACGCAUGAUUAAUAUGCUUGGACUAGUAUACAGGUCAUCUUUGGAUGAGUACAUAUGAAUGCCAGGGAGGGACUGAUGGAUAUAAGGAAAAGGGACCAUGCAUAAAUAAUGACAUAUGUAACAUGGCAAUCUUCAUUGCCAUGCAACUCCUAUCAACAAUCAUGGAAUACAUACUACUGCUCCAGAAGGGUGGUGUGCAAAUUUAUUUUACCUCGCGGUGAAAAUCUCCAGAGCAGGCCUGAAGUUAAAAUAAGAGGCAGUCACUAUCGAUCAUGACAGUCUCGAAACUGUACAGCACUAUGCUAGUCCUAGUCCUCAUGUCGUUCGUGCUGUCGUGUAGCAUGAUGGAUUAUUAACUGGGCAGGACACGGAGAUGGCUAGCGAUGACAGAGGAUGACGUACAUGAUAUUCACCUCUGAAAUGAAGCGUAGGCUAAUGAAGCACAAUUGCAUGUGAGUGUGGCAGAUAUUUAUACAGGACAGUGAUUGCAAUAAUCGACCAUCGAGAUCGAAGACAGGGGCGAUGGGGUUGCCUCAUCAAUAAUUCGCGCAACCAGACAAGCUGCAGACUCAAUAUGGUACGAAGCUAUUUGGUCAGCCCACAUGCUCUGAUAUAACAUUGGCAUCUGCUGAUCUACAGUAUAUAUGACCAGAAAUAUUGUGCCACCUCAAUAAUUUUCCGAAGUAUCGUUGGGGAAGCACCUACAUACUAUGCCUCGGAACUAACUGACAUGUUGGCCUAGGCGGUCCAGGCCGAUUGGACAGGCUCUUCCUUAUGGCUCCUCACGUCCCCUUCGUUUCCGAGUAAUCUCAGGUGUUCUGAAGUUUUCUUUUCACUUGCAUGUGGACCUUAUAUAUCAAUAGCUUCGGGAUAAGAAUGCCUCUUGAUAACCUUCCAAAUCGUCGCUUGAUUCACUUUGAUUCCAAAAUCAUCUUGCCAUAUCUUUUGAGACUUAGGCCCUAAGGCAUCAUGGAGGAUUGCUCGCCAAGAAUGAGCACCAUUGGGCUCCUGAGGACCCUAGGCCGAUCAGCCUGGGCUCUAUAGGUUGAUUGGCCCAGGCCCUCUCUGGGCCCAUUGGCCUUCAUCUUUCUCUGAGUCGACGCUUAUUGAGGGCUUUGUCCAAUUAUAGUCCAUUAUAGUCUAAUUUCCAAAAAAAUAGAAUAUCCUCCAAAAUACAAUACAUUUGUGAAAACAGCCCAAUUAUUAGGUAUGAUCAAUAGUCUAGGUAUUAAAUUAAUGUUAUUAUUUAAGAUAAAUAGGGAUAAAGGGUGUCAUUAAUAACGAGCACCAACCAGCGUACCAGCUGUUAACACUAACCGAUGCUAAUAUGUACCCUUUAGUACCGGCUAUUUCACCCGGUACUAAACGAGACAAGAGCACCCUAACAGAGGUUAAUACCAUCCAUUUCAUGAGUAAAAUACUAUGAUUCAAAAAUAAUUCAAAUCCCUUAAGACAAUACCUAUCAAAUGAGUAGAUUGUAAAUAGAGUAAAACAAUGUCCUAAUGAAACGGAACACUUCUGGUUCGUGUAGAGCACAAUAUAGAAAACAGUAGGGUAGCUGUACGAUUGACACGUGGUCCAUUAAUUAUUGAGCCAUCACUAUGGACAUGUCUUCAUGAGUAGUGUACUAGUCAUGACACAUGGUAUGUAGUAGGUGGAGGUAUUGAGUUAGCCAUGCCAUGAGCACUUAGUUACAACAAACACUUUGCCAUUAUCGAGCAUCCCAAAUCACUACAAAAUCCAUAGUUUACCAUAUACUACAAAAUCUGAGUUAAAAUAAGAGCAUACACGGAAGAGUCCGAAUGCACCGGUUUAGGACCAGGCACAUUGAAUUACUAGAAAAAGUUAUCGGACAAGGUUUUGGGUAACCGCAUGAAAAAUGUUGGAUUUUACUGAACACUUAGUUACAAUUACCAUGCCGUGAGCACUUAGUCACCACAAACAUUUAACCACUUUAGAUCAUCCUGAAUCCCUAUAAAUUCUGUACCUUACACCGUACCAUGAAAACGACAAGAACAGAGACAGAUGCAGUGAAAAUCUCCAGAGCAGGCCUGAAAUUAAAAUAAGAGGAGGCAGUCUCUAUCGAUCAGGACACGGAGAUUGCUAGCCAUGACAGAGGAAGACAUGAUAUGAUAUUCACCUCUGAAAUGCAGCGUAGACUAAUGAAGCACAAUUGCAUGUGAGUGUGGCAGAUAAUGGACCAUCGAGACCAUCGAAUGGUAUGAAGCAUGAUUAUCACCUAGACAUGAUAUCCUAGACAGGACGGUGAAUUGUAAAAAGAGUAAUCUUGAUCAAAGAAUGUCCUAAUGAAACGGAACAUUUUUGGUACGUGUAGAGCACAAUAUAGAAAACAGUAGAGUAGUUGUACGAUUGAAACUGCAUCCAUCCACGUGGUCCAUGAAUUGUUGAGCCAACACUGUGGACAUGUCUUCAUGAACACCAUCUAGUGAGGACAGGAUGCAGAAAAAUAUAAAAACAUGUCAUAGGGAGGCAGACCAAUCUUGCAAGGAGGUAAACGAAACGUGAUACACGAUCUGCCUACCUUGUCGUGGAUACCCCAAGAGAAGAUGUCAUAGAGGUGCAGACCAAGCUAGCAAGGAGGUAGAUGAAACGUGAUACACGGCCUGCCUACCUUGCCGUGGAUAUUAGCCCUGAUAUCAUUCUAUUGUUCAAGGAAUAACACUCAAUGCUGCUGCUGCUGCUGACCUGGCUCCAUAAAGUUGUAUUCCUCUAGCCGCUUGCACUAACUUUAUCUGAAGUAUUAUUCUCUCUGCCCUGAUAUCUGAAGUAUUAUUCUCUCUGCUGACUUUGCUGAAGAACCUACAUAAUAUGUCUUGGAACUAACUGACAUUGAUUCACAGACAAACUCUACAAGGUGCUGUUGUUGCCAUAUUUUAGAGCAUCCCAAAGGACUAUAAAUAAUAUAGUUUACCAUAUACCGUAUACCAUUAUAUGUUAGCUAAAAUAAGAGCAUAACAUGUCGCAGGAGUCCAAAAGCACCGGUUGAGGACCAGGUACAUUGAAUUACUAGAAAAAGACAGGGGGCAAUGUUUAGGUAGCCACAUGAAAAACAUUUGAAUUUACUGUUCCAUGAACACUUAGUUACCAUGCCGGGAGCACCUAGUUAACACUAAAAUUUAGCCACUUUAGAUCAUCCCGAAACACCCUCAAUAGCGACAAAUUUUGAUUUAAAUGCCGUCACCAAUGAUCCUCAAUAGCGACGUGUUUAGGUUUAAAUCCCGUCACUAAUAACCCUUGGUAGUGACGUGUUUUGGUUUAAAUCUCAUCCCACUGAUCCUCAAUAGUGACGUGUUUUUAGCAACACACGCUAUGAAUGACUUGUCAUUGGUGACAUGUUAAAUGCGUUAUCUCAAUGGCAAAUCAUUGGUGACGUGUUUUAAAAAAACAUGUCACUGUGAGAGUUAUUGGUGAAGGGUAAUUAAAAUGCAUCACUAAUUUUGUAGCAUUAGUUAUGAUAUAAUUUAGUAACGCAAAAAUCUACCAUCAGUAAUGAGGUUUAGAGCCGUCGCUAAUGUGGGUUUCUUACGAGUGAUGCAAGCUCUACAAGGUGCUGUUGUUGCCAUUUUAAAGCAUCCCAAGUGACUACAAGUUAAUAGCAUAGUUUACCAUAUACCAUAAAAAUAUUAGUUACAAUAAGCACAUCCGCAUGUGGAAGAGUCCGAAUGCACCAGUUGAGGACUAAACACAUUGAAUUACUAGAACCAAAUGUAAGACAAAGAAAGGGGUCAAGGUUUGGGUAACCGCAUUAAAAACAUUGGAUUUUACUGUACCAUGAACACUUAGUUACCAUUACCAUACCUUGAGCAUCUAGUUACCACAAACAAUAAUUUAGCCACUUUAGAGGUUCCAGAAUCACUAUAAAUAAUAUACCAACACCGUACCAUGAAAACAUCAAGAAGAGAGACGGGUACAUGGACCACCAUCAAGUGAGUAGUGACAGCACGCACAAGAAUACCCGGAACCUGUUAGCUUGUCUGUAGUGAUCUGUUUUCUUCCCCAUAAAAUCCAUGAGUAUUGCCACAAAUAAUGAAAGAGGCUGACCAAGCUAACAAGGAGGUAGAGAAAACGUGAUACACGUAGGUUUCAUUCAAGACAUCCAUGUAAGAUUCAUUCAAAACAUUCAUGGAAAUUUCUUGUAAGUUUUCAUGUAAAUUUCAUUCAAGACAUUUGUUAGAGGUGUUGUAUAUAUAUACCUUAACGUACAUAUAUCUAUGAUUUCAUGGUUGUUAGUGAUGGCAGAUGAGGAGCAUGCAAGGUAUUUAAUGGAGCAGAUUAUUGCUAGUGGUAGUGGCUCCAACCUGCCCGUAACGUACACCAACGAAGAGAGCAGCCAGGCGGACAUGUUCCUCAACAUAUCCGGUGAUGGCAAUGAAGAGCCCGAGCAAAACCUUGCCGUGACGGAAGGUUCCAGUGAGGUAUAUAUCAUUUCCAUUGUUUUACCCCAUCUAUAAUUUCAUAUUCAUUAUUACUAUGUACUAAUUAAUGGAUCUUGAACCAUUAGCCCUCUAGAUCAACGAACCGAAAUAAGCCCCGAGGUCUUACAAAGAUAAUGCAGGGAAGGCAUCACAUCACGGAAGUCACAGAAGAGGGCACAUCAGUUGCUCCCGAACAUGUGGCAAGAAAGUACGUGAGUCAAACCGGGCAAUGUGCCCAUCAGCAUUAGGGAAUGAAAGGGCAAUAGAAAUGAUCUAUACACGCCCCCGGAUACACAAAAGGAUAUGCUGUGGGCAAAUAUCAAGAAACACUUCACAUUUCCCAAAGGAUAUGUUGAAAAAGAUGUGAAAGCGUGGAUGCUGAAGAAGAUGGUCACCGAAUUCCAGACAUUCAAGAAGAUGUUGGAUGUCAACUUCAUCAAGAAGGGUCGAACUCCGGGUUUCGAUGAGUGGCCAAAGUUAAGGGACCACUGGGAGUCAUUUGUCAAAUACAAGACGAGUGAAGGUGGUGCGAGUAAGGUUCGCAUCAAUGUUGCCAAUGCUAGCAAGGAGUACCAUCAUCAUCUAGGGCGACGUGGUUACAGCACUGCAAUUCCCAGAUGGCGCAAGAUGGAACAAGACCUGAUCGAUCGGGGUAUCGUACCAGCAACUCCUGACUGGCCUGAUCGAUUGAAAAAUUGGUAUUAUGCUCAUGAAGGCAAUCUGAGCCAACAGGAUGCGACAUUGGUCUUCAAUAAAACAAUACGUCAGAAGGCCGGAAGGCUUAUUAGGAACAUUGAAAAUGCUAAAUCUGGGAGGUUCAAGGUGGAUAGAGAGAAUGAUGAGCUCACAUUGGCCCUUGGGACUAUCAUCUCUAGCAUUUCCAGCUCCAGGACUGUCGUCACCACCGGGACCGUCGCUUCUUGCUCGAUCACAGUCUCCAUCUCCAGCACAUCCUGGUGGUGCGAACGAUGACGACAACAACACCCCUCCCUGCCCACCAUCGCCGGGACUAAGACCCGCAUCGAGUAAGGAACCUGCAGCACCACUGAAGAAGUCGCGACCACCGCCUUCCAAGCCAAGUCAGCAAAAGAAGAAAGCAGAGAAGCCUAAGCCCACUGAGAAGCCAACAACCGAUAUGACCGAUGCGGAAAGAUGGAAGGCACUCAAAGAAGAAUGCAGGGAGUGGUUCUGUAAAAAGAACCAAAGAAAGAAAAGGAAAGCAGAUGGAGCCACCGCCAGUAGAUCCAAGAAAAUUAUAAUUUUUUAUUAAGAUGUCAAAAGGAGCCAAGAAGAUGAUUCCACAACUAUCAAACUACGACCGGGCGUUAGUCAAGGCUGAUGAGAGUUAAAAAAGGAAAGGAAAGUCAUCUUCAAGUGGUACUGUCCCCCACCUCGAGGAUCUACCAGAAAAAGACGCUAAAAAGAUAGUAGCAAUGCUCUUGGAUCAACAAACACAUAUAUCAUGAGAUUCAUGCAAGAAACAGGUAUGUGCCUUGCUGAAUGUCUAGGGCAAGUUGAUAUGCUAGCUCUAGAGCCAUUUGUACCGAAAUGGACCUUUGAGCUAGGCAAGCCUCUAGUAAGGCCUGAGCUGGUACAGAAGCUAUCCACAUAGCUAUAUGAAUACCAUGAAUGGUACAUGAAGCAGUCUGCCAAUGAGAGGAAAAUGUUCGGUCUCAGGGAAAAACUGAUAUUUUUUUUCGGCGAAGGCGAGAAAGUCUUGUGAUGGAAUUCAAGGAUAUAUAUGAAGUGUACCAUCAGGAUGCCCUUGAUGUCUCUCUCAUCAGCGCCUAGGUUAUGUAAGUGUAUGUUUAUCUAUACGUAAUUUUUGUCUCAUAUCAUUAUUUCUUUUGCGUGCGUCACCCUACUAACUUCGUCUUCCAUUUUAUGUAGGAUGCUAAUUCAGAUGUGCCGCAUAGAAGCGCACUUCCAUGUUGGCUUCAUGGAUCCAUCCCUAGUUAACCAAAAGCAGAUACGGAAGUAGCUAGAGAAAAUGUUGGAGGUGGUAUACAACUUCCUGGACAAACAAAACUAUAGAAUAGGGGCAAUAUGUGAAGGUCUUGUAGGAUUCCUAGUGGACAAGGUGAUAAAUCCAUAAGGAGAAUAUCAUUACAACGGACGAGCAUUAGACACACUGAGCAACACCUAGACGGGAGGAUCCUAGGAAUGACCUAGACAGAUUUUGGUAUAAAUAGUAAUUGUGUAAAUACUAGUUUGAUUUGUAUAGGAAUAUACUAAGAAUUGUAUAUAUAGUAAUUGUACAAAUACUAGUUUGAUUUGUAUAAAUACUAGAUUGAUUUUAUUAUAAAAAAGUUUUAAGUCGUACGUGCAUGCGCCUACAAAGGCGCGUAUGCCCUUUAAUCCCGGUUGGAAAAACAAACCGGUACUAAAGGGGCUCGUGCCGCACCUGGCAUGACCGCCCCUUUAGUCCCGGUUGAACGACCCAGGACCAAAGAUCUGCCCCGUCUCAUAAAUUUUAUCCUGGAUGCUUUUUAGAGAGAUUUGAGGCCUAUCAACCAAGACUAAUAUCGAGUUUUCUACCAGUGGAACUAACUAACGUUCACAUGCUUCUGACAUUCACCUGCCAUUUGGUGUAGACAAGGGCACCCUAACAUAUGGUUAAUAUUAUUCAUGAAAGAAAAUCCUUUGAUUCAAAAAUACUUCAAACCUAAUAAUACAAUACUUCUCACAUCUGAAAAAUAUGAGAUGGCCCGACAGUAUUCUAACCGACGCAAUAAUAUUUUGAGGGCAGCACUACUACAGCGACCCUCAUUCGUGCCGGUGCUGGAACCCCUAUCACGACCCUGAUACAAAUGAGGGUACAUUAUUGUUGCCAGUGCUAGAAUAGCCACGAAUAACUUGCUAAACAUGCUGUUACACUCACUACUAGAAAAAUAACCUCUCGUCCUGAGGCUUAGUACCGGUCACUUUUUUGCCCAGUACUAAUGUUAGUAUUAGUACCGGAUCCAAAUUUGGGAUCCCCCAGAGACCCUUUAGUACCAGGUGGAGUCUCCACCCGAUACUAAAGGCUUUGUUACCGGGUGAAGGAUCCUCCCGGUACUAAUGGGGGAUUUUUAGUACCGGGUGGGAACCCCACCCGAAACUAAAAUCUCCCAUGCGGACCCCUCCCCCCCCCACGCGUUGCCUCUGUCCUCCCUCCUCCUCCUCUGAGUAGUUAUCCCUUCCUCAUCCCUCCUCCUCCUCCCACACGUGGGGUGAGGUGAGGUGGCAGUAGCAACGACAGGUGGUGUGGCGGGUCACGGCGGGCCGGAUGCGGAGCCGCAACGGUGGUCGGCGGGAUGGGGUGGGGCAGAGCGGCAUGGCAGGGCGGAGCGGUGGGACGGGGCCGAGGUGGAGGUGCCGGGCGGAGGUGGAGUGGCAGGACAGAGGCGGAGGCGGAGCGGCGGGUCGGCGAGCGGGUGGAGGGUGGCGACGAUGGGGCGGGCAGAGGCAGAGGGGUGGGUGGAGGGGCGGCGUGGUCCACCGGCGGGGGGGGGGGGGGGAGAGGGAGGCGUGGGGGGUGCGGUUGGUGAUUUCAAUUUUCUUUUAAUUUUUUAACACCCUUCAGUACCAGUUAUUUUAACCGGGUCUAAAGGGAUCCCCUCUUGUACCGAAUUGCUAGUACAGGAUGCACAACCGGUACUAGAGGGAGGUUCCCAACCGGUACUAGAGCCACUUUCCCCGGUAGUGACUUUUUCACCGAUUAGAAUAUGUUAUUAUUCUAAUCAGCUUUUGUUGAUCUCCUGUAUAAUUUAGUACCUAAUUCUACUAGCAAUUGUUAACGCCGACACGUAUUGGGUAUAGUCCUAACAGUGUCUAACUAGGGCACUACAUUUGUUAACCUAUAACUACUGGUAUCGAUUAGCCCUGGUUAGAAUACUGUCAAGGCAGCCAGAAAAAAUUGUUUGCCAAUUCUGCUAUCCAUCAGAACCAUGACUAGUACCGUAUUGUAAUAAACGAAUUACACAAAUAACUGAUGCACACAAAGGAAUAUGCACUCGCAUGUGCUAGACGUUCGUAGCAACAACAAAUUACUCUCAUCAUCAAUUAAACAUAAUAGAUUAAACAUUAACUGAACAUAGUUCAACACGUACAUCAACAAGACAAAGCAGUUUAAACAUCAACUGAACAGAACUGAAAACAUACAUCAACUGAUGAUAAACUUCGACAUGAACACAACACAUAAACAUCAACUUCAAUAGAACUUAAUAGAGCAUAUUAAACAACAACAUCGACAAAACAUAUAAACCCAGCUCAGUAGCUCAAGCAUCAACUAAAACUGCUGAAUUAAAAUAACAUAACAUAGUGUAGUUCAUCAUGAUGAUAACUAACAGAACCGAAAAGCCUAACUGGGUAAAAGAGCAAUUCAUUCAUAAUGCUUCAGCACUUACAUCACCGGAGUAUGCAACUGGCGGCGUCGCUUACGUCACUAUCACCGCGCUUGGCGAGUAAAGGAGGAGGAGGUGGCAUAGUAAUCGAAGAGGAGGCCGCUGUCGGCGGGUUUAGACUACGUGGAGGUGUGGGUAGGGUUAAGGUGGCUCUGUGGACGAGUAUAUAUAAGAGGUCUGGGCUUGUUAGAAUAAGAUAACAUUCUAACUGGCCAAAUUCGGAUCCGGUUAGAAUAAAUUGUUCUAACCAGCCUUAAUUCGAGGUGGUAAGGAUAAGUUAACAUUCUAAUCAGCUCUAUUUGGAGCCCGAUUGAAUGUUCUUGUUAUUCAAAAAAAGAUCAAGUUCAUCAAUUUUUUUCUAGAAAAACAUCAAGAUAAUUUAAACACGAUAUAUAACAAGAUUAAUACAUUUAAAAAUUGUUUUCUCCAAUAAUUAACGAUAUUUAACAAAUUCAAAAAAAAUCCAAAUUAACAGAACAUAAUAACCAAUUGUUCGAAAAAAUCAAAAUAGUCCACACAGUAUCAUAUUACAAAUUCAGAAAAAUAUCAAAAUAAUCCCUGAUCCACUCGAUACCGUCGUAGAACUUUGAAAUACUGAGCUUCUUGAUUCAUCUGAGGUCCACGUACUCGUCUCAGUAACACUAGUGGUGGCCAUGCAUCUUGUAGAUGUCUUCUAAUGAAUUAAGCUUGACAUACAAGGUCGUGCCUUCCACUCCUUGAGGAUUGCUUAUGACGUUUCUGCAAAUAACGAAGCAUUGCUUUCUCCAACAUGAUUAUUUUCUUCGGCUUAUCCCAAGGGACAACUAUGGUUUUCCCCUUGCCGGAAGAGGAACGAUGAUCGCCCCCACCAUCGCCACUUCCUCCAGUAGCAGAAGCCAUCUAUGUACAAAAAUUCAUACCUUAGCACUACAGAACUUGUUGAACUUGAAGACUGUGAUCAUUAGGCGAGCAUGUUCUCAACUAGGUGGCACCGCACUUCGUCAUGGAAGAGCUUCGAUUUUACAAAAAAGGGGACAUGAUCUUCCAUGAUGUCCGUAUCCGCUCUUUCUCGUAGAAUCAGAGCUCCUCCUUGAUAUACGAUGCUGCUCGGCGGAGAACAUGCUCACCGAGAUGAACACGGUAUGCAAGUUCAACAAGUAUGGAUUUGAAAAACCAUAUUGAAUUUGACAAGACAAACUAUCUAGAUAAGCGUAGCAUCAUUCUUAAACCACUGCAAGGAUACGUACUAUAUAUGACACAUCAAUCUCCCUCACAUUCUAGCUCAAAAUACCUCUCCAUUUUCUACUUCACAUUCUAGCAAAUAAACUAUCUAUCUCCAUUCUACACAUCAAGUUGUUUUAACUAAUACAAAUCGUAUAUAACAAGCAAAAUAUCCAUCACAUUCUAGCUCAAAAACAUGUAUAAAUACAAAUCCUCUUCAUUCUCCCUUUUUCUAACAAACAAACUCAUUUUUCUCCCUCUCCAAAGCAUAAAUUAAAGCGUAACAUGAGGAUGAGGUAGCAAACCUUCACAACACAUUGGAUGAGUGAAAUUCCCACGAAAAUGAGGGAAAAAAAUUCGGGCAGCACCUCCCUUGCUUCGGCACCUCUAGAGAGUAGGUGAAGCUCAGUUCUCUAUUUUUGUGGUGGACUAGCUUGGGCUGGAGGAGGAAGAAAGGCCUCUGUCUUGGUAUAUAAUGGGGGAUGAGUUUUUAUCCCAGUUAAAAGCUCCAACUGAGACAAAACGGCCAAUCUUUUGUCCCGGUUGGAGCCUCCAACCGGGACAAAAGGGGCACGCCAUCGACGCACGGGAGCUAGCCGUUACAACCGGGACUAAAGGGGGGCCUUUAGUCCCGGUUGCAAAUACCAACUGGGAUUAAAUCUCCCCUCCAUUUUUGCCUACCGUGGUGCGCCCCCUUUUAUCCCGGGUCAACUUUAAACCGGGACAAAAGGGGGCGUCGAAGAUCAGUUCUCUACUAGUGACCCCUCCCCACCUAUCUCUCUCCCUCCAUGCUCCUCGAUCUGUGCCUCCCCUCCCCUCCCCUUCCACUCGCCCCUCACCGACGGUAAGGAGCAGCGGCGGGGCGAGGUGAGGUGGCAGCAGCAAUGGCAGGUGGUGGGUCGCAGCGGAGCGGCUACGGUAGGCAGCCGGACGGGGCAGAGCGGCGGGGCGGGGUGGAGGCGGAGGUGGCGGGUAGAGGCGGAGCGGCGAGGCGGAGGCGGAGGUGGAGGCGGAGUGGUGGGACGGCAGGGCCGGGCGACUAGUAUAGGUGGGCGGGCGGAGGGCGGCGACGGCGGAGCGGGCGGAGGCAGAGGGGCAGCGGGGGCCGCCGGCGGGGGGUGUGAUCGGGGAUUUCAAUUUUUUUUAAAUUUUUUAACACCUUUUAGUCCAACUGGUUCUAAAGGGACCCCUCUAGUAUCAAAAUUGCUAGUACCGGUUGCACAACCGGUACCAGAAGUGGUUCCUAACUGGUACUAGAGCCACUUUCCCUGGUAGAGACUUUUUUACCAGUUAGAAUAUGUUAUUAUUUUAAUCAGCUUUCGCUGAUCGCCAGUAUGAUUUAGUACCUAAUUUUACUGGCGAUUGUUACCGCUGACACGGAUUGGGUAUAGUCCUAACAGUGUAUAACUACGGCACUACAUUUGUUAACCUAUAACUACUUGUAUCGAUUAGCCCUGGUUAGAAUACUGUCAAGGCAGCCAGAAUUUUUUUUUUUUGCCAAUUCUGCUAUCCAUGAGAUCCAUGACUAGUACCGCAAUGUAAUGAAUGAACUGCACAAAUAACUGAUGCACACAAAAGAAUAUGCACUUGCACGCUAGACGUUCGUAACAACAAAUUACUCUCAUCACCAAUUGAACAUAAUAGAUUAAACAUUAACUGAACAGAAUUCAACACGUACAUCAACACGACAAAGCAGUUUAAACAUCAACUGAACUGAACUGAACACAUACAUCAACUGAUGAUAAUUAUCGACAUCAACAGAACACAUGAACAUCAACAUCAAUAGAACUUAAUAGAGCAUAUUAAACAACAACAUCGACAAAACAUAUAAACCCAGCUUAGUAGCUCAGGCAUCAACUAAAAUUGCUGAAUUAAAACAACACAACGUAGUGUAGUUCAUAAUGCUUCGGCGCUUACACCACUGGCGGGUCGCUUACGUCGGCAUCACCGCGCUGGCUGAACCUCCGACACCCCCACCACGGCAAACGGAGGUGAUGGCGGAAGGUGAGGCAACGACAGUAGCUGGUGAGCUCCCGCUCCAAUGUCUCGCGAGUAAAGGAGGAGGAGGUGGCAUGGGAAUCGAAGAGGACACUAGUAGAGAAACGACUUUCCAUCCACCCCCUUUUGUCCCGGUUUAAAGUUGGCCCGGGACAAAAGGUUCACCAACCGGGAUUAAAACUCGGUCACUGGUGGGGGGCUCACCAACCGGGACCUUUUAUCCCGGUUGCAAAGGCUAGUGGGAAAAAAUUACUCUGAGAGGCCUUUUAUCCCGGUUUGAAACACCAACCGGGAUAAAAGACCCCCCCUUUUAUCCCGGUUGGUAACACCAACCGAGAUAAAAGGGUCAAGAGCCUUUUAUCCCGGUUGGAAACACCAACCGGGAUAAAAGGGGGUCUUUUAUCCCGGUUGGUGUUUCCAACCGGGAUAAAAGGGUCCCCCACGAGUUAAUACAAAAGGAUAGUAUCCCCUACAUAGUCAGAUGUGGUGUGUAGGUGGGAUGGUAAGGAAGCUACGCGCGAGGCUGGAGGUUGUGGGUUCGAAUCCCACGAACCGCGCACGCGCAUAUUUCGCGUGAAAAAUCGCGUGACUUGCGACUUGCGCGUGUGGGGGGGCCUCCUGGGAGCUCGGGAAUUUUUUUUUUUUGCAGCGCCGGCCGUGGGUGAACCCUUUUAUCCCGGUUGGUAUUACCAACCGGGAUAAAAGGGGGUCUUUUGUCCCGGUUGAGUGACCCGGGAUAAAAGACCCCCCCUUUUGUCCCGGUUGGUUUAUCCCGGAUGCAUUUUCGAGAUCUUUGCACCCUACCAACCGGGAUAAUAGGUGAGUUCUCCACCAGUGGGAGGCCGCCGCUGGCGGGUUUAGACUACGUGGAUGUGUGGGUAGGGUUAAGGUGACGGUGUGGACUAGUAUAUAUAAGAUGUCUGGGCUUGUUAGAAUAAGAUAACAUUCUAACCGGCCAAAUUCGGACCCGGUUAGAUUAAAUUGAUAUUCUAACCGGUCCUAUUUCUAGGUGGUAAGAAUAAGUUAACAUUGUAAUUGGCUUUAUUUGGAACCCGAUUGAAUCUUCUUGUUAUUCAAAAAAACAUCAAGUUCAUCAAUUUUAAUCCAGGAAAACAUCAAGAUAAUUUAAGCACGAUAUAUAACAAGAUUAAUACAUUUAAAAAUUGUUUGAUUCACAAAUUAACGAUAUUUAACAAAUUCAAAAAAUCCAAAUUAACAGAACACAAUAACCAAUUGUUCGAAAAAAUCAAAAUAAUCCACACACAUUAAUAUAUUACAAAUUCAGAAAUAUAUCAAAAUAAUCCCCGAUCCACUCGAUACCGUCAUAGGACUUUUAAAUACUGAGCUUCUUGAUUCGUCUGAGGUCCACCUACUCGUCUCAGUAACACUAGUGAUGGCCAUGCAUCUUGUAGAUGUCUUCUAACGAAUCAAGCUUGACGUACAAGGUCAUGCCUUCCGCUCCUUGAGGAUAACCAUCUUUGGUGAUCUUGAAAUGGCAGACGGUGGAUGUGCCAAAGGUACGUGACGAUCCUUCUAAAUGUAUGCCACCACAACUUCCGUCUGAUCGCCAUGGGUGACACCAAGAAGAGCUACCAUGCGGCAAGGGACGAACAAUUUAUCAAUUAGUGCCGCUGUCCAUCGCCAUCAUCUAAUCCAGCCAUAUCUUGUUGUAUAUUUAAGUAUAGAAAUUAAGAUUUAAAAAUAAACAGAAUAAAUUGAGAUCGAUUAUGUAUGUAUAUCAGAACAUUAGCUUUUGGAAAAAGGGCUUCGAUGGAAGAGAGGCACGGGGCAUAGAGACAACAACGAGUGACAAUAUGUCAGAAGAAUACCCGAUCACAAUUAUUGGCACACACAGCCGAUAUUUACAGUAGUCAAUACCCCUGGUAAAUAACCACACCAUCAAGAGUAAAUAGUGACAAUAUGCAGUAUAUACACGACAUAGCCUUGGCUGCCGUGGAAGCACCAGAAGGGAGACAAAUAACAGGGACCACUACAUCAAGUAGAUAGUGACAAUAUGCAAAAGAAUACCCGCGCCUGUUAGCAUGUGUGAACUGACCACACCACGAAACGUGAUACACGGCAAGCGUACCAAGGCCUUGCUGUGCAGACUAUGCAUGGACAACACAUGGUACCUGACCGCUUUUGGCCUCAGACACAUCAAAAACUGCAUCGUUCCACGUUGUACAUCCAUUGCUAGUUUAUCUAUAUUACAUAAUAUAUUAUUAGCUAUUUGAAUAGAAUGAACCAAUUAAAAAAUUACGUUGUAUUUUAGUACCGGCUGCAGGAUGGUGUUACCAACCAGUACUAAUUGGCCUGUAGGAGUGAUGGUUAUUAGACUUGGUACUGUUGUUAGCAUCAUUAACCUAAUUGUGCGCCGUAUGAAUUUGGGGAUGCAAAGCUAGCUCUCUAUGAAUGUGAGGGAUGGAAAGCUAGUUCUCUAGUAGUAAUUAUAUAUAUGACAGUCAGGAAAUCGAACACUAUGCUGCUACGAGUCACCAUCAUUUCCUUCAUUGACAAUCUGACAUAGGUGAAGCUGCUUCAAUAAUUUCCUUCGCGCAGUCGUGGAGCUUAUUGGAUUAUCACCAGGACGGGACACGGAAAUGGCCAGCAAUGAAGCUGAUUGCCGUCUGAGGAAGACUACAUACUUACCUAUGAAAUGAAGCGAUUGCAUAGACUAAUGAAGCAUUGCAUAUUUGCAUGUGAGUGUGGCAGAUAAUUCUGCAGGACAUGAUUGCAAUCCACGCACCAUCGAGAAGACUGGGGCGAUGGGGUUGCCUCAUCAAUAAUCACGUGGAUGCAUGCAUGCAUGUUCCCUCAACCGGACAAGGGUCUGAUAUAUGGCUAUAGUAUUACUGAGCCCACAUCAAUAAUUUCCGCUGGUGUAUCGUGUGGGAAGAAUCAACAUACUACACCUCUGAGUUCUUGGAACUAACUGACGUUCACAUGCAACCUCCACAAGGUGCUGUAUGCUUUUGACAUUCACCUGCCAGUUCGUGUAGAGGACACCCUAACGUAUGGUUAAUAUUAUCCAUUUCAUGAGUAAAAUACUGUGAUUCAAAAAUACUUCAAAUCCCUUGAGACAAUACUUCUCACUUGACUAACCACUAACCAACCCCGAAACCCUAACUCAACUCCGAACCCUAACCCCUAACGGCAUAACCACUCCGUUUUGCCGGCGAGAUGGAGGAACUGGCUGGAAGGUAGAGAGGGCAGCGGUCCAGGGUUGAAAACGACGGGCGAGCGCAGUAACAUGUGGAGGAGGAAGUGCCACGUAUUCGUUCACCGCUAUUGGGCAGCGACACACGACACGCCCAAUAAGAUCUUCGCACGGUAGAAGGACGUCAUGUAUUCAAUAAUGUUAUUGGUCCCCCAUGUGCAGAAGGGCGCGCGCGUAUGGAAUAACAAGUAGGGACACUGCAACUAAUCUACUCUGCUCGUCCAGUCCCUAGCCUAUAAAUAGAUGCCAUGCUAGCUCUUGUUGUGCUCACAAUUAAUCCGAUUACACACGAGCUUCUCUCCCUGGCCAAGACACAACCAUAGUAUGAUGAAGAACAUGGCACUAGCCGGCAAUGGUAUGAAGAAGUUAAUCCUCGCUGUUCUCUUACUGUGUCUAGUUAUAGGGCAGAUACAAGUGGAAGCUAAGAGCUGCUGCCCAUCCACCACUGCAAGAAAUGUCUACAAUACCUGCCGUUUCACGGGUACAUCCCGUCCAACGUGUGCAAAACUGUCAGGCUGCAAAAUUAUCAGCGGGAACAAAUGCAAGCCCCCUAACGACCACCUCACCCUUGACCCGGACACUGGUAAAUAAUAAAUUUAUCUCACUUGAUUUCUUCGUGAUUUGAGUCGUUAAUGUAUUUUCCAUCUGAUGAAACGUAUUGGUUUUGCAUUGAAGAGGAAGUUAAUGUGCUUAACUUCUGCAAGUUGGGGUGUGCGUCGUCUGUGUGCAACAACAUCAACGCUGGUAAGCAACUUUUGCUCAGACAGAGAAAACAAUAAUCAUUAAUUAGCGGCAGCUAGAAUCCUAUAAUCUAAUAUAUAUAUAUAUAUAUAAUUUUAUCAGCUCUGGGAAAUGAAGAGGCGAACGAUGCCGUUGAGAGUUGCGACCAAGCCUGCUCUAGCUUCUGCAGCGUGCAUGUUGGCAGCGCCACCGUGGUUGCUUAAGCAAAUGCAUCCAACUAGAUCGUCCUUGUGCUGAAUAAUUGGAUAUCGUAUCCACUUAAAGCUGCCUUGUGUAGUACGUCUUUGUGUCUCUCUUUAUAUUCCAAUAAGGUCGGUGAUCUUGAUGCCACACACUCAGAUGUGUGUUCAUCUCCAGAUACUACUCCAUGCUACCUGCCCUUUGUGUUUUGUUCAAUAACUGGGUAUCAUAUCCCAGCCAGUAUGCCGUCUGUUUUGUGUUUGUUUCCUUCUAGUUCCAAAGGGGUCAUCAUGAUGUUACCUUCUUUCAAUAUGGUGCUUUGCAUGACUACUGUUGUAUGGUACCAUCUUGUGGCCAAUAAGUACAUCUUAUCCUAUGACCUUUGCUAUGACCCUUUGCAAAUAAGUAGAAGAUUGUUAUAAGCGUCAAUACUCCGUAUAAAUUGAUCGCUGCUGUGAGUUCCCUUUCAGCUUAUCGUAGGCAUACAUUAUUGCUAGCACGGUAAAGCCAACCAACACGAAUGAUGAAGUAAACGUAGCGGUACUUCUGUAUACCAACACCCUUACUUAAAUGUACCGGUGUCAUUCCCUACUGGCACAUAUAUUCUUAUAUGCUAGCCAGCUUGUAAAAUUAACCAAUUAAAAUAAUUAUUUCAAGAUAGAAAUAACUUAUCGGUUUCUGGAAGCAUGUGUAAUGUGAAUUCAAGGACUCGACGGAAGUUGAAUCACUUCAUCUAUAUUGCUUUCAGUAUUUUGGGUAACUAAAUUUAACAUUUGCACAUACAAAUGUUAAAGUACAAAUGUUAAAUCUAGUUACCCAAGCAGAAUAUGAAGAUAGUUUAUAGUAUAUAUAUACUAUAUAAAUCUAGUUAACAUUUAGUCUAAAUGUUAAAUCUAGUUACCUAAAAUCCUGAAAGCAAAAUGUAUAAAUAUAUAUCUUUUAAGGCAGUAUAAGCUUCGAUUCCUAUUGCUGCUCUGUUAAAUCUCAUCUUUCGUUGUGGCCCAACACUCUAGUAUGCAUGUUGCACCAAGCUUCUUUGAGCCGCUCUGCCCUCUGAUUUUGCUGCGUAGGGGAAUCUUUAUCAGGUUGGGCUACUUCCAGUUGUGCGAUGUAAAGAUUCGUAUUUUCUAGAAGGUAGACAAAAAACUCGCGUUCUCUUAAGGCAACAACCGGAAGAUUCUGCAGCGCACAGGGCAUACCAUUAUUGUAGAAACGACCUUUAGUACCGAUCUCCAACCCCCUUUAAAACUGGUUUUGCAACCGGUACCGUUAUGUCGGUCCUUUAGUACCAGAUCAAAUAAGUACCGGUUGGUAACCAGUAUCAACUUGUUUUGCGGCCAAAAAAAUAAAGAAAAAAACAGUCAGAAGGCUCGCGCACACGCGCAUCACAUGAAAUAUGCGUGUGCGGGGUCCAUGGGAUUCGAACCCAUGAAAUCAAGCUGCGCGCGACCCUUCGUUACCAUCUCACCUACAUAGCGCAUAUGCUUUCCUGAAGUAACCCGUGGAGGAGGCUUUAGUACCGGGUCAUAACACCACCCGGUACUAAAAAUGACUCUUCAGUACCGGGUCAUAACACCACCCGAUACUAGUAUCGGAUGGUGUAAUGACCCGAUACUAAAAGGCCUCUAGGGACCCUCAAAUUUGAACCCGGUACUAAUGCUAAUAUUAGUAGCGGGUCAAAGUGCAGCCAGAACUAAAGCAUGGGAUGAAAGGUCAUAUUUCUAGUAGUGUAUAGUUGUUGUGAAGGACUGACUUGGCUGUCCUCUCUCUUCUCCAUCCCCUUGGUCUUACGCCGCCGCUCGCACGCGAGCCGGUGCCCAACCAGAGGAGUGAGAGCUAGGGGCAGGUUGGGAGGUGGGGAUAGUGACUGGUGGCCAGGGUGAUGGUUGAUCCUGGUGGGGUUAGGGUUUUAGGGUUUUCGAGCUUCCUAUGGUCGGCGAACCUAGAGGAGGAGCUCAACAUCAGCUGCAACCCGCGAUGGUGGUGGUUUGGCCGGCGCCCGAGGCGAGGCAGCGCGGGAGUGCUGCCGGUGGGUUGGUGUUGGCACUCAUUAUUGACAACUAUUUUGUUCAUAAAAUAACACUCAAACUUGCUGCUGCUGCUGCUGCUGCCAUCGCCACCCUAGCCAUAAUAUAAAGGCAAAAUUUGCUAAAGGACAUGCAAAAUGAUGCUAGUUUGCUGGCGGGCAUCGUUGACCUUGUAAUAUGCUACAAGACACUCUAGUUGUGUAUCAAUUUGCUGAAAGACAUUGCUAUGACUAAAAUAAUGUUUCUGGACUGAGUUGGAGAGAGAGAUGGAGUGAAAUGUCUGUUUUGCCCAUGACCCCACUGGUCAGAUCCUUCUUCUUCCACCCUCCUUUGUUCUUUCUUCAACCAUUACCCAGCUCCAGCGUGUUGCAGAUCUACGAGGGUGGCGGCCUGGGGCGAGGGGCAUCGCUCGCCCUUGGAGGAGCGCUGCGAGCGACGGCGCGGGGGCGGCAACAGCGCGUCAGAACCUGACUGUUCGUUAGCUCCUCUCGCUGCUGGGGAAGGAGGGGGAUGGGCCAUGGACGGGGUUCCCUUGAAAACCUCAGCGUCGAGCUCGGGCGGCUACGCGCAGGCAGCACUAGGCUGCUUCACGGGGAGGGGGCGCGGCCAAUCAUUGGCACCCCACUGGUCCAAUGCUGAUGAAGAUGGUGCCAGCGUCGUGUGAGGACAUCUCAUCUCCUCGAGUUCCAUGGCCAGCACAGGUGAGCUGCCGCUACCACAAAACAGAGGUUUCGUGAGAGUCAAAAAACCUUAUGAAAAUAGCUAAAACCAUCAUGAAAAUAAUCCGUGACAUGACACUCUCACGAAAAUCCUCUCACAAAUAUGGUGCCAUGAAAAUACCAUUUUCAUGAGAGUGAACUGUCAUGAUUUUAUUUCGUGAGAGUAUUUCCUAUCAAUGACCUCCACGAAAUACUUUGUGCCACCAGGUCUUCAAGAUCAUUUUCAUGAGAGCUGAACAUCAGGAAAAGUCCGCCACAAAUGUUUUUCUUGGAGCCCCUAACUCUCAUGAAAAUCAUGCGGGCCGCCACGAAAAACAGCAUGACCAAAUGACAAAUUUCAUUUUCAUGUGUUCAUACCGCCAUGAAAAUGGUCAUUUUCAUGAGAGUUGAUGAAACAAAAAAUAGUGCCAUUUUCAUGAGAGUUCAAGCAACCAGGAAAAGACACUAAUAAACAUCCAGAUCCCAUCCAGCACACAUCCAUGCACAUAUAUAACCCACAUAUUGCUCCAGCACACAUCCAUGCAUAUACAAGAUCCAAAUGUUAAUAUAGUAGACAUCCAUGCCUGAACUAGUCUGCCACACAAGUCAUUGAUGCUACAAAUCCUACAAUCGCAGCAUGUGCAUACAAGUCACAGAAUGAGACAAUGUACCCAAAACUAAAAGGUUAGCAUCAACUGUGCUUCAACCAAAGUUGUCAUCCCAACUCUCCUCUUCAUCCAUGCCAUUCUUGUCGUGGCCGUCACUGUCAGUCCCCAUGGCAUUGCCAAUGCUGUGCAUGUCUUGGUAGGAACCUACAUGUGAUGAACUAGUAACCUGCAAAAAGAGCUCAAAGGAUCUUGUUCUCAUAUUGUAGCUGUGAAAUUCUUACAAGUAGUGUUGCAAUCAGUUCACUUUGAACCAAAAGAGCUCAAAGGAUCUUGUCCUAAAAGUUCCUCAUAAAGCUUAUGGGUUUGCUGGUGGAACUGGAAGGGCUUGAUGCAGCAGAUGCCAUUCUGCAAUAGAGAAAAAUUUAGAGAGCAGUACUAGUUAAAAUUGGAUGCAGAAGAUACACAUGAAACUAGUAUUUAUACAAGUCUAUACAAUUAAAAUCUAAGGAGACUUAUCAUCGUUUUCAUGUGUUGUGAAUUAAAAUAAUGAAGGAUACACUGUUAGGUGAAAAUUCAAGAAACAAAAUUUUGCAUAGAGAUAAAGGUCCAACAUUAUUACAAGUUAAGGUAGUUUUAAAUAUCCUUGUAAUCUUCCUUUGGUUUCCUCAACGAUUCGAAGACAAUAACCUUGCUUCUAUCAAUGAUAAUUAUAAGGAGAAUCCAGUGGAAACUGUGUAUUCGUAUUAGAACUACCUAAGGUUAAUUAGGUUAGGAAAGGAAAUUGAAAAUAGAUGGUACCCACACUUACUUAAAGUUGUCGGGCAAUAGUAUGUAAUGCUUGUAAUUCCGUUGCUCCAAGAAUUUGUAUAUGUGGUCCAAUGUAGACUUUGGUUGAUCCCGUAUCUGCUGUUGGUUAAAUAAGUGUUUCUAGCCAUUUCUAGCCAUUAGAACCGGGACUAAAGGGGGCUCUUUAGUACGGGUUGAUAUUACUAACCGGGAUUAAAGAGCCCCCAUUAGAGUUGGUUUUUGGAUGCGGAACUAACAACUCCUUUAGUCCUGAGUACGAAAACAACUGACAUAUUUGUUGCUGGAUGGAAGGUCCUUUCUCUACCGUGAAUAUUGCCAGAAAGAAUUGAAAGAGACUGCUUGCUAAAAAUAUGUCAUAGAUGUAGACCAAGCUACCAAGGAGGUAGACCAAACAUGAUACACACCAUGCGUACCUUGCUGUGCAGACUAUGCAUUGACAAGAUACCCGACCACAUGUUGGCCUCGGUCACAUCAAAAGAAUCAUGUAGGCCACCAAUAAACUACUUGAAGCGGCAUUCCGUAUCGUAUAUGCAUUGCCGGUUCAUCUGCAUUACAUUACAUAAAGCACUAUUAACUAUUUGAAUAAAAUGAACCAAUUUAAAAGUAAUGUGUUGUACUCUACUAUAGAAAGCCCUAUCACUGCCGGAUCCAAAAACAUCAUUGUUAAUGGUGGUUAAGUACCAAAUAUGACGGUCAAUAUUCUCAAGAAUAAUGGAGAAUUAGCAUUUCUUAGACACAUAUUUGGUUUUGAACAAUGUAGUUCCACAUGUCUUUGGAGAUUAUUUGGGUGUGGGUGAAAUAAUACAAAAAUAAGGAGAAAACACACUCCCAUGGCGAAGAAACACAACUCCAACCAAUGAGAGAUAGCCACAGGGGCAGCACACGGAUCCAUGGGCCCACUAACCGCAUCAAACCAUCUUACCAAGGCAGGUAGCACCCACAACCGUCAUUAGGACCCACCUGGAAGUCUACCAAGAAGAAGGUUGCGAGUGGGGCCAGGAGGGGUUCGGUUGAAUCAUCUCUAGCUAGCUCCCCUCAUCCCCAGCUGGUGGGUGGUGGUGGUUGAUGGUGUCCCUACAUCAGUUAGAGGAGAUUCCCCCAAAUAUUCCUCCUGUAAACCACCUCUAUGGACCUAUACAUAGAGGGGUGUGCUCUCCAUUCCAACACACACCACAAGUUGAAUCACUCUCUCCCUCUUUAGUUUCCAAGUUUAUGGAGUUAGGCUAGAGUAGCUCUGCUCAAGGUUCCAAGUCCACUUGGAGUUAAGCAUAUGUCUCUUGUAUCGUUAUUUCCUAAAUUGACUUUAUGCUUAGUUCUUAUAUGCAUGAGUUAGUCUAAUACCCUUGCUAUAUUGAUAUGCUCGGCUUAUAUGCUCGUAUGCUAGUCAUAUACCCUUGCUGUCGUAGUAUAGGCUUAUAUGCUCUCAUGUGUGCCUGUAGACCUUGCUAUAGUAUAUACUUGUUGUGCAUACAUACCAUGUAUAGGCUAGUCGAUCUAUACCAUGGCAUUGGUUCAAUAGCCAUGUUUUUGGUGGCUCCAACCCUAGUCACAAUAGCUCGGGACAGCUGGAGUGUUGUUAAAAAUGCAAGAGUGGUGCUUGGGUUGUUUAGCAUCGUUGGAUAUGGGUUUGCCCCACGGGUUUCUAACGGUAGGCGGCAGCUAGUGACAUCCCUGUCCGUCCUUCGUAAUCCCCCCACAUUCAGGUACGCCAUAAAUGUUCGUAAAUUAGCAGUAACUACGCCGGUACACCUGUAGGGUAUUGUCUCCCUGUAGUACCUUGGUGCAUAGAACUAAGUCCUAUACACUGUGUGUGUAUGUUUACGCUGAUAUGAUCUGUGCAGUAUAUAGGAUGUAUAUAUGAACCUAGAGCUAACUCCUAGUCCGUUCUCCAUAGCUUAGUUAUCUUGAGAUGAUUCUUCUGUAUGUGUAACACUACCCAUCUUAUCAUUAUCCUUGAUCCUGUCUUGUGUAAUAUAUCUACUCAUCCUAUGAUAUACUCAUAUGCAUAGUAAACUAUUUUGACCUACCCGCCUUCCUUUGGGAAAUAUGAUACCUUGGAAUAAUCCUAGGUGAAAUCCUACAACGGUAUAUCCAUGUAAAUGCGGAUUUAUUCAUGACCAUUAAAUAUACCAACAAUCAUCACUGUGAGUUUUGGGCGUCGUUAGUGAAGGGUUGGUAGUGAUGGGCAUCCCCUUCACCAAUGGACCUGGAACCGGCGGUGAUGGCUAUUAUAAAAAAGGGGACACCACCCAGCGUACCCCACGACCCGGCCGGCCGCACCUCCCAUCAUCCCCGCCAGCCGCCCUUCCUUUUCGCCGGCCGAGCAUGGUCCCGGCCUUUGUCCCUACCACCUCGCCUCCACCGCGACCCCCCGCCGAUGCCCUCGUGCCUGGCCCCCCUCAUCUUGCCGGCCACCCUCCCGAUGCGUCCACUGGGGCCCUCGCACCACCAACCGCCCUUGCUUAGAGAGGGAGAGAGAGGAGGGAGGUGAGGCCACGCACCUCGUCCUACACCGCCGCUGUUUCUCCUCGGCCCACCGCGCCUCACCCCACACCACAGCCGCGCCUUGCCAUCUUACCGGCUGUGACGCCUCAUCUCACCGGCCACCGUUCCUCACCCCCACUUCGGUCGUCGCCGCUCCUUGCCCUACCGCUGCUCUUUGCCGCUGCGAAUGAGCGCCGAGUGGAGGAGGAGGGAUGGGGCAGGAGGAGGGCAAGAUCCGGGAGGAAGGGAGAGAUCUCGGGAGGUGGAGAUGGAAGGAUAUGGCGGAAGGGAGAGAUCCAGAGGGAGAGAGCAGGGGAGAGAGGGGGGCGUGUGGGGAGAGAGCGCGUGUGGGGUGGGGCCGGGCUGGUGGGAUGGAAGGGAGAGGGGCUAGACGGGCGCAGUGCAUUCAACUGGAUGAAGUAAAUAUUUUGGAUUCGAGACCCCAGCUUUAUUAUCACCGCUGGUCCGUAGUACCAUCCGGUGCCUGCUCGUAAUUUAAUUUGAAUCUGCGGUGAUGUUUUAUUAUCACCAUCGGAUCAUAUAAAAAUCCGGCGGUUAAAAAUCCGCUGGUUUCGAUGAAAACCGACGGUGAUAGGAUGACUGUGAUAGUCUCUUCUCUAGUAGUGGUAUAUUAGUACCGGCUGCCGGAUGGUGUUGCCGACCAGUACUUCUCCGGGGGCGAUUCAGUACUGCUGUUAGCAAAGCUUGUUCUCUAUGAAUUUGGGGAUGGAAAGCUAGUUCUCUAGUUGUGAUUUGUUACAUAUAUAUCUAUGAUAGUCUAGAAAUUGCAUGUCCUUCGUUGACAUAGUUGAAGCUGCUUCAAGAAUUUACUUCGUGCAGUCGUGCAGCAUAUUGGAUUAUCACCUAGACAGGAUACAUAGGUGAAGCAUUGGAUGUGAUUGUGGCCGAUAAUUAUGCAGGACGCUGUUGCAAUCAACCACCAAGAAGUCUGGAGUGAUGGGGUUGCCUCAUCAAUAAUUUUUAUAUAUGGCUGCAGUAUUAUUAAGCCCACGUCAAUAAUUUUUUGUCCGCACCAUAUAUCGAUGGGGUUGCCUCAUCAAUAAUUCGCGCAACCAGACAAGCUGCAGACUCAAUAUGGUACGAAGCUAGUUGCUCAGCCCACAUGCUCUGAUAUAACAUUGACAUCUGCUGAUCUACAGUAUAUAUGACCAGAAAUAUUGUGCCCACCUCAAUAACUUUCUGAAGUAUCGUGGGGAAGAACCUACGCGUACUAUGCCUCGGAACUAACUGACAUAUCGGCCCAGGCGGUCUAGGCCGAUUGGACUGGCUCUUCCUUGUGGCUUCUCACAUCCCCUUCGUCCCCAAGUAAUUUCAGGUGUUCUGUAGUUUUCUUUUCACUUGCAUCUGAGCCUCCUAUAUCAAUAGCUUCGGGAUAAGAAUGCCUCUUGAUAACCUUCCAAAUCCUCGCUUGAUUCACAUUGAUUCCGAAAUCAUCUUGCCAUAUCUUCAGAGACUUAGGUCCUAAGGCAUCAUGGAGGAUUGCUCGCCAAGAAUGAGCACCAUUGGGCUCCUGAGGACCCUAGGCCGAUCAGCCCGGGCUCUAUAGGUCGAUUGGCCCAGGCCCUCUCUGGGCCUGUUGGCCUUCAUCUUUCUUUGAGUCGACGCUUAUUCAGGGCUUUGUCCAAUUAUAGUCCAUUAUAGUCUAAUUUCCUAAAAAACAGAAUGUCCUCCAAAAUACAAUGCAUAUGUGAAAACAACCCAAUUAUUAGGUAUGAUCAAUAGUUUAGGUAUUAAAUUAAUAUUAUUAUUUAAGAUAAACAGGGGUAAAGGGUGUCAUUAAUAACAAGCGCCAACAAGCGUCCUAGCUGUUCAAUAAAUUUUUUCUAGUACCGAUUGGUAACACUAACCGGUGCUAAUAUGUACCCUUUAUUACCGGUUAUUUUACCAGGUACUAAAGGAGACAAGAGCAUCCUAACAUAAGGUUAAUAUCAUCCAUUUCAUGAGUAAAAUACUAUGAUUCAAAAAUAAUUCAAAUCCCUUAAGACAAUACCUAUCAAAUGAGUAAAUUGUAAAUAGAGUAAUCUUGAUCAAACAAUGUCCUAAUGAAACGGAACACUUCUGGUUCGUGUAGAGCACAAUAUAGAAAACAGUAGGGUAGCUGUAUGAUUGACACGUGGUCCAUUAAUUAUUGAGCCAACACUAUGGACAUGUCUUCAUGAGUAGUGUACUAGUCAUAAUACAUGGUAUGCAGUAGGUGGAGGUAUUGACUUAGCCAUGCUAUGAGCACUUAGUUACAACAAACACUUUGCCAUUAUCGAGCAUCCCAAAUCACUACAAAAUCCAUAGUUUACCAUAUACUACAAAAUCUGAGUUAAAAUAAGAGCAUACACGGAAGAGUCCGAAUGCACGGCACAUUGAAUUACUAGACAAAAUUUAUGGGACAAGGUUUUGGGUAACCGCAUGAAAAAUAUUGGAUUUUACUGAACACUUAGUUACAAUUACCAUGCCCGUGAGCACUUAGUCACCACAAACAUUUAACCACUUUAGAUCAUCCUGAAUCCCUAUAAAUUCUAUACCUUACACCGUACCAUGAAAACGACAAGAACAGAGACAGAUGCGGUGAAAAUCUCCAGAGCAAGCCUGAAAUUAAAAUAAGAGGAGGCAGUCACUAUCGACAGGACACGGAGAUUGCUAGCCAUGACAGAGGAAGACAUGAUAUGAUAUUCACCUCUGAAAUGCAGCGUAGACUAAAUGAAGCACAAUUGCAAGUGAGUGUGGCAGAUAAUGGACCAUCGAGACCAUCGAAUGGUAUGAAGCAUGAUUAUCACCUAGACAUGAUAUCCUAGACAGGACGGUGAAUUGUAAAAAGAGUAAUCUUGAUCAAAGAAUGUCCUAAUGAAACGGAACAUUUUUGGUACGUGUAGAGCAAAAUAUAGAAAACAGUAGAGUAGUUGUACGAUUGAAACUGCAUCCAUCGACGUGGUGCAUGAAUUGUUGAGCCAACACUGUGGACAUGUCUUCAUGAACACCAUCUAGUGAGGACAGCAUGCAGAAAAAUAUAAAAACAUGUCAUAGGGAGGCAGACCAAUCUUGCGAGGUAGACGAAACGUGAUACACGAUCUGCCUACCUUGUCGUGUGGAUACCCCAAGUGAAGAUGUCAUAGAGGUGCAGACCAAGCUAGCAAGGAGGUAGAUGAAACGUGAUACACGGCCUGCCUACCUUGCCGUGGAUAUUAGUCCUGAUAUCAUUCUAUUGUUCAAGGAAUAACACUCAAUGCUGCUGCUGCUGCUGACCUGGCUCCAUAAAGUUAUAUUCCUCUAGCCGCUUGCACUAACUUUAUCUGAAGUAUUAUUCUCUCUGCACUGUAUAUAUGGUUACGGAGUUUGCUGGAGUAUCCGGGGGGAAGAACCUACAUAAUAUGUCUUGGAACUAACUGACAUUGAUUCACAGACAAGGUGCUGUUGUUGACAUGGUACAGUAAAUAAUAUAGUUUACCAUAUACCGUAUACCAUUAUAUGUUAGCUAAAAUAAGAGCAUAACAUGUCGCAGGAGUCCAAAAGCACCGGUUGAGGACCAGGUACAUUAAAUUACUAGAAAACAAAAGGGGACAAGGUUUAGGUAGCCACAUGAAAAACAUUUGAAUUUACUGUACCAUGAACACUUAGUUACCAUGCCGGGAGCACCUAGUUAACACUAACAUUUAGCCACUUUAGAUCAUCCCGAAACACCAAUGACCCUCAAUAGCGACAAAUUUUGGUUUAAAUGCCGUCACCAAUGAUCCUCAAUAGUGACGUGUUUAGGUUUAAAUCCCAUCACUAAUAACCCUUGGUAGUGACGUGUUUUGGUUUAAAUCUCAUCACCACUGAUCCUCACUAGUGACGUGUUUUUAGCAACACACGUUAUGAAUGACUUGUCAUUGGUGACAUGUUAAACGCGUUAUCUCAAUGGCAAAUCAAUGGUGACGUGUUUAAAAAAACAUGUCACUGUGAGAGUUAUUGGUGAAGGGUAAUUAAAAUGCAUCACUAAUUUUGUAGCAUUAGUUAUGAUAUAAUUUUGUAACGCAAAAAUCUACCAUAGUAAUGAGGUUUAGAGCCAUCACUAAUGUGGGUUUCUUAUCGUAGUGAUGCAAGCUCUACAAGGUGCUGUUGUUGCCAUUUUAAAGCAUCCCAAAUGACUACAAGAGUCCGGUUGAGGACUAAACAAAUUGAAUUACUAGAACCAAAUGUAUGUCCAGAACAAAGAAAGGGGUCAAGGUUUGGGUAACCGCAUUAAAAACAUUGAAUUUUACUGUACCAUGAACACUUAGUUACCAUUACCAUGCCUUGAGCACCUAGUUACCACAAACAUUAAUUUAGCCACUUUAGAGGUUCCACAAUCACUAUAAAUAAUAUACCAACACCGUACCAUGAAAACAUCAAGAAGAGAGACGGGUACAUGGACCACCAUCAAGUGAGUAGUGACAGCACGCACAAGAAUACCCGGAACCUUUUAGCUUGUCUGUAGUGAUCUGUUUUCUUCGCCACAAAUAAUGAAAGAGGCUGACCAAGCUAGCAACGAGGUAGAGCAAACGUGAUACACGUAGGUUUCAUUCAAGACAUCCAUGUAAGAUUCAUUCAAAACAUUCAUGGAAAUUUCUUGUAAGUUUUCAUGUAAAUUUCAUUCAAGACAUUUGUUAGAGGUGUUGUAUAUACACUUAACGUACAUAUAUCUAUGAUUUCAUGGUUGUUAGUGAUGGCAGAUGAGGAGCAUGCAAGGUGUUUAAUGGAGCAGAUUAUUGCUAGUGGUAGUGGCUCCAACCUGCCCGUAACGUACACCGACGAAGAGGGCAGCCAGGCGGACAUGUUCCUCAACAUGUCCGGUGAUGGCAAUGAAGAGCCCGAGCAAAACCUUGCCGUGACGGAAGGUUCCAUCGAGGUAUAUAUCAUUUCCAUUAUUUUACCCCAUCUAUAAUUUCAUAUUCAUUAUUACUAUGUGCUAAUUAAUGAAUCUUGAACCGUUAGUCCUCUAGAUCAACGAACCGAAAUAAGCCCCGAGGUCUUACAAAGAUAAUGCAGGGAAGGCUUCACAUCAUGGAAGUCACAGAAGAGGGCACAUCGGUUGCUCCCGAACAUGUGGCAAGAAAGUACGUGAGUCAAACCGGGGCAAUCGUAAGGGACAACAUGCCCAUCAGCAUCAGGGAAUGAAAGAGCAAUAGAAAUGAUCUAUACGCACCCCCGGAUACACAAAAGGAUAUGUUGUGGGCAAAUAUCAAGAAACACUUCACAUUUCCCAAAGGAUAUGUUGAAAAAUAUGUGAAAGCGUGGAUGUUGAAGAAGAUGGCCACCCAAUUCCAGACAUUCAAGAAGAUGUUGGAUGCCAACUUCAUCAAGAAGGGUCGAACUCCGGGUUUCAAUGAGUGGCCAAAGUUAAGGGACCACUGGGAGUCGUUUGUCGAAUACAAGACGAGCGAAGGUGGUGCGAGUAAGGUUCACAUCAAUGUUGCCAAUGCUAGCAAGGAGUACCAUCAUCAUCUAGGGCGACGUGGUUACAGCUCUGCAAUUCCCAGAUGGCGCAAGAUGGAACAAGACCUGAUCGAUCGGGGUAUCGUACCAGCAACUCUUGACUGGAUCGAUUGAAAAAUUGGUAUUAUGCUCAUGAAGGCAAUCUGAGCCAAGAGGAUCCGACAUUGGUCUUCAAUAAAACAAUACGUCAGAAGGUCGGAAGGCUUAUUAGGAACAUUGAAGAUGCUAAAGCUGGGAGGUUCAAGGUGGAUAGAGAGAAUGAUGAACUCACAUUGGCCCUCGGGACUGUCAUCUCUAGCACUUCCAGCUCCAGGACUAUCGUCACCACCGGGACCGUCGCUUCCUGCUCGAUCACAGUCUCCAUCUCCAGCACAUCCUGGUGGUGCGAGCGACGACGACAACAACACCCCUCCCUGCCCACCAUUGCCGGGACUAAGACCCGCAUUGAGUAAGGAACCUGCAACACCACUGAAGAAGUCGCGACCACCACCUUCAAGGCAAGUCAGCAAAAGAAGAAAGCAGAGAAGCCUAAACCCACUGAGAAGCCAGCGACUGAUAUGACCGAUGCGGAAAGAUGGAAGGCACUCAAAGAAGAAUGCAGGGAGUGGUUCAGCGAAGGCGAAGGUGAGAAAGUCGUAUGAAUCGAAUUCAAGGAUAUAUAUGAAGUGAACCAUCAGGAUGCCCUUGAUGUCUCUCUCAUCAGCGCCUAGGUUCUGUAAGUGUAUGUUUAUCUAUAAGUAAAUUUUGGCUCAUAUCAUUAUUUUUUUUGCGUGCGUCACCCUACUAACUUCGUCUUCCAUUUUAUGUAGGAUGCUAAUUCAGACGUGCCGCAUAGAAGCGUACUUCCAUGUUGGAUUCAUGGAUCCAUCCCUAGUUAACCAAAAGCCGAUACGGAAGUAGCUAGAGAAAACGUUGGAGGUGGUGUACAACCUCCUGGACAAACUAAACUACAGAAUAGGGGCAAUAUGUGAGGGUCUUGUAGGAUUCCUAGUGGACGAGGUGAUAAAUCCAUAAGGAGAAUAUCAUUCCAACGGACGAGCAUUAGACACACUGAGCAACACCUAGAUGGGAGGAUCCUAGGAAUGACCUCGACAGAUUUUGGUAUAAAUAGUAAUUGUGUAAAUACUAGUUUGAUUUGUAUAGGAAUAUACUAAGAAUUGUAUAUAUAGUAAUUGUACAAAUACUAGUUUGAUUUGUAUGAAUACUAGAUUGAUUUUAUUAUAAAAAAGUUUUAAGUCGUACGUGCAUGCGCCUACAAAGGCGCGGAUGCCUUUUAAUCCCAGUCGGAAAAACAAACUGGUACUAAAGGGGCUCGUGCCGCACCUGGCAUGACCACCCCUUUAGUCCCGGUUGAACGACCCAGGACUAAAGAUCUCCGCGUCUCAAAAAUUUUAUCUCGGAUGCUUUUUAGAGAGAUUUGAGGCCUAUCAACCAAGACUAAUAUCGAGUUUUCUACCAGUGAAACUAACUAACGUUCACAUGGUUUUGACAUUCACCUGCCAUUUGGUGUAGACAAGGGCACCCUAACAUAUGGUUAAUAUUAUUCUUGAAAGAAAAUCCUUUGAUUCAAAAUACUUCAAACCUAAUAAUACAAUACUUCUCACAUCUGAAAAAUAUGAGACGGCCCGACAGUAUUCUAAUCGACGCAAUAAUAUUUUGAGGGCAGCACUACUACAGCGACCCUCAUUCGUGCCGGUGCUGGGACUCCUAUCACGACCCUGAUACAAAUGAGGGUACAUUAUUGGUGCCAGUGCUAGAACAGCCACGAAUAACUUGCUAAACGUGCUGUUACACUCACUACAGGGACCAAGAAGGUAGAUAAAUUACACGACAUAGCCUUGGUUGCCGUGGAAGCGCCAAGAAGGGAGACAAAUUACAGGGACCACACCAUCAAGUAGAUAGUGACAAUAUGCAAAAGAAUACCCGCGCCUGUUAGCAUGUGAACUGACCACACCACGAAACGUGAUACACGGCAAGCGUACCAAGGCCUUGCUGUGCAGACUAUGCAUGGACAACACAUGGUACCUGACCGCUUUUGGCCUCAGACACAUCGAAAAACUGCAUCGUUCCACGUUGUACAUCCAUUGCUAGUUUAUCUAUAUUACAUAAUAUAUUAUUAGCUAUUUGAAUAGAAUGAACCAAUUAAAAAAUUGCGUUGUAUUUUUAGUACCGGCUGCAGGAUGGUGUUACCAACCAGUACUAAUUGGCCUGUAGGAGUGAUGGUUAUUAGACUUGGUACUGUUGUUAGCAUCAUUAACCUAAUUGUGCGCCGUAUGAAUUUGGGGAUGCAAAGCUAGCUCUCUAUGAAUGUGAGGGAUGGAAAGCUAGUUCUCUAGUAGUAAUUAUAUAUAUGACAGUCAAGAAAUCGAACACUAUGCUGCUACGAGUCACCAUCAUUUCCUUCAUUGACAAUCUGACAUAGGUGAAGCUGCUUCAAUAAUUUCCUUCGCGCAGUCGUGGAGCUUAUUGGAUUAUCACCAGGACGGGACACGGAAAUGGCCAGCAAUGAAGCUGAUUGCCGUCUGAGGAAGACUACAUACUUACCUAUGAAAUGAAGCGAUUGCAUAGACUAAUGAAGCAUUGCAUAUUUGCAUGUGAGUGUGGCAGAUAAUUCUGCAGGACAUGAUUGCAAUCCACGCACCAUCGAGAAGACUGGGGCGAUGGGGUUGCCUCAUCAAUAAUCACGUGGAUGCAUGCAUGCAUGUUCCCGCAACCGGACAAGGGUCUGAUAUAUGGCUAUAGUAUUACUGAGCCCACAUCAAUAAUUUCCACUGGUGUAUCGUGUGGGAAGAAUCAACAUACUACACCUCGAGUUCUUGGAACUAACUGACGUUCACAUGCAACCUCCACAAGGUGCUGUAUGCUUUUGACAUUCACCUGCCAGUUCGUGUAGAGAAGGACACCCUAACGUAUAGUUAAUAUUAUCCAUUUCAUGAGUAAAAUACUGUGAUUCAAAAAUACUUCAAAUCCCUUGAGACAAUACUUCUCACUUGACUAACCACUAACCAACCCCGAAACCCUAACUCAACUCCGAACCCUAACCCCUAACGGCAUAACCACUCCGUUUUGCCGGCGAGAUGGAGGAACUGGCUGGAAGGUAGAGAGGGCAGCGGUCCAGGGUUGAAAACGACGGGCGAGCGCAGUAACAUGUGGAGGAGGAAGUGCCACGUAUUCGUUCACCGCUAUUGGGCAGCGACACACGACACGCCCAAUAAGAUCUUCGCACGGUAGAAGGACGUCAUGUAUUCAAUAAUGUUAUUGGUCCCCCAUGUGCAGAAGGGCGCGCGCGUAUGGAAUAACAAGUAGGGACACUGCAACUAAUCUACUCUGCUCGUCCAGUCCCUAGCCUAUAAAUAGAUGCCAUGCUAGCUCUUGUUGUGCUCACAAUUAAUCCGAUUACACACGAGCUUCUCUCCCUGGCCAAGACACAACCAUAGUAUGAUGAAGAACAUGGCACUAGCCGGCAAUGGUAUGAAGAAGUUAAUCCUCGCUGUUCUCUUACUGUGUCUAGUUAUAGGGCAGAUACAAGUGGAAGCUAAGAGCUGCUGCCCAUCCACCACUGCAAGAAAUGUCUACAAUACCUGCCGUUUCACGGGUACAUCCCGUCCAACGUGUGCAAAACUGUCAGGCUGCAAAAUUAUCAGCGGGAACAAAUGCAAGCCCCCUAACGACCACCUCACCCUUGACCCGGACACUGGUAAAUAAUAAAUUUAUCUCACUUGAUUUCUUCGUGAUUUGAGUCGUUAAUGUAUUUUCCAUCUGAUGAAACGUAUUGGUUUUGCAUUGAAGAGGAAGUUAAUGUGCUUAACUUCUGCAAGUUGGGGUGUGCGUCGUCUGUGUGCAACAACAUCAACGCUGGUAAGCAACUUUUGCUCAGACAGAGAAAACAAUAAUCAUUAAUUAGCGGCAGCUAGAAUCCUAUAAUCUAAUAUAUAUAUAUAUAUAUAAUUUUAUCAGCUCUGGGAAAUGAAGAGGCGAACGAUGCCGUUGAGAGUUGCGACCAAGCCUGCUCUAGCUUCUGCAGCGUGCAUGUUGGCAGCGCCACCGUGGUUGCUUAAGCAAAUGCAUCCAACUAGAUCGUCCUUGUGCUGAAUAAUUGGAUAUCGUAUCCACUUAAAGCUGCCUUGUGUAGUACGUCUUUGUGUCUCUCUUUAUAUUCCAAUAAGGUCGGUGAUCUUGAUGCCACACACUCAGAUGUGUGUUCAUCUCCAGAUACUACUCCAUGCUACCUGCCCUUUGUGUUUUGUUCAAUAACUGGGUAUCAUAUCCCAGCCAGUAUGCCGUCUGUUUUGUGUUUGUUUCCUUCUAGUUCCAAAGGGGUCAUCAUGAUGUUACCUUCUUUCAAUAUGGUGCUUUGCAUGACUACUGUUGUAUGGUACCAUCUUGUGGCCAAUAAGUACAUCUUAUCCUAUGACCUUUGCUAUGACCCUUUGCAAAUAAGUAGAAGAUUGUUAUAAGCGUCAAUACUCCGUAUAAAUUGAUCGCUGCUGUGAGUUCCCUUUCAGCUUAUCGUAGGCAUACAUUAUUGCUAGCACGGUAAAGCCAACCAACACGAAUGAUGAAGUAAACGUAGCGGUACUUCUGUAUACCAACACCCUUACUUAAAUGUACCGGUGUCAUUCCCUACUGGCACAUAUAUUCUUAUAUGCUAGCCAGCUUGUAAAAUUAACCAAUUAAAAUAAUUAUUUCAAGAUAGAAAUAACUUAUCGGUUUCUGGAAGCAUGUGUAAUGUGAAUUCAAGGACUCGACGGAAGUUGAAUCACUUCAUCUAUAUUGCUUUCAGUAUUUUGGGUAACUAAAUUUAACAUUUGCACAUACAAAUGUUAAAGUACAAAUGUUAAAUCUAGUUACCCAAGCAGAAUAUGAAGAUAGUUUAUAGUAUAUAUAUACUAUAUAAAUCUAGUUAACAUUUAGUCUAAAUGUUAAAUCUAGUUACCUAAAAUCCUGAAAGCAAAAUGUAUAAAUAUAUAUCUUUUAAGGCAGUAUAAGCUUCGAUUCCUAUUGCUGCUCUGUUAAAUCUCAUCUUUCGUUGUGGCCCAACACUCUAGUAUGCAUGUUGCACCAAGCUUCUUUGAGCCGCUCUGCCCUCUGAUUUUGCUGCGUAGGGGAAUCUUUAUCAGGUUGGGCUACUUCCAGUUGUGCGAUGUAAAGAUUCGUAUUUUCUAGAAGGUAGACAAAAAACUCGCGUUCUCUUAAGGCAACAACCGGAAGAUUCUGCAGCGCACAGGGCAUACCAUUAUUGUAGAAACGACCUUUAGUACCGAUCUCCAACCCCCUUUAAAACUGGUUUUGCAACCGGUACCGUUAUGUCGGUCCUUUAGUACCAGAUCAAAUAAGUACCGGUUGGUAACCAGUAUCAACUUGUUUUGCGGCCAAAAAAAUAAAGAAAAAAACAGUCAGAAGGCUCGCACACACGCGCAUCACAUGAAAUAUGCGUGUGCGGGGUCCAUGGGAUUCGAACCCAUGAAAUCAAGCUGCACGCGACCCUUCGUUACCAUCUCACCUACAUAGCGCAUAUGCUUUCCUGAAGUAACCCGUGGAGGAGGCUUUAGUACCGGGUCAUAACACCACCCGGUACUAAAAAUGACUCUUCAGUACCGGGUCAUAACACCACCUGAUACUAGUAUCGGAUGGUGUAAUGACCCGAUACUAAAAGGCCUCUAGGGACCCUCAAAUUUGAACCCGGUACUAAUGCUAAUAUUAGUAGCGGGUCAAAGUGCAGCCAGAACUAAAGCAUGGGAUGAAAGGUCAUAUUUCUAGUAGUGUAUAGUUGUUGUGAAGGACUGACUUGGCUGUCCUCUCUCUUCUCCAUCCCCUUGGUCUUACGCCGCCGCUCGCACGCGAGCCGGUGCCCAACCAGAGGAGUGAGAGCUAGGGGCAGGUUGGGAGGUGGGGAUAGUGACUGGUGGCCAGGGUGAUGGUUGAUCCUGGUGGGGUUAGGGUUUCAGGGUUUUCGAGCUUCCUAUGGUCGGCGAACCUAGAGGAGAAGCUCAACAUCAGCUGCAACCCGCGAUGGUGGUGGUUUGGCCGGCGCCCGAGGCGAGGCAGCGCGGGAGUGCUGCCGGUGGGUUGGUGUUGGCACUCAUUAUUGACAACUAUUUUGUUCAUAAAAUAACACUCAAACUUGCUGCUGCUGCUGCUGCCAUCGCCACCCUAGCCAUAAUAUAAAGGCAAAAUUUGCUAAAGGACAUGCAAAAUGAUGCUAGUUUGCUGGCGGGCAUCGUUGACCUUGUAAUAUGCUACAAGACACUCUAGUUGUGUAUCAAUUUGCUGAAAGACAUUGCUAUGACUAAAAUAAUGUUUCUGGACUGAGUUGGAGAGAGAGAUGGAGUGAAAUGUCUGUUUUGCCCAUGACCCCACUGGUCAGAUCCUUCUUCUUCCACCCUCCUUUGUUCUUUCUUCAACCAUUACCCAGCUCCAGCGUGUUGCAGAUCUACGAGGGUGGCGGCCUGGGGCGAGGGGCAUCGCUCGCCCUUGGAGGAGCGCUGCGAGCGACGGCGCGGGGGCGGCAACAGCGCGUCAGAACCUGACUGUUCGUUAGCUCCUCUCGCUGCUGGGGAAGAAGGAGGGGGAUGGGCCAUGGACGGGGUUCCCUUGAAAACCUCAGCGUCGAGCUCGGGCGGCUACGCGCAGGCAGCACUAGGCUGCUUCACGGGGAGGGGGCGCGGCCAAUCAUUGGCACCCCACUGGUCCAAUGCUGAUGAAGAUGGUGCCAGCGUCGUGUGAGGACAUCUCAUCUCCUCGAGUUCCAUGGCCAGCACAGGUGAGCUGCCGCUACCACAAAACAGAGGUUUCGUGAGAGUCAAAAAACCUUAUGAAAAUAGCUAAAACCAUCAUGAAAAUAAUCCGUGACAUGACACUCUCACGAAAAUCCUCUCACAAAUAUGGUGCCAUGAAAAUACCAUUUUCAUGAGAGUGAACUGUCAUGAUUUUAUAAGCGUCAAUACUCGGUAUAAAUUGACUACUGCUGUGAGUUCCCUUUCAGCUUAUCGUAGGCAUACAUUAUUGCUAGCACGGUAAAGAGAACCAACACGAAUGAUGAAGUAAACGUAGCGGAACUUUUGUAUACCAACACCCUUACGUACCGGUGUCAUUCCCCACUGCCACAUAUAUUCUUAUAUGCUAACCAGCUUUGAAAAUUAAGCGAUUAAAAUAAUUAUUUCAAGAUAGAAAUAACUUAUCGGCUUCUCGAAGCUUGUGUAAUGUGAAUUCAAGGACUCGAUGGAAGUUGAAUCGCUUCAUCUAGAUUGCUUUCAGGAUUUUGGGUAACUAAAUUUAACAUUUGCACACACAAAUGUUAAUGUACAAAUGUUAAAUCUAGUUACCCAAGCAGAAUAUGAAGAUACUCUAUAGUAUAUAUGUACUAUAUAAAUCUAGUAAACAUUUAGUCUAAAUGUUAAAUCUAGUUACCUAAAAUCCUAAAAGCAAAAUGUAUAAAUAUAUAUCUUUUAAGGCAGUAUAAGCUUCAAUUCUCUGUUAAAUCUCAUCUUUCGUUGUGGCCCAACACUCUAGUAUGCAUGUUGCACCAAGCUUCUUUGAGCCGCUCUGCCCUCUGAUUUUGCUGCGUAGGGGAAUCUUUAUCAGGUUGGGCUACUUCCAGUUGUGCGAUGUAAAGCUUCGUAUCUUUUAGAAGGUAGACAAAAUACCCGCGUUCUGGAAGAUUCUGCAACGUGCACGUUGGCGCUGCCACCGUGGUUGCUUAAGCAAAUGCAUCCAACUGAAUCGUCCUUAAGCUGAAUAAUUGGAUAUGGUAUCCACUGCUUAAAGCUGCCAUGUUUAGUACGUCUUUGUUUUUCUCUCUUUAUAUUCCAAUAAGGUCGGUGAUCUUGAUGCCACACACUCAGAUGUGUGUUUAUCUCCAGAUACUACUCCAUGCUACCUACCCUUUGUGUUUUGUUCAAUAACUGGGUAUCAUAUCCUAGCCAGUGUGCCAUCUGUUUUGUGUUUGUUUCCUUCUAGUUCCAAAGGGGUCAUCAUGAUGUUACCUUCUUUUGAGGUGUCUAUGAUGACUUCGUUAAUAUCAAUAUUAACCAAUUCAAUCUGUCUUAACUAUUUGUAAGGGGUAUGAUGUAUGCAUGAUUAUAACAAUGAUUGCGCAUACAAUCGCCGCCAAAGAAACGGUCAAUACCAUUAAGACAUAUUACAGACAAUUCUCAUAAUCUAUAAUGAAUAUACAUAUUCACUACUGCAGAAGACUGUCAUUUGUAUCGGCUCAUACGUGCCAGGGCAAAGGUCACCCUUGCAUUAAGUACAUUUGCACGGUAAAGACAACCAACACGAAUAAUGAAGUAAACAUGCCGGUGCUUUUGUACACCAACACGCUUACUUAAAUGUACUGGUGUCAUUCCUCACCGGUAGCCGGCUUGAAAAUUAACCAAUUAGAACAAUUAUUUAUUGUAUCGGUGUGAUUUUUGACCUAUUGGAAUAUGAAUUUGACCGUUACUGCAUUCGUCAAGACUCAAGAGAGAAAUAACUGAUCGGCUUCUUAGAGCGUGUGCAAUGUGAAAUCAAGGACUGGAUGGAAGUUGAAGCGCUAGCACUAGUAGAGAAACGACUUUCCAUCCACCCCCUUUUGUCCCGGUUUAAAGUUGGCUCGGGAUAAAAGGUUCACCAACCGGGACUAAAACUCAGUCACUGGUGGGAGGCUCACCAACCGGAACCUUUUAUCCCGGUUGCAAAGGCUAAUGGGAAAAAAAGACUCUGAGAGGCCUUUUAUCCCGGUUUGAAACACCAACCGGGAUAAAAGACCCCCCUUUUAUCCCGGUUGGUAACACCAACCGAGAUAAAAGGGUCAAGAGCCUUUUAUCCCGGUUGGAAACACCAACCGGGAUAAAAGACCCCCUUUUAUCCCGGUUGGUGUUUCAAACCGGGAUAAAAGGGCCCCCACGAGGUGACUGGAAGGUGACUGGAAGGGGAUUAAAUCGUGGGGGACCCUUUUAUCCCGGUUGGAAACACCAACCGGGAUAAAAGGGGGUCUUUUAUCCCGGUUGGUGUUUCCAACCGGGAUAAAAGGGUCCCCCACGAGUUAAUACAAAAGGAUAGUAUCCCCUACAUAGUCAGAUGUGGUGUGUAGGUGGGAUGGUAAGGAAGCUACGCGCGAGCUCCGGAAUUUUUUUUUUUUUUUUUUGCAGCGUCGGCGCUCUCUACCCUUUUAUCCCGGUUGGUAUUACCAACCGGGAUAAAAGGGGGUCUUUUGUCCCGGUUGAGUGACCCGGGAUAAAAGACCCCCCCUUUUUUCCCCGGUUAGUUUAUCCCGGAUGCAUUUUCGGGAUAAAAGCACCCUACCAACCGGGAUUAAAGCUCACUUCUCUACCAGUGUAGCUUCAUCUUCCGCUGCAAGUUAAUUGCUUGGAUAAGAAGUUGUAGCCGCUGCAAGUUAUAAAUAGUCCCGCUGAUGCUGUGCUCCGAAGUCUAUACUAUAUAUGCGGAAACUAGAUUGCUUUCAGGAUUUUGGGUAACUAAAUUUAACAUUUGUACAUAAAAAUGUUAGUUUACGAAUGUUAAAUCUAGUUACCCAAGCAGAACAAGAAGAUAGUAUAUAGUAUAUACUAUAUAAAUCAAGUUAACAAUUAGUCUAAAUGUUAUAUCUACUUACCCAAAAUAUUGAAAGCAAAGAAAGAAUAAGUAUAUAUCUUUUGUUGGAAAAUUGGUCCACGGAGAGGCCCAUUUAGGCCUCGUUCGUUUCACCGGGAUGGGAUUCCAGUCAGGAUUACUUCCAAGUUCGGUUUGAGUGAUUCCACCCGUGUCACUCAAUCCGGCUAGGAUUCAUUCUAUGGGUGAGGAGGUAUGGUUUCAAUCCAGGCCAUCUAAUGUAGAAGGAUUCCAAUCCAGGCCGGUUUUCGUUCCAGGCCAGACUAAAACGAACAACACUUUCAAUGCAAGUCUGGUUUCAAACCGGGCCAUUUCAAACCACCCGGAAUGGACCUCGUUCCAGGCCAAUCCGGUGAAAACAAAUGAGGCCUUAAUGGAAUCCCAAAGCAAGAGUUCAGUGGCAUUCUAUAGUCCCAUGCUGCUAGUUUGAGUUGGUCGAAGCCAACUUAAAUAGGAGAGCUCUCUCACUUCUCUAAAUACGUAACUGAAGGAGAGAAGGGGGCUUGGGUUACACAACGCACGCACGCACGCAUAUUUGCGUUCUUUUCGCGUAACCAACCGCGUGACUUGAAACUUGCGACGUAGCGUGCUGCUAAGUCAAGUUGAUAUAACCUUUUUGCCGUUUGCAUGUAAUCUUUUGACAACGGUCAUUGGAGGUGAUAAGCACGCAGUCAAUACCUUAAUCUUGAGUUAAUAGGGUGGUUACUACUGCCAAUUAGUGGGGCAAUUUUGUAGGGGAAACGGUUAGCAGAGGGCUACCGUCUUCUCUAUAAGAAGUUCUGGAGACGUCCAGGAACACACAUGUACAUGUGAGAGACCCACAAAUUCCUUCCCUUCUCCCUUUUCCAUGUGGUGAAGUGUGCUGUGGUACUGAGCUGCUUGAUCUCGCCGCUCUUCUCCUUGGCAUGCACCGAGGAGGAGGGUGAGCGGUAUCUCCGAGCUAUUGCCGUCAGGAAGCCUGCACGAGGGACAACAAAAAGUUUUUGGGUAGCGCAACUGCCAGCACAACUCUCCCUCCGCCUCUUCUUCACGGUUGAUGGCCACCACAAGCAUAAACCUCGCCUUCGCAUCCACGCAAAAGGGUCGCUGGGGUGCCUUCUUGCAUCGCUUCUCAGCCUCCUUGACUUGCGGCCAGCCAAGAACUGCGCCACCACCUCGGGUGCACGCCACCACUCCAGGGCUGCUACCCCAUGCCUGCGGCCGCCGCCGGCCACCACGCGUGUGCAACCGCGUCGCACCGCUUCCUUGCUUUGUGCCACCACUGCUGCUGUACCACCAGCUCCACCACCUUGGGCUGGUCGCCAGAGUGACUGAUAACUUAUUAUCUGUAACUACUAUUAACUCAGGGAUACAUGCGUCUUUUGCUUCUCCUACUAAUAUGUCCUAAAAUAUCUAGGAUGCCUUAUAUUUCUGGACAGAGGAAGUAUUUGAAUAAAAUGAACCAAUUUAAAAAAAUGUGUUGUACACUACUACAGAAAGACCUAUCAGUGUCAAACCCAAAAAUGUUGUCACCGCCAGUUUUGGGCAUCAUUGGUGAAAGGUUGGCGGUGAUGGGCUUUCCCUUCAACAACGGCACUGGAGCCGACGGUGAUUGACAUUAGAAAACAAAAAAGGGGACCCUACCUAGCCACCCCUGCAACCCGGCCGGCCGUGCCUCCCCUCAUCCCCACCACCUCGCCUCCCCAUGACCCCCCGCCGGCGCCCUUGCGCCUAGCCCCCUCAACUGCCCAGCCGGCCACCCUCAUCACGAGAGAGAGGUGCAUGUUGUAUAAUUGCGUGAAUUUUUUAAUGUUUAAUUUCAUGUAAGUUCCGUGUAAUAAAUUGUACAAGUUUUAUUGUAUAUAUGAAUUCCAUAUAUAUAUAUAUAUAUUUAUAAUUUAAUGUAUGGUUUCAUGUGUAUAUUUCAAUCAUGUGUAUAUUUAGUAGAUUGCCGAUUUUCUUUUUCUACUAGACAAGGGUUGAUGUAUAAUUACGUGUAUAUGUUUAUUGUACGGGCAAUUAGGACAAGUUUUGUAUAAAUUUCUUUUAUUUGAUGGUUGUUGUAUGGUUUCAUGUAUAUACAUUUAUUGUACUACUUUAGACAAUUUUUAAUUUAAUGUUUCUAUGAUUAGAUGUGUGUAUAACUAAUUGUAUUAUUAGUUAAGAUGGGAGCUAAAGAGGAUGAAAGGUAUAUAAUGGAGCAGAUUAUUGCUAGCUCAAACGUUGCAAGAACCUACACCGAGGGUGAGGGUAGCUAGGUGGACAUGUACCUCAACAUGUCCAGUGAUGGCAAUGACGAUGAGGAGCACGAGCAUGACAUCUAUGAUAAUGCGGAACAAGACAUUGCAGAAUUGGAAGGUUCUAAUGAGGUGUGCUUCAUGUUGACAAUCUAGUUGGCUUUUUUUCGUUGGUCACACCUUAGUUACCAUAGAACUUCGUCUCGGGAGAAGAUUGGUGGUGGUAUGGUGAUUGGAAUUUUAUUUCCACGAAAUCUGAUUUCCAUCGAAUCAUAUCCCUUGUAUUUAUCUUCUUUUUAUUUGUGAGAGCAUCUUCUUUAUGCUUGCAAAACAAUUCAAGUGCACAUACUACCCCUAGGGUGACGAUUGGGAGUAGAAAUAAUUGCCAACAAAACAACACCACAUCCUAAGAUUCUUAACUUGUGGCAUAAUUAGUCUAGUAAAAAGAAAGAUAAAAACCUAAUGGGUGUAUGUGAGUGCAAUGUGUAUAUGCAUAUGAGUGGAAGGCAUAUAAGCAAAGACAAUAUUUACACAUAGUUCUAAACACCAUGUUUACAGCUAGGUUGCUGAAUUUCUCCAUAGCCAUAGAGAUUAAUUAACCAAGGUCAAAACACGAUGUCUAUCCCAAGAUCAGUAAUUAUUUAUAGCACAAGAAAAAGAAAGCGCAUUGCAAAGUUUAUAAACCAACCAAUACAGCAUGAAAACAAGAUGAAUAGCUAGCAAGGUUUAUUAAACUGAAUGAUGACGGUCUGUAAGCAAGUUUAAACACCAUCUUUACACAAGAUUGCAAAUGGAAAAUGCCCAUAUGAAGCACUAACAUGGAUAUGAAAUCAUUCAUCAUAAAGCGUAAAGAACAACCAAGCCAACCAUAUGCAAAGCAUGAAUGGAAUGCAAUGAAGGUGCAAGAGAACAUUUUUGGAUGAACACAUUAUGAUGAUGGCAAAAUGCAAUGCAUGCAGAAAAAAUAAAUAUGAACAUGAAUAUGAUGAUCAGGGGCGGACCCACUAUUGUGGCCUGGGUAUUCCUCGGCAUACCCAAUAUUUUUGGGAAAAUGUUUAGUAGUUUUUAAUGGCAUAUACAUGUAUAAUAUAGUUUAGGUGUUAAAAUUGAUAUUCACAGCUAUUUUGGGCUCCAAUUCGCGUCCAAACCAACCUGGCCCACAGACCGCACCCGGCCGCCCGGCCCAUCGGCCCAUCUUGUCACUGAUCCUCCCACCACCACACUCAGCCCGUCAGUUAGUCAGGUCCCGAGCUCCUGCCUGACCUAGUCCGCUACCACCGCCAGGCGCCAGGCACAGCUGUACACGCCGCCCCCGUCCACCCACGUCCGCCGCACGGCCGCGUCGCGCCCCCCCCCGGCGCCCGCUGCUGCCAGAACCCAUUAGGCCUCCACCGGCAAGUCCACCCACAGUCCCGCGCGACGCGGCAGCCUCUUGGCUCUCGGCGCUCGCGGCGCGCCAAUGCCUGCGCAGCCCCAGCAGGCGACUGCCCCCCCCCCCCCCGCAUCGGGCCUCGGCCCCUCCCCAGCUCCCCCUCCCCCCUCCACCAGGACUGCCUGCUGGCCCCCACCGCGAGGUAAUCGAAAUGGACUGCUCAAUCUCUCAAUCUGUUGACAUGAUGCACACGGUUGCAAAAAUAGAUGUGUCAAAAUAGAUGUAUUGCCAAUUGCUAUAGAUGCAUAUGGUUGACAUGAAGAAGUCAAAAAUGACAUUUGGUUCCUUGUAGGCAGUCAAAAAUGAAGAAGUCAAACAAUAUUGAUCUGAAAUCAAUGCGGGAAAGGGCUACGAAGACACACGGGUAGAUUCCCUUGUGAACUUUUUAUGUCGUUCGUCUAAAUAUAUUUUUGCAAUGGGCAUACCCUACUCUGAAAUCCUGGGUCCGCCACUGAUGAUGAUGGUCUAAACAUAAAACAAGCCUAGAUUAAUUAGCUACAACUGAAAUUAAGCAAAGGUUAAUGUCAUUGACCCUAGCUCUAUCCUAGCUUUUACUAAAGUCCCGGCACAUAUAGUGGUUGGGCCCACUCUCUCUACUUCCCUCUCUGCUGCAUGCACACACACGAGCAACUGGAGGCCCAACAAAGCCCAGAAGGGUUCGGCCGAACCCGUCCGAUCCAGUCUGAGCGCCGCUCCCUCCCAGCCUUCGCGCAGAUGCUCCUCCAACGUUCCUUGACCCCUCCCUCAGUGUCCCAUUGGGUUUAACAUUGUAGGAGAGGAGUCCCUUUUUUAAAAUCUCAACCACCUCCUCUCCUCAUUCACUCCACUCUCAUCUCCAUCAAACUCACCAAGAUCCACAUCGGAAAUACCUGCUUACCACCAUGGCUGGCAAAGCCCUCGUCCCUUUCACCAACUUGGGCUUGACCAUUGAUCUCGAUGGGAAAAUCACUCCAGCAAAUGUCAUUGUCCCUGUCGGCGAUCUGGCGAUGGAGGAGGUCCAGGCACUAGAGGUCGAGCCCCUAGCCAUCAUACCGCCCAAGGGGUAAAGCAGGAGCAUGACAGGCGCUGCUAGGGGUUCAGCCGAACUCCCAGUUCAGCCAAACGAGGACGGCGUCGCCUCGGCCUCCCGCUCGACUGCAUGCUUCCCCUUGCCAAGGAGGACUCCAGAACAGCGGGCGCGUGCGUCAAGUCCCUACAAAAGGCUGAAAUACAAUGAAUAUCCAGGGUCACCCUUGAAGAUGGGUGAACGCUACGCCGGGUCCUUGUUUGACUAGUACGGCGAUGCAUUCUGCCACCGCUAUGUCGUUGUCGAGAUUAGCGGAUCAAGACUUAGACUAGUAAAUUUCUUUUAUGCGCGUAAGGCUUCAGAUGGUGGCGUGGGAGACAUGGGUUUUAUACUAGUUCGGGCAAUGGAAUACCCUACGUCCAGUGUCUGGAGCUGCUUGUGUUGCCCACGCGGGGUUCUGUAGUAGGGGUUACAGGUGUGCGAGAGAGGGAGCUAAUCCCAGGUCUCUUAGGCGUGUUCCGGUCCUCUAGAUGGGAGAAGUGUGUUCUGUUUGCUUGGGAGUAUCGGUUGUGUCUGAGUUGUCUCCGGAGCCUCCUCCCGUCUCAGGUCCCCGAUUCUCCUUUCAUAGCACAAGGAGACCAUCGGGGUUACAGACGAGACCGAGCGUGGGGAGGAGUAAAGAGAUAAACAUAGCUAGGUAAAAAUACAACAAGAAAGGGGGGAACCAAGUUUCUAGGUCACCGGCGUCCUCGCCGGCCUUCGACUUCCGCCGGCGCAUUUGUCGGAGGAGGGUGGCCGCCAUCGCGUUCUGUCGAUGGCUUCCUCGGUGACUGUAGCCACCGGGCGUGAUGAUGGCAUUUCGUCGUGACCCUUUGUCUGUUGGGGGAGGCGGCGGAUCCUGCCAUUCUGCUGACGGCUCGCGGAGUGCGAACGUCGCAUCCCUGCCGCUGGGCACGCGGGGCGCGAGAACGUGCGAGGCUUCCCCCUACCCCAGGCGGCGCAGGCCAUGAGUGCCCUGUGGCAAAUCGGAGGAGGCCGCAGCUACUGUAGCUUGUACUGUGCAGCCACGUAUGGGUACUUGUGGCAGGUUGCGUGGUGGAUGCGGAUAUCCUUCUCCCUGACAGAUCUGCGGCGCAUUUAUGGCGAGAUCGACAUGGGGACCCACAAGACCCGCGCCCAAGGCGGAUACUUGUCUGGAGGGCCCGGGUUAGCCUGACCCCCUACGCUUGGGGUCGGGCGAGGCGGAGACUUGCGGCGGGGCGUCGGACGCUCCCGACACUAGACCUGCGGUCGCGCAAGGCGGAGCUUGGUCUUCCGGGGGUCGGGGGUGCCGGACCCCAGGAUGCGGGGUCGGGCGAGGUGGAGCGUAAUUCUUGCCUCCCAUGUUGGGCCGAUGGCAGUCUUUGUUACCUCUAGUGGGCUUGGGCCUUUAUGUUUUGUUGUUUCCAUGGGCUUCGAGAGGUCGUUAAUAUUUCCCCCCAACAGUAGCCCCCGAGCCUGUGGUGGAGUGGGGGCGCUCCUCCGGAGGCUACUAUCAUCGCCCCUAGGGAAUCCUCGCAGUUGAUCCGGGAUAGGAGGUGUUGUUUGCACGGCUUGACCGAGGGGGUCGAUUAGGCGACGCAUCCUGUGAGCGACUCGGUGCGGGAGGGUUUCUUGUUGUUCCCUUCUGUCUGAGAGCCUUAAGUCGAGACCACCUGCGUGGCCUUUGGUUGCAAGGCCAGCCCCCGAGCCCCCGCACGUUGCAGGGGACCGGUCGGAGGCUAGGUCGACUUUUGUUCAUUACCCUCAAGCGUCUGUUCGCUAGGACGGAGGGGGCGAGCCGUGCCAUGCUAUCCUCAUCGGACGAACCAUGGUGCUCAUUGAGUUACUAACGGGUUGAUUCGAGUGGGAUCCCGGUCCCCGUUCGGGGGGGGUCCGGCUUGGGCCAAGCUGGUGGCGUACCCCAGGCUCCGGUCGGCCAGUUCAUAUAGUUCCUGAGUCCGUUCGGUCGGACCGGGGGCUCAUUGCCUUUCUUCGGGGAAAAACCAUGAACUUUGAUGCCGGUCCAGACUCGAAUGUGAGAUUGAGACGCCCGGGGCUGUCGCGUGCCCGGGUGAUGGCCGCUAGCGGACCCGUCUCCUCUCACCCCUCACUCGGGGGUAUCCUGAGGCGGCUGUCGAACCCGUGGCGGGCCAGCCUUCGAACCUCUGGAUCGUAAUGGGCCGUAGGGGCGUUUUCAGCCCCGUAUCCCUUUUUACCUUUUGGUGGGCCUUGGGCCGAAUCAUGGAGGAGGUCGGGCCUUGGGCCGGAUGCGGAGGAUGUCGUGCCUUGGGCCGGAUGUGGGGGACGUCGUGCGUGUCUUCCGGGAGACGAAGUGGUGGAGGGUGCCAACCCGCGAAUCGAGGGAGGAGGGGAUGUUUCUACUGCAGGUCAUGCGCACGGUUUCCGAAAAGGCAGCGGGCGUGACGGGACGUACCUCGCGCCGCAUUUAUUGCGAUGGGGGCGUCUGUUCUGCUUCCCUCGUGCCUUCCCUAUAAAACGAGGACUUCGCCUCGCCGGUUCCGCCCGCCAUCUACCUUCAAGCCUUUUCGCCUCCUCGCGCGCCCUUAGCUUUCCUGUGCCCGCUUCGUCUUCCUCCGCCCAGUGCCGCGCCCUUUCUCCCCAUCCGCCGUCGAGUUCUUCUCCCUCCGGCGAUGGGAUCCUGGGCGCGUUCCCACUUCGGCCCCUCACGCGCCGAAGGCCUAGUGAGGAAAGGCCUCCUUUGCGAGAGGACGGAGACGGAUGAGUGGGGGUUCCCUGAGAUGGAAGAGGUGCCGACUCCGCCCACCGGCUACGUCGUUUCCUUUGCCCACUUCCACGAGAGGGGGUUUGCGACUCCGCCGAGCCUCUUCUUCCGCGGGCUUUUGUAUUACUACGGGCUUGAGCUGCAGCACCUCAACCCCAACGGGAUUCAGCACGUCGCGGCGUUCGUUGCGGUGUGCGAGGGGUUCCUGGGCAUUGAGCCCAACUUCUCGCUGUGGAAGUACUUCUUCACGGUCAGCCUAUACCAGAAGGCCGAGAAGAGGGGAAGCCAGCAGCGGUCGACCCCGGUGCCGAUAGGGUGCGUCGGAAUCCACCUCUGCCAUACUCGCGCCAAGGAGUAUAUCGCGAUGAAGACCGCGGCAUCCCACAAGGGGUGGCACCAGCAAUGGUUCUACGUGAAGAACUACUCCAACCCCCCCUGCCGGAGUUCACCGGCCGCAUUAUUGAAGCGGCGCCGGAGGUGUGGGUGUACGGCCCGGUGGAGAAGGAGAAGAAGCGGAUCACCGGCCUGCUGCAGGCCAUCGAGCACCUGAAGGAGAGGGGACUGACCGGAGCCGGAGUCAUCGGGGCGUACCACGCCCGGCGGGUGGCGCCGCUGAUGCUCCGGGUCCGCUCGCUCGCCGACAUGACCCCCGGUGCUCUCACCGAUGGCACUGUCCUCGCGACGGGUGCUCUCGCUGCCUCCGAGAUCCGGCAGCGGAUCCGGGAGGCGCUGGAGGACAAGGACGCCGAUUACCCGGUGCCCGGCCACCCUCCGAUGCGCCCGGACGAGAAUUUCAUUGAUCUGGUAAGGAUUUUGCGCGCCAGUUUCCCUCUCUUGCGUUUCUUGGUAUGCCGUUCUGACGCGAGGCCCUCUGUGUUUGCAGGGUAGCAUGACCCGGGUCGUCGACUUGCGUCCGCCAGUGUCGGAGGACGCCGAGUGGCGGUAGCAGAACCGUCUCCUUGCCGAGAAGCAAAAGUGACGCAAGGACAAGAGACAGCGAAGAAGAAGAAGAGGGCCGCCAAGGAGUUCCAGCGGCGGCGGUGGGGAUAGGUCGUGUCGGAUGACGAUGACGAUGAGAAGGAGGAGGAGGAUGACGAGGAGGAGGAGGAGUUUAUCCUGUCCCCCCGGUCAGGGGCGCUUGUUAUCCGGGAGCCGCGCUCCCAAGCGGCCAUGGGGGACAAGGCGGGCGAGCUGCCUGCCCGGACCCGAUCCUGCGAAGCUUUGGGGGCGCGCCCCAGGGGUCGGCGCAGAGCGCCCCCCGGGGGUCGACGGAGCCGACCCCCAUCCCUACACCUGCAGCCCAGGAGCAGAGGAGCAGCGACAAGCGGCCGUUGCCAGAUGCCCCGGGGUCGGCGUCCAGCUCAGAGGCGAAGCGCGCGCGCCGCCCUUGCGCUGGGGGAACGUGAGUUGAAUUUCCUUGCGAAUCUCGUUCCUUUCCAUGCAUUGUGUUUGUUUCCGCUGAUGCUGUUUGUUGUCUCACAGCACCGCCCCUCAAGGCCUUGUCCCGCCGUUGGCGCCAAAGAAGGCGUUGCGGUGUUGUCGCCUCUGCGGGGCGGACCGCGGCUCCGCCGGCGGCGAGUGGCGGGGUCACUGGUGAGACCGCGGGUCCUACCGCGGAGGUGGCCCCUGCGGCGGCAACCGGUGGAGUGGUGCCACCGCCGGGCAUGGGACAGGGUCUGGACCCCGCUCCGUCCUCCGCCUCUUCGGCCGACCCCGCGGUGCAGAGUAUCGCUCCUGGGGGCCCUCAGGCCGGGGAGGUGAUUGACCUCGACGCCGACGAGGUGGAGGAGACGGCGGCGGUGGAGACGGGGGCGGUUGCCCCAGCGGCCAUGACGGGGACGACGACGGCGACGGGGGAAGGAGAGUCUACCCCCGCGGCCACGGCGGGGACAGUGGCGACAGAGGAGGCGGGGACGCCCGCCCCGGCGGCUGCGACGGAGGAGGCGGCGGUGACGGAGACGGGGGCUUCCGCCCGGGAAGCCACAGCCGAGGUGGCAGCGGCGACGGAGGUGAAAGUGCCUGUUCUGGAGGCCACGGUGGGGGUGGGGACGCCUGCCUCGUGGCCACGACGGAGGGCGAGGCGGCCCCAGGGACACUUGCUCCGGCACCCGCGUUGGAGGCGGUGGCGCCGACGGGUUGGCCCGUGGCGGCCUCGACGGGGGCGGGGGUGCGUGCGCCGGGACCGUCGGUGAGGCCGGCGACUUCCGGGAUGGUGGUGCCCGUCUUGACGGCGGCGGCGGCGCGGUCGGCCCCCGCCCUUGCCUCUACCACUCCCAUUCCCAAGGCGUGGAGCGGAUCCGUCCUGCGUUGGUCGUCUCGUGACGACCCGCAGAGGCCCCUCUUCACGUUGGAUGAUGCCACAGAAUGGGGCAAGUGGCAGGCGCUGCAGGGCGGACUCGCUAACGUCCGCGCCGCUCUAUCUUCGGCGUUGGGGGAGCUGGACGGCGUCAUCUUCCCCGGUGGCCGGGUAUGGUGCUUUCUCCGUUGGUUAUUUUCUUCCCGUUACUUCGUCCCUGAUGGCACAUUGUUCUGCAGGCCCUCCAAGAAUGUAGCCGGGGAAAAUCUGAUUUCCUUUGGCUCGAGCAGGGGCUCUGGGAGCGCUUCAACUUGGAGUUGCAGCGGACCGGGGAGCUGACCAUGCAAGUCGCCACCGUCUAGCAUGUCAUCGACGAUCUGCGAAGGCACGAGCAGGCGGCACAGGAGGACGCGCGGCGGGCGGAGGCCAAGUUCCAGGUCGUUGCCGAAAGGGCUCGCUGCGACCGCGAGGAGUUCCAGGCCGUUGCCGAAAAGGCCCGCCACGACGCUGAGGAGCUCGCACGGCUGAAGGUGCAGCAUGAAGCUCUUCAGAAGAGCGGCAGAGGGCCUGGCAGGACCGGGACGCCGAGAAGGUCCGGAAGGAGGAGGCUGAGAAGGUGGCGGCCAACCUUGGGGCUGAGGUCAGCCAGCUCCAAGUGCAAGCGCGAGAGCUUCAGGCCUCCGUGGCCCAGGGGCUCGACCAGGAGCGCCAGCUGAAGGCCUAAUCCGAGGGUAUGACUCUGUUUAUUUCUUUGUCUUUGUGAUGUUGCGGUGAUAUUUUAUUUGGCGGGUUCUUCUGGAUGAUCCUUGCAGAUGAGCUCAACUGGCUGAGGGAGGUGCUUGACGCGGAGCGCGCUGAGCACGGCGACCUGCGGGACGCGGUCCGCGUCAUCUGUGACUUCCUUAGUGUGGUCCAGGGGGAGGGGACGAGCUCGCUGGCGGCUCGUGUCCUCGGGACGUACCGCCGGACCAGCGAGAUCGCCCUGGAAGCGCUUCGCACCGGCUUGAGGCAAGCCUUUGGGGUCUUCGGCUCCCACUAUUCCGGCAUCAACUUCGCCGGGAUGAGCGGGGGAUACGCCACCGGCUACUACGAGGCCGAGCUGGAUGAGAUCGACGUGUCGGUGCUCAGCCCGGCGGAGGCCUUGGUGAAGCUCCUCGAGGAUGAGGCCGUCCCGCCCGAAGAUCCCCGGACGAGUUAACUAUAUCGGGCUGGCGCCCCAGAUGUAAAUACGUUAGGGAAAGACUUGUUUUUUGUGAGGGCCGUAGAGGCCUUUUCUAUGAAUUGUCGUAAAAAAGUUUUUGAUUCCCUUUCUUGCUUUUUGGACUUGGAAAGUUUAGAGCACGUUGUCGGGCGUGUCAGUAAGCUUUGAUGAGCGAAGGCACCGUAGCCGCUGGGGCGUCGUUUUUUUUGCAGUCCGAUCAAUCUUGCCUGAACACCGUUCGUGCACUUUCUCCUUUUUAUGCCCAAAAGUUCAGAAAGAGGGUCGGCUCGGAAAGAGAAAGCGUUUUGAGAGGGUGUCAAGUGGCUUAGGUACUUGCGGCAGGUUGCGUGGUGGACGCGGAUAUCCUUCUCCCUGACAGAUCUGCGGCGCAUUUAUGGUGAGAUCAACAUGGGGACCCACAAGACCCGCGCCCAAGGCGGAUACUUGUCUGGAGGGCCCGGGUUAGCCCGACCCCCUACGCUUGGGGUCAGGCGAGGCGGAGACUUGCGGCGGGGGGUUGGACGCUCCUGACCCUAGACCUGCGGUCGGGCGAGGCGGAGCUUGGUCUUCCAGGGGUCGGGGGCGCCUUACCCCGGGAUGCGGGGUCGGGCGAGGCGGAGCGUAAUUCUUGCCUCCCAUGUUGGGCCGACGGCAAUCUUUGUUACCUUGGGUGGGCCUGGGCCUUUAUGUUUUGUUGUUUCCAUGGGCUUCGAGAGGUCGUUAAUAUUUCCCCCCAACACUAUGAGGAGGACUUGUGGGCAGAAAGUCAGCUACCACAAACUUGCCUCUGAAUAUUUGGAGUGCAAACAUUGGAUGGUGGUUGUGGAGAGCCCCAGCCAUACCUCGCACCCGUGGAGAGGUAAUUGUCGGAUUGCUUGGUUCGUCUCUAGAAUGCGACAAGGUCAGGCGCCACCUCUCACUGCUGCCAGUCAGAAGGCCGAGGGGCCAGUUUCAACAUAGUAAUGAGAAUCUCCGAAGGCCAAUAUGGUUAAGCAGCUAACCUCCAUGAUCAUAGACUUACGUUUAGAAAAUAGGAGGCUUAGCGAUGCGUUAACAGAGCAGAAGUUAGAAACAGAAGAACUUAAGGACGACUUCCGUGUCCUCCGCCUUGGUCUUUGUGCUAAGAUAAAGCGCUUGUACAAUGCCACGGGGAAUGACGGUCUCUACGAUGCAGCUCAAUAGACGUGCCCCUUGUAUCCUUUCCUUUAGGCACUUUAGAAUAUGUUUAUUUGUUUUCCUUCAUUUUAAUUUCCAAUAGAUUGUUAGCGCCUCCAAUUUAAUUUCAAUAAAGUGUAGACUCACCGGUCAUCCAACUUGAUGGAGUCCUUUUGUCACCUAGUUGUCUUUGGAAGAAGUAGCUGGGUACAAAAUAAGUGUGGGGGAGAGCCACAGACUCUCUAGAGCUGAAACAAUGCACAACACCCACAAAUAGAGAAAACCACGCUGCACCAGCACGUACGUGAAAGUGGAGCCAGAGCUGGACCCAUAGGGGUUUGGCCAACCCAAGGGGUGGCCCACUCGGGCCAUCUUCAUCCACCGCGUCGGUUUGUGUCUCUUUACCCCUGAUCUCCCUGAUUCAUGAGUUUGAAUGAAUUUUAAAUCUGAUCAACUAAUUCAAACUCAACUAAAAUGAAUCAACUGCUCCACCUGCUCUACAUGUUUUCUAUGGUUGGCUUGCAUAUGUUUUAUUUCAUGCUUAUCAUCUUGAUGCUUGUGAACAAAUAUCUUUAGGACAGCAUGCUCAUCUAAGUAGUUGAUGUGUAUGAUAUGGUUCGAUGAUAUGAUCUUCACUCUUAAUGCUUAAGUGCUUGGGAAAAUCUAUUUGAAAAUUUAAAAGCCUUUUUGAAAUCUCCUCUUUGAUGUGCCAAAGUCCUACCAAAGCCAUAUGAUAAGUUAUCUUGAAAAACCAUUUGCAUAUGUUGCUUGUCUUUGCAUUGAGCUUUGUCAAAUUGGUGUGACCCUUGUCACAAUUCUUUUCAUACUUUCAUGAUCAAGACUCAUGUGCACGCCAUAUACCCCUUGCUAUGCUUCUAUGAGAUGUUAGCAUUGUACCAUCCAUUCAUUCCACAAAAUAAAUGCUCCACCAUAUGUGUUGGUCUCCUUCUAAGAUUAUUGUUACAAAAGAGAUAUGGGCUAUCAAAAAAAAAUAUGAAUGUCCAAGAAAGUUGGACACAUGAAUGUCCAAUAAAAAGAAAAAGAAAGAUAGCCAUGUCCUCAGAAAUAUUUACAAAGGGAGAGAGAUCAUACAAAAAGGAGUUUCCAUUCCAUCCACCACAUCCAUACAUGUGCACAUCUUGAUCUGAUUGUAUGACUUAUUUUUCUCUUUGGAUCUGGUCUUUGACUUUGCAAUAUAUGUGAUGCAAGCAUGCCUUAUCCUUCAUAGCCUACCUUGAGCUCCACAUAUAGCCAUCAUUAGAAGUAGGAUGAAGAAAGGCAAGUCUAAUGCCUUGGUGAGGACAUAUACACAUUGAGUGAUCUGAGAGAAUCAAAUGAGGAGCUAAGCAAGGUUUUGUUUUGAAAACUAAUUGAAAAAUCCCAAGCUACUUGGCAUAAGGAGUUGAGGUGACUUGAUUCAAGACCAUUACAUUCCUCAACUACCCAAGAUGGCAUGAUAGACACUCCAAAGUUCACAAGUGCAGGUAUGGUUUGGAAUAUCUUUUAGGCUCGCUUCAUACCUUUGAAAGUUAUGUUUCACCUUAGUCCUUUCUCGUUCACUCAAGGAUAAGCAAAGGCUAAGUGUGGGGGUGUUGUUGAUGGCUCUUAAGUACAAAAUCUGCGCCAUCAACUCUUGCAUAAACACAUAAAAUAUGAGCAUCAACAAUAGUGGUAGGAGUUAUUACAAACGAAUUCCACAAGUCUUGGUGAAUAUUUGUAUGCAAGCCCAAUAGGAGAGAAAAGACACCUCAAAAGCAAGGAAACACACUCUCAACCAAUCAAGAGCAAGCACAUGGAACCAUGGGCCCACAACCAAAAGGAAAUCGACUACAUUCCAAACACCCUAUACCCACAUGAGAACCCAUAGGGCAGUGACCCAGAGCAAAGGUGAUGCCAGAGUGUAGAUGGUAGUUAGCAUGCCAAAUUUUGAACCGCAAGCGCUCGGAUUAGUUGUUUCUUUUCCCUUAGAGAUUCCCCCAAGGUUUAUCAAUCCAUGGAACAAGGGAUUUGCACGUUUCACUAAGCACUAAUCAAUGUAAUUGAAAGCUUUUCGAAUAAGAUAUGAUUAUGCUAACAAAGGAACUAAGCAAUCUAGAUUAAGAUGGAUAGAGAGUACAGGUUGUGAACAAGAUAGAUUAAACGCUUGUAGAUGCAAUCACCAUGCAUGAAUGAAUUAGAUCUAGGUGUUAUUGUGAGUGGUUGUGAACCAUGCCCAACACUUUCCCACCCGCAACAUUGUCACUACAUGUGGGUACUCAACUAUCGGAACAUAAGAACACAUCAAGAUGAUCAUUCUAGGUAAGCAAAUAAGCAACCCAAAGUAGCGCUGGCCAGCCUUUUCAUGAAAGAGCAUCAUCAAGAUAAGAUUGAUAACAAAAUAGAUCUCAACCAAAGGUUCAGCGAUUACAAAUCAAGAUCUUCGUAUAACCCCGAUGACAAAUAGAGGUAUUACCCCCAUGAUCUUACACAUGUUGAUGAAUUUUAGGGUAAAGGACACCCUGUAGAUCAACUGGACCAAAGAUGAUGAUGAACGGGGGCAGGGAAGGCCCAGGUUGAUCAGCCUGCGCACUUUUGAGCCGAUCAGCUCAGGGGGUUUCCUCCUCCCCUGGUGCUCCUCUUCGCGUGGCCUCCUCUGGAUCCAAUCUUCUCUUCAUUUCUCCUACUUGUGGCGGCAAUGGAUGGUGUUUGCAUGGUGAUUUCCUCUUCUCCCCAACUCUCCCUCCUUGAAGUCCAUGAGGGGGUAUUAAUAGUCUCCAAUAGGCGGCAGCUCUGGGUCAAUGUCAGUGAAAAAAUCCUAGAGAUCAUCGUACACUUCAUGCUGAGGAAACAAGAGGUUGACCGAGCCCUGGGAUAGACCAAGAGGAUCAUCCUAGAGGGUCCCAGGCUAAUCGGUCUAGGCCCUUCCUAGCCCUUCUAGUCCUCUCCUUCCUCGUGCUGGCUUUUCUCGAUGACCCUUGUCCAAAUAUCCAUGAAGCUCUAUAUACAUACCCCCUUGAUUAUGUUGUAUUUCCUGUCAAAAUACAAUGCUCCAAAAUACAACACAUAUGCAAUAAUAGGGUUAUUUCAGGUGCCAAUUGGUGGGUUAGUAUACGAAUAAGCAUGAAAAUACUGUUUAAAUGACACUAAAAGUGUGUCAAUAACGAGCACCAACAAUCCCCCCACGCUUAGAUCUUGCUCGUCCUCGAGCAAGUCUAGCGACUAAAAGAUCUUGAAUUAAACCUGAGCAAGCGAGUCAAGUACCUAGCCUUGAAACAAAAGAUUAGAGGAGCAGCAAAGAUAAUCAAAGUCUGGGUGUUCAAAGAUUUAUCUAAGCAAAGAUUCCCCUACAACUAUUAUUCAGAACCAAGUAACUUCAAAAAUCAACUACACUUAUUUUCUGGCUUUUUUCAGAGGGUUUUUCUUUCAUCAUAAAACAAUCUCCCUGCAACAAAAUUGAAAAAAGAAUUAUUUUCAAGGUGCUUACAUGUCGCUUAAAUGAAUGUUGGCUAUCCUACUUAUUUGCAAGCUCUCAUCUCUCAAAAUUCAUUCAAUUAUAUGGUGGAGUUUGGGUAAGGUUAGCUAGAAUCAACACGUAUAUUAUUGAAUUAAGAAAACCCUCUAACGGUGGCCUACCUUCCGAGCCAUUGAUCAUAAGAAUAUCCACAUAAUGUGAAGUUUUCAAGGAUGAGAAGAUAUAGAAUGGUGGACAUGUGCAAAGGCAAAGAAAUAUAGUGACUCUGAGGCACAAGCAAUGUCCUCGUCGUUGGAUUGCAUAUGGUUGUAAUGAAAAUAUGUUCCUUAAACAAGUCUAUCUUUUCUUUGCACCACUCUUGAUCUUCAUGACAGUAAAAACUCCUCCUUUAUUUCUUUCUCUCUUUUCCUAUUAUUUCUUUUUAUUUGUCUCAAUACUUUUAUUUCUUUAUUUCUUUAUUUUAAUCUCUUCUCUGAACCUCUUCUGAACACCACAUAAUAAAAAUAAGUUUUAGAUCCUUCCAGAGACCUUCCAGGAAUUUGCUACAUGAAAACCGAGGCAAGGAGACCCCAGGCCGAUUGGCCUAGCCACUCCUUUGCUCUCCUCUAGCUCUUCUUUCUGGUGAAGCUUCCUUAUCUUGUAUCUUUCCAAAAAUUUCAUAAAGCUCGACUAGAAACGGAACAGAUCUUCAUAUAAUGAGUUGUGUUCAAGGAAUUGGUAAUAAAAUUGAGAAAUUUGUGGUUCGGGUUUACGAAUUCAGUACAAAAAUAUGAUUGUUCCAAUGAAGAACUCUCAUUACUGAAUAUUGACGAGGCAAGCAUUCAAAGAUGGUAAAAAGGAUAUGAUCAAUUCUCAAAAUUAAAGCAAACCAAGAGAGAGCGAUCCUAAUUCAAUUCAAAGUGUCAAAUGUUGCUUAUGGUGGUAUGAAUAAAUAUUUUUAGGCAUUGGGUAGGAUAAAUAAAAACUCUCAACCUGGUUAAAAGAUAUUGAUCAAUCUUGUUUUUGCAGAGGUUUUAAAUAAAAAAUAAAAUUUUAAAUCACCUCCAAUUCAAAGCCUUACUCAUAAAUCAUAAUCAAAACUGAAGCACUUGAUCAUCAUAAAGCAUGGGUAUUGCAUAAACAAAUCGAUUACUAAAACUCCACAACUACGAUUUAGAAUUCAAGACAAUGCUCAUAAUCUAAAGUUGCAAAGAUAAAAUAAAAGACAACCAAGCCAAGGUAGACACUAAAAACACUUGCACGAUCCUUGAAUUUUAUUCAUGCUUCUUCUCACAAAGACGCUAAAGUAGCCAUGUAGGCCUAAGUCUUCCCAAAAGCUUAAGAAAACUACUACUUUAUCUACUUUUGGUUGAAAUAAAAAGACUAAUCUAGACUCUCACAUGAUUCGACUCGACCAAAUUAGAUCCAAAAACUCAUACGAGCGACGAUCUCCCCCCCCUCACGCUUAAAAUCUACGACCUCCUCGUCGUAGCCAUAUGGAGUACAAGGAAAAGAAGCUUGUAAACGCUCUAAUGACGCUACCCGCACUACUUGCACACGGGAUGGUUGCUGCUUCCUUCGCUUUGUUCUUCCUCAUGUUGCUGCACAUCCCGAAGAGCUUCCUCACGUUCCUCUGCAAGAACUUGAACUCGUCCUCCUGACGGCGAUCAUUAUCUUCUGCCUUUUGAUCCAGAGCUUGUAAGGCUUGCAUGAUGUCAUCGAACGCAUCGAAGAGGUAGUGGAUGUUCUUCCUGCAAGCUGUGGAACAUGUACGAUCAUGCUCCUCCGAUUCUGGCCCGUCGUCUUCUAGAUCCUUCUCUUUGCCCUUGUCUUGACGGUGGCUAUCUUGCUCCUUGCUCGCCUUCUUGCCUUCAGCCCAAUCCCAGUACGUGUUGUCAUCUUCUUCAUCGUCACGGCCUGCAGCACCCUAUGAUCCAUUGUCUAUCUUGUAUGAAAGAAUCAGAAGCUUGUUCUCCUCAGGGUGUCUUGCGCGGUGCAGCGUUUGCAAGUGCAAGACUUGCUAGUUCCUUUUACACAUUGUAAUGUUCAUUGCAUGCUCUAAUUGUUCUACAUUUGUAAUUUCUUGGUGAAGUUUGGUUACUGAUCCACUGUUUGAUUAACUCUUGGGCCCAAACACUGUACUACUUCUGAUUAGAUAUCUGUAUCUUGACUUUGACCAAAAAAAAUAUCCGGCAGUUUUUGCCAUUAAAGUUUCAUAAAUCAUCUUGCAAAAAUCGUACUAUACAACAAGGGACGGUUUAUUAUAAAAUAUACGUUCCCCUUAUCACAUGCCACUUCCACUCAAAAGGCAACGAAUCAGUUUUCAAUCCUGAGUGAGCAAUUUGCUUUUAUUACCGAUGCCUCCUAUUCCCUUGUGCACCAAGUUUAUUUUGGAUAGGGCUGCAAAAAACGACUAACCAGCUCGGAUUCUCCACCUGCAAAACCGCAUCUGCAGCAACCAACCCCACGCGGUGGAAAAAAAAACAAAACCUAGAAACCGGACGGGGGUGGAUGUGGGGCUCGGAGCCCAAGCAAAAAACGGAUCGGGAGCGCCGGAGCAGGCCAUCACCGGAUGUUAGAGAUAGAAAAUGGUUGAAGUUUGGAGUGGAAAUCAAACAAGCCUUGGAGCAAAGGAAAAAAAAAGAUCAAACCACUCAAGCAUUCAUUUGAUUUAGAAAAGAGAACAUUUGUUAAGGUGGGGAGUUGAAAUCAUCUUUUAAUUAGUUCCACGUAUCUGGUAUCAUUACAGUUGGUUUACUUGUGUAAGUAUAAGUAGCUCUGCCGAAGCCUUUGCUCCUAUAAUUUAGUAACUAGUACAAAUGGAUCAAUAGGAAAAUCAAGUUGCAAUCAUUUCUCAGCCAACCAAACCUAUGUAAAUCAAAUUAUUGUCCAUGCCCGGCAUGCACAGGUGCCUGCCAUGCAUGCAUUGUUGCUCCAUUGUAAUAACCAUUAUUGUCCAUCGAUGUUGCAGCGCAUGUGUGCACUGUGCAGACACCAAGCAUCGAGAUUAUGUACUAGUAAGGUGUUGAAAUAAUGGGCCUAGCCCAUAAGUAAUUUCAGAAUUUCAAAUAAAUCUCAAAGGCCCAUGUGGGCAAGAGGUGGAGUGGUGCAAGUCUUUAGUCCCACAUUGCUAGUCGAGGGGAGGGAUGACCAACUUAAAUAUGGAAGUUGUCUCCACUCCUCCAAGCUAUGUGUGAAGGGCGCGGGCGCGAGGCACUUGCGUGAAUGGUCCGCCGAAAUCUGGCCCCCCUUGCGGGGGCGCGGCUUCCUUUUGCCGUUUUAUUUUUUGGUUACUUGGUCGUUAAGUCAUGGAAUCCUAACCGGUUUAGAUCACGAUCGUGAAGGUUUUUGGGAAGCGCUCUGCGCGACUGCUCGAUCGCUUCUUCCGCUUCGUCAAGUUCUUCGUCGACUCCUUCACCACGGCUCGUCUACCUCUUCGUCGCUCGGGCCUCACUCGUCGUCGCGAACAACGUCAGGCUGCUGAUCGUCGUCGCCUGCUGUAUCCGGUAGUCGUCCAGGAGCCGGUUUUCAUCAAGAAAGAAACGUACGGUCUCUUAACUCACAUUAUGUCUUCCAUACUAGCUAUUAUGAUUGUUGCAGUCUGAUAGCUCUGGAUAGUAUGGUAGAAUGUCUGAUUCUAUUUGCAAUGAUAGACUUGUCUAGAUCUUGCGUAGACAUGUCUAGUUUAAUCUGCUGCUUGUUCAUCAUAUUCAUGAUUUAUUUCUGGAUUAAGUUAAAACUAAAAGUGCUUAUAUAUCCAACAUAAGGUACCAAGAACACGUGAAGCACCCGGGGGAGGCUGCUCCACUCCGCAUGCACAGGUGGGCACGGCACCACUACUCGUCUCCUUCAGGCUGAGGAUAAGUGAUGUACGCUGAUCAACAGACCACGACGGAACCAGCAAUAAUAGUUUCAGCCUGCCUCACAGUAAUUAAUAUAUCCUGUAUCCUCCGAGGACCCCUCCCCUUAAUCUUGGCCUAUUGCAUCCAAUAAUGAUAUGUGUGUUUAUCCAAAUUUACGGCACCUUUGGCGGGGGUUCCACCCAGCUCCGCCCUCUCCACCUUCGGUACUCCAUGGGAAACCAUUCCUUUGGAAUCAAGGAAGCUUGAACAGUAUAACGAAUAAAGUUUCAUAUAUCCAUUUGAUUUCACAUGAAAUAAAAUAUUCUGUCAGAACCAAUGGUUUCACUGAAGCUCCAGGCAGCGAGCGAAGGGGUGAGAGAGGAUAACGCUUACUGUGUGUUACCAUCGCGUGCACCAUGGAUGACCAACGCGCAGCCGAGAUGAAACGGCGGACCUAAACAGGUCCUCGCUAUUUUUGCAGGUUCUCGACCAGGCCAGUUCUUUAGGCCAACCUAUCAUUCACGAGUUAAACAUACGGUGGCUGGAGAAAUGUUCUAUUCUUUUAAACAAUACCAGCUGGUUCCUCCGUUUUUAUUCCACCAAUACAAGCACCACCUUGUAACAUUUCCUAUGUUUUUUUUCCUUUCGUCUGUUUUCUCACUACAUGCGUUGCUCUUUCAUGCAUUUUUUUCCAUUCCUGUAUUCCAAAUAGGUCUACAUGAACACAAAAUGAACUAGGGGACAGAAAAAGCCAGUGAAGUUAGUUUUGAGCUUCACCAGCUACUUGCUACAUAAAGUGUGCUAUAGUCGCAGAAAAGCUAAGCUGGAUCAGACGUGGCCGAAACAAUGCCAAAGAGCUAGGUCCCUAGCUGAUGGCAACACAUCAGAUGACUAGCCUGCUUUUCUGUAAUAAUGAUAUUGAGCAAUACACUGCAUGGCUAACCUGCUUUACAAUAAUUGUCAUUUUAUAAUAUUGGUCAUCACGAGAGAUGCACAUUGCAUACACCGGCCCAUCCCUAUAAAUAGCCAAGCCUUUCAGCCAUCUUGGGCACCUCCUCUCAGGGCCUCGUCUCACCAUCAGACAUCUCGUUCCCAGUUAUAAUUUGCGAGGUUAGAUCAGGCUGCGCCAUGGCGUCCGCAACUGCUGUCAAGAUCGUCGCCACCUUCAUGCUGGUGCUGACCAUGGGCCACCUGAUGGCCGAAGCAUCACCGCAGCCUCGGCGUGUGCUUGCAGAAACGGAGCAUGCUGCGGUGUCCGGGAAUCCUGGCCUCCCAGGUGAUGCUAGCGUCAUGCAGGUCCUCGAACCCGCCCUAGUUUCUCGGCUUGCCUGCAAACCAGAGUGCACAGUCCCUUGGCCUCCUUUUGUAUGUAUCUGCUAGAUCCUCUUCCUGGCUCAACGGAACUUCAGGGAAAUGGCUGUGACGUCGGCCAAAGAAUAAAUUGGAUGAACAUAAUAUACCCCGGGUAGUGUAGCUUGGGCUUUUGUUGAGCGUCUGGUGCUAGUUGUAUUUUGUUUGCUCAUGUGGCUUUGCUUCUGGUUGCAUAUUGGCUUUCCUAUCGCUCUCUGUUGCAGCUAUGGUUUCUGCCAGGUGUGUGUUAAUGCGGUUUGUAAGCGGUGCUUGUUCCUACCUUCUGUUUUCAAUAAAAGAAGUCGGAGUCUCCCUCCGACUCUUGUUAUCAGUCAACAAAAAUGAGUUGUAUCAUAUAUAUCUGCGUCUUUUUUCUACGUAUCUUUGGGCUGCUUCAGCUGGAAGUUUAUCGUAAGUACGUGUAUCAGGAUGAUCGUUUGAAUUAAAACGAAAUGAUAAUGUGUGGCUGCUAGAAAUGGAAUGAGCAUCUUACUAUAUUACUAAUUGGAAGCCUCCACGUGAAGCCACCUAGAAAUUCUAGGUGGACGUUUUAAAAAAAACAAAACUCAUAGAAGCCUCCACCACCUAGGAAUCCUAGGUGGACACUCUAAAAAGAGACAAAUCCUAGAAAUUCUAAAAAAAGAAAAAAAUAAUAACAAUAAGAUUUUUUUGCAGUCAAUUACAUAUAUUUUUUUGAGACACCGUGCUGCUAGCUCUUGCCAUUGCGACCAGUAAAGCAAGCAGAUAGUAAGAUGACAUGCGUGUGGAUUGAUUAAAACAAAUUCAGUUAGUUGAUUCUAAAUCGUAUGUAUCCUAAAAGGAAGAUAUGUGCGUGCAUGGUCCCUAGCGAUGACAUGUAGACAUGUAUUGCAAUUUCUUUUUUAAAAAACAUGUCUAUCUCUAAACCAACAAACAGAAAAAAUAUCAAUCUAAAUCUAAAUCUCUUCCGUUCUCACACGCCUAUUAAAGAGAAGACAACCAAUCCCAUCCAUGUUCCAUAGAAUCCAUCUAAAAGCUUGCUCACUGCGGACGGCAUUUGACGGCAAAUCAAUGAAAGAUCAUCCUCUCCAAAUAGCUGGACGGCAUCACCAUCUUUAUCUCACCAACCUACAGAGCUACAACGAUGUUGUAGAGAUCAACUAGGUAACCUACCAAUCACCCUCCCCUUUUCUAUAUGCUCUAAAGAACACGUGGAGUAAUUAUAGGCCUAUAGGAGCCGACUAACCUAGAUUAAUAUGAAAAAUAUUCCAAUAUUAAAAGCAAGCAGAUAGUAAUACUUGCCUUUGACCAUUUUUCUAGAACUGUUAUUCCUAUUGAAUGUUCAAGUGCUACGGCCAGGCAUCGAAUGCCUGCACGGAACCUUCCUAUUGAAUGGUUACUCUAGAGAUCAACGCACCGCGAGACAUUUUUAUGGAAUUUGUUUGAUUCCCCUUCUACAAUUAGAUUAAUUUUUCAUGGCAUAUAUUACUACUAUUAAAUUAUUUGUUUAUUGUCGGGCCUGCUGCAUGUGUGGUAUAUAUGACUUGCUUCUCACCAUUGUUCUCAAACUAUUAUUCCUAUCGAAUCUUUCUAUCGAAAUAUAUUUUAAUUACUUGAUUGUUGUUUGUGUACCAUAACUUCUGUAUAGAAAAAUUCCAUGUUUGUAGAUAAUGUCUUUUGUAUAGAAAAAUAGCCCAAUUAGAUCCAUCACCAUCUUUUGCUUAUGUAGUUGAACAAGUUGCAAUGUUGAACAAAACUUUAAGUGAAAUUAGACCAGGAAAAGGAAUUGUGGAACAUUAAGGCAAGGGUAACCAGAUUGUGGAAUGCAACCUUACUCAGUAGUGGCGAACAAUUAAGUCUUGACAUGAUCCUUAUUGAUCAAAAGGUAUGAUAGAUGUUCACUUUGAUUGCAUUAUUGGUAUAAUUUUUGGUUUACAAAUUAUUAAUGAUGAUGCAAAAUUAGGGAACCAUGAUCCACGGUGUUAUCAAUAAGCCCUAUAUGAAAAAGUUCAAACCAUUGAUUGAAGAAGGCAAUGUGUACAUAAUUGCAAAUGUCAGAAUCACACCAGAACCACAGAAGUAUCGGCCAGUGGAAAAUGACAGGAUAGUCAACUUCUUACCCACAACUGCACUAAAAACGAUCAAAGAUACUGAAGACAUUCCAAAGUAUAGUUUUAACUUCAUGAGCACGGAUAUGCUUUCAGCAAGAAUAAAUGUGGACAUGUACCUAUUAGGUAAAACAUUACUGGCUUUUCAAUUUUUACACUUCCACUCAUUAAAUGACCAUCUAAUAAUAAUACAUAUUUAUGUUUCAUAGAUGUUAUAGGUAUCUCAGCUCACAUUGGACCGAUAGAAGAAACAAGGACAAACUUCGGAUUUACUAAAAUCCGUGAUAUUGUGCUCCUGAUCGAGUAAUUCUCUUUUCUUUUGUAGAAAACAACUACAAAACUUUCAACAUUUACAUGUAUGUUAUAGAACUUCUGUUGAACUAAAAAAUAUCUUCUACAGUGCCCCUACAAAUAAUUAAUUUCGUAGUUGGAUAUUUAAAAUAUUUAUUAUUCACUUUUAAAUUUGUGGCCAUGAAGUUAAAGUUAGAUUUUGGGGAGACAAAGUUGAGGAAGUUGAUGAUAAGACAAAAUCCCAUGUCAUUGCAAUAACAUCUACAACUGUGAGUAAAUUUGGCAGUAAGUCUUCAUUCAAUAUGAGUUAUUCAAUAUUAGUCAUUCAACAAACUAACCUCGUAAGAAAAAUAAAUAAUUGAUGUUUUAUCAGGGUAUUCUCUAUCGUCAACCAAUGCAACAAAACUUUAUGUAGAUCUACCUAUUCCUGAAACUAAGGAUGCACAUGAUAGGUGAGAAAAAUUAGAUAUUGUUUUUCUAUUUUAAUCUAUGUAGCAUGCACUCUAACAUGAUACAUUCUUUCAUAUGAUAAAAAAAUGUUAGUUCAAUUGAAAAUAUUGUCAAAGAGAUUCAUAUUGAGGACCAUCUAAAAGGGACAUUGGAAGACCAAAUGCAGUACAAUAGAAGAACUUUAGAAGAAUUAAAUUUCAUAUUAUUUGAAACAUCAAAUCAGGUAUGGAUUAGUAUGUUCAUUGUACACUAUACUAUUUAAAGACUUACAUACAUAAUGAUGGUAUUGUUCCUACUUUCAGGAUGAGGUAUUUACUAUUGAAGCAACAAUAAAUGAAAUUAAUGCAACAUAUGGUUGGUUGUCACACCCGAUUUUAAGGACAAAAUUGAGUGCAUUAAAUACAUGUGCACCAGGAUCAAGUUACACACAUCCUAUGAGUACCGUCCUUCUUUGGCACAAAGAUAACCGGUGCUCCCCAUGGUGAUGAACUAGGCCGAAUAAACUAUUUUGCUGAUAAUUCCUCUAGUUGUUGUUUCAAUUCUUUUAAUUGUUCAACCAACAUUCUAUAAGGACGUUUGGAGAUAGGUGCAGUACCAGGUAAAAGAUCAAUAGCAAAUUCAAUGUCGCGGUCAGGUGGCAUACCUGGUAAAUCGUCGGGGAACACAUCCGGAUAGUCACACACCACUUUGAUAUCUUCCAAGGAUUUUCCAGCCAACUGAUUAACUGCACAAUCUGCUGCUGAGGGUAGAGUAGCUACAAACUCCACUUUCUCUCCAUCAGGACCUGUUAGCAGAACUGUCCUCUUGGCACACUGAAUCGUUGCAUCAAAAGCGGCUAACCACCUCAUCCCCAGAAUUACAUCGAUUCCACUGGACUCAAGGACGAUAAGAUCAGCCGGAAACUCUAUACCCAUUAUUCUCAGUUUAACUUGUGGACAGAUGUAUUGAGCCUUCAUUGACCCCCCAGGUGAACUCACUAGCAUAUGACGCCUCAUGGUAUGCAUGGGUAAAUUAUGCUUUGCUACAUAAUGACUAGUGACAAAAGAAUGCGAUGCUCCAGAGUCAAAUAAAACUGAUGCGGGGGCAGAGUUGACAAAGAACAUACCAAGCACUACAUCUGGAGCCUCCUUAGCAGUCUCGGCUUCCAUGUGGUUCACCUUGCCACAAACAAAGCUUUGCUGCCCCUGAUUGCCUUGUGGGGUCUGGUUCCCAUUCCUCGGUUGCUGCAUCUGAUUCUGCCGAGGAGCACUGCUGUUCUGCACGGGGGUAGCUGGCCCACCUCUCUUAGGACAAGAGCUGGCAUAGUGACCAACCUCGCCACACUUGAAGCAGGUAGGACCCACUGGAGCAUUGGGCCUUGUUGGAGUGCCAGUAGGGGUCAUCUGGCGGUUCUGCGUAAAGCUUGGGCGCGGAGUCUGCAUAGUCUGCAUCCCUGGAUGCUGGAACUGAGGGCUAGGGCGCUGGAAUGACUGCUGAGCAGGGCGCGGAAAUGAGUGCUGCCAAAAAUUCCCACUCGGGCCCCCUGCGCGGAACGGCGUCCCUUGCUGUGGAGCAAAGCGAGGGCGGGUGUUGCUUCCUGAAGACUACUGGGAAUUGAAUUUCCUCUUCAUCUCCCCGAGCUCGUUCCUCUUGUGUUCCAGGCCAAUUGCCUUGUCUAGCAUCUUCUGGAAACUGGGGAAGGUGUGCGACAUAAGCUGAUAUUGGAGUGGUCCAAUCAACCCAUCCAAGAAUAGCUCCUGCUUCUGCUCAUCAUCAGCAACAUCUUCGGGAGCAUAUCGGGACAACUGGACAAACUUGUCCCUGUACUCUGCCACUGUCAUGUUCCCCUGCUUGAGAGCAAGGAACUCCUUCUUCUUAAGCUUCAUCAAUCCGGAAGGAAUAUGAUGACUUCUGAAGCUAGUCCUGAAUUCAUCCCAGGUGAUGCCAUUAGCAUUGGCAUGGGUGGUGGUGUAAGCAUCCCACCAAUCAGCAGCUGGCCCUUCCAGGCGUCCUGAAGCAUACAGGACCUUCUCCCUGUCAGUACAUUGGGCGAUAUCCAGCAUCUUCUCCACUGUUUUCAGCCAAUCAUCAGCAUCUAAUGGAUCCGGAGAAUGUGAAAACGUCGGGGGCUUGUGGCUCAUGAACUCCCUAUGCCUGUCCCUUGGCGGCGGCUGCUGCUGGUUGUUGUUGUUGUUAUUGUUCAGCUGAGCUUGUAAAGCUGCCACGGUGUUGGUCAGUCCGGCGAGAAGCUGAGUCUGAGCUGCUAGAAACUGCUCCAUCCCUGCAGGUGCUUGUUGGUUCUGUUGCGGAGCGGUGUUGGGAUUGCUGCUGUUGUCCCUGUGGCGUGGCACUGUGGGACGGUCAACUCCUGAUCCGGACCUGGUGUUUACCAUCUGAGCGUUAGAGACAAUGGAUUUAGAUAGAUGUGUGAAAGAAUAACUGAGAAAGAUAAAGCGACCAGAUGUAAAAGUAACACAGAUUCUGUUAGCUCCAUUUAAUUAGGUGUGGUCGUCAGAAGAAGUGUCCAUAAAUUCUGAACAAUUACCAAGUCGUAACUUAUUAAAUUUGUAAACCAACCCAACUGGAAUCAUCUCAAUCGGACUUCUGGAUCUCGAGUUACAAAAUUAACAAGCUGACAGUGUCGGUCGAUAGGUUCAGAUUCUGAGUGCUUUACUAAUUCGCAUACACCUCCCAGACAGAUACACCAAAAAUUCUGAAAAAUUUACAGAUAGUACUCCACGAAAUUCUGAAACUAACCCCACUGGUUUCAUGUCAUUUGGACUUCUGUAGCUAGAGAUAUAAAUAAAAAAGUACUGGCGUGUCAGUUAAUGUCGAGAACAGAAUUGAAUGUCGCUUAGCUUGCGUGAUGGAUAGAUUUAGACAGAUGGUAGAUCAUGAUUAAGGAAGAUUAAAUACUGAUUUAGAACAGAAAUAAAACCCAACUAAGCACUUUAUUUAUUAAGACCAGUAUCGUGUGGCAAUUGCCCCACAUACCGCACUCAUUACAAAAUCCAACUCAAACAUGUAGCACAAAACCAAUCAUCUAAGCACACUUUAACUAACACACUCGAACGACGUCUAACGAUUACAAGAAUUUAAACUAAAACACUCCUAAUUUCCUAGAGGUCUUCUGCGGCGGUGCCGGGCGAGUCGUAGCGGGGACGCUUAGGCGACGGCGACGAAGCGGGAUGAACAGCAAACUCCUGCGGCGGCGGUGCUCCCGUCGCGGCAGCCAUAUUCGCAUCCCUCUCCCACCGGAGUUCCUGAACCUCCUGUUGAAGCUCCUGGAUGUGGUUGUUUGCUUCAUUCAAUGCGGUGAGAGCUGCCGACGUGUACUUGCGGAGGAAGUCUGUAGCCAUGUCAACCCCAUCGUUAGUAGCGAUGAAGGUUCUUGCUUCCCCACUAGCUCGGUAAGGAAGGAACCGAUGGUAAGUGUGCUGCAAUCGCGGCCGUUCCUUGUGGGAGACGACCUCAAGUGCCCUCCUGGCGGCCUCGGCAAUGCCGGAUUCCAUGGUCCUCCUUAUGGUCACAUCAUGGUGAAAAGCCUUCACCUCCCAUCCUCCCUCGUGCUCCUCACGAAGGACAACCUUCACCUCCCAAAAAGUGGGAUAGCGAGGGUGGGUGAACCGGGAGCACUUGUAGAGUGGCCUCAUGCCGUACCCCAAGCGGUGACAAGUCCACCUGAGUAUGUCGGCCAUGUGCACUCCUUGGCCAUAAUCUUCCUUCACCCAUUUGAUCCAUGUCUCGGGCUCGGGAUCUGCUUCGGGCUCAUCAUCCGUCAAGUCGACGACCGGUACGGGCGUCGGGGCUGGUGCAGGAGCGGGCGCCGGUGCUGGCGACGGUGCUGGUGACGGCGUGGUCUCCUGCUCCACGGUCACGGCGUCCCCGUCAGAGUCAUCCCCCGGAUGCUGGAAGAUCUCUUCCUCUUCUUCCUCGUCCCAAGGCUCCAUGGGGGCGUACGACGGCGCGAUGCCAUGACGCGGCGGACGGGUGCUCUUGCGUGCGGUCAACCGGGUGCGAGCCAUCUAACAGAAAGAAAGAAGAAAAUUUUAGAAUAAAAUUUUGAACAAAGCUAGAUAAUAAAAUAGCAAUAAGGAUGAGACAAAUCAAGUUUAAGAAUAAUUAAGUAGAUUUAAAUUAAGAAAGGUAGGAAUGGCUACUAGAUUAUUAUAAUCCUUAAAUACGACCAUUUUCUAACUAGGCUAACGUCCUACAGUCAACACGGCUCUGGUACCACUUUUGUCACACCCGAUUUUAAGGACAAAAUCGAGUGCAUUAAAUACAUGUGCGCCAGGAUCAAGUUACACACAUGUACGACAAUAGUGAAUAGUAAAGCCAGUGCUAAAUCGAAUAAAGAGAGUAUUAACCAUUAUUACAUGACCGAAUGUCUCAAAUAAACCACAAAGUCUAAUUAUUACGCAGCGGAACUCCAAAGAUGACGACGACUCCAUAGGCAGCUGACUGAAGAAACGUACGCCUAGAACUCCUCGAAGUCGUGGAAGUACUCCUCUUCCCAAUUAACUUGGUCUGAACAGCGGUUUUGCAAGGGUGAGUACACUUAUGGUUGGUACUCAACAAGUCGUGGGAAGUAGUGUAGUGUAAGGCUAAUUCAAGGUAUGGCUAAGGCGUAAAUAGCAUUCGCUUUUAAUUAAGUUGGUCAAAUUUUAUUAGCAUUUACUAAGUAUAAGUUCAUACCACCCGAAAUUAAACAUGAACAUAAAGUAAACCACAUGUGCAUGAAAUGAUAACAAAUUAAAUCCAUCUUCCGAUAAUAUUAUCAUGUGAGGGUCCAGGCCGCUCUUAACCGUGAGCACGGCUGAUUGAUCAGUUUAACACUCUGCAGAGGUGGCACAUCUUUACCCACAAGUCGCGUAAAAGUUCAAAAGAACUUUGGACCCAACCAUGCGGUGUUUGCAAGGCACCAUACCACACUUCCGAGGUGUGAUUGCAUAGGGACGCUACGAGGCCUUUACAAAGAUUCAUUAAUCAGUGGUAACCCGCUAAGGUUUCGGUGUCUGGCGUGCACCACCCAUCCCAGGUAAAAUGCAACGACUCAGUCCCCCCCCUUGAAUCAUCACGAGUAAGGUCACCCCAGACUAAGGUUUCUAAUUAAUCAGCCAAGACCAGAGCUAUUUAGUCUUGUGGUAGCACUGUUUUCCUGGGUGGUCGCUCCAUGUUCUGAUUAACAAAUAAUGAUCUUGUCUUAAUGAAAGGUAUAACAGAAAUAAGGCAAGAUUAAGCAUUGUUUUUAGUUAAACCACCAUGUACCAAGUAAGCACUAAGCAUGAGCUACCCAACAUAAAGUAAACCGGUUGGUCAAGGCAAAGGUAAAACAAUCUAGGCCAACCUUAAUUGGGACCCAUCAAUUUAAUCUUAAUAUGUGCACAGCAUAAAUGUUGAGUACGAGAAAGUAAAGGUGUAUAGGACAAAAAGGUAGUGAUCAAGGACACGACUUGCCUUCUUGGCCUUGCUCCUGCUGUUCGUACUCCUCGAAGGCUUGAUCGGCAACUCCCUCGAACUGCGGGGCGUCUACACGCAUCACACGAGCACAUACAAGCAAACAUGGGCAAAAGUAAGAAAACAGUAUACCAAACAUAGUCAAACAGAGAAAACAAGCUUGAAAAGAUGAUCUACGCUUUAAAACGAACACGCGGAUAUAAAGAACGCGAAAAACGGAGUUAAGAUGCAAAAGAUAUGAUUAAAACAAAAUCCAGGGACUUUUCUGUAAGAAAAACAAAACUUUUAGGGCCUAUCCGCGAAAACCGAGGGCUUAUACGUAAUUAUGCGUAUAAACCGAGGGUCUGAUGCGUAAAAACAUCAAACCCGGACGGCGGGUUGAUUUCUGGAAAGGUCAAGGGUUAAACCGAAAAAUGCGAGGGCAGAUCUGUAAAUACUUUCAACGCGAUCUGGACCGCGGGUUGAUUUGCGAAAAAGGCGGGGGCUAAAGUGCAAAAACUGCACGGCGCGGCUCGGUUGACCGGUACGCGAUCUUGAUUGACUCGCGUCCGGCCGUCGGAUUAAGAUCCGACGGUCGCGGUGAUCCGCGACAUCGCGGCGGCGGCGGCGAGCGGCGGCGAGCGGCGGCAAGCGGCGGCGGGUCGCCGGAGUUAGGCAAAAUAGCGCCACGAGGCACGGUUUAACGCGCGGGUUGCACCAAAAAAGAGAGGGGAACACGUCGAUCCCGUUUUGGGGGUUCUUGUCGACGGGGGCUCACCGGCGACGGCGAACGGCGGCGAGGAAGAGGCGGCGGCGCUAGGAGCUCGGGCGGCUAGGGUUUCGGGGAGCUGCGGCGCUGGUUUUGGGCGGAGGAGACUGGGAGGAGGCGGCGGCUUUUAUAGGGCUUGGAGAUAGAGCCGGCGCGGGUUCAAAUCCCCCGGAGGAGUCGGAGCGGAUGGAGUCCGGGGCGGAGACGGCGCGCGGCGGUUGCGGAGUUCUGACCGGAUUCGGCCGGAGGUGGGAGACGAUGGGUGGGGUCCACCCGUCAGUGGCGGAGGGGAGCGGUAGACGGGCCGGCGCGACCGUGGGCUGGCGCGCGCUCGUGGGCUGCGGGGAGCGGGAGAGAAGCGGCGAGCGGGCGCUGGCGGAGCAGGCCGAGCGGAGGUAGAGCUGGGCCGCGGAGAAAAAGGAGGAGGCCGGCGGGCUGCUUCGCAGGCCGGUAAGGAUGAGGCGGCCGGGCCGAAGAAGAAAAAGAAAAGGAGGGACAAGGAGCUUUCGGCCGAGGGAAAAGAAGAAGAAAAAGAAAAGGAAGAAGAAAAGGGAAAAGGUUUUGGAAUUUGAAUUUAAAUCUGAAAUUCAAAAUUUGAUUCAAACUCAAGCAACCAAAAAUUAUGCUCCAGCAUGAAUGCACAAAUAAUUCCUAUGAUGAAUUAAUUGAAUUAAAGAAAAUGAAUUUAAAUGCCUAGAAAUUAAAUAACACCCUAAUUUGAGCAAAUUUUAAUGAAUUUGAAUUAUUGAAAUUUUGGGUGUUACAUUGGUACUACAUCUCAUGUAGUAGAGGCGAUUGUAAGAAGCAACUUGAAAAGAAGUUUGAUCACUACUAUUGCAAUAAAUGUGACAAGAGAGCCGAACCUAAAGCCCAGUAAAUUAUUUAGUAGUUUACAAUCUUAUUAUAAUACUUCUAUUUCUAAUAGGAGAAUAAUAUUUUCAGAUUCAAAUUAAGCUUCAAAUAAGUGAUCCAACAACAAGUGCAACUUGUGUACUUUUGACAAGGAAGCAGAAAUGAUAAUUAAUGAAUGAGCAGAUUCGAUGAUCACCUCAGUUGAUCAUGAUAAUAAGUAGCUACCAAAAUCAAUUCAGGAAAUAUGUGAAGAAACAUUGAUUUCUCAAUUCAGAUUGACCGAGUACAACUUGACAAGUUUUAGACCUGAUUAUACUGUUUCAAAGAUAUUUUUUCCAAAAGAAAAGGGCAGUUCAAGAAUUGGUAUGGAAAGUGUAAAAAAGGUAACACUUUAUUAUUAAUUUUUUAUUGCACUUUUUUCUUUUGAAUCCGUAAUACUUAAUAAUUUUACUAUAUCAAUGAAACAAAUUCUAACCUAAAUUUAUUUUCUUUUUUAUUAUUUGUAGGAAGUAGAAGACAACUCAGACAAAUGCUACACGAUAACUACCGAGAAUGAAGAGGUAGACACUGAUGACUCUUUUACCGAGAAAGUAACAUUCGUAGAAGAAGCCAUAAGGACUGGGGAAAGAUUGGCUAGAAAAGUAUACUCACUUCCAUGUCAGUGUUCAUUCUAUUUACAAUACAUGCAAAAAAAAUAUUAUUCAUGCAAAAUUGCAGGUCUACUAAGCAUUAAAGGAAUAGCGGAUAGUGCAAUAUGUAAUCUGAGCAGCAUGCAUUACAAAGUGCUCUACUGCAAUUAAAUUAAAAAACAUGAUAUAUGUUGAAUUCUUAGACUUUAUUAUUAUACUUUUCUACGUGACAAUUCACAAUUUUUUAGAAAAAAGAAGAUCCCAGAAGAAGUGACCAUGAAAAAAGGUCUAUGACCAGCAAUAAGAAAAAAUGCAAGCAUAGAAACAAAUCCGUAGAAAACAUAGAAAAUAAGGUACUCCAUAAACAAAAGUAUUCUCUUAUAUUUUUAUUAAAUAUUUUUUUAACACUUGACAAGUUCUUUUUUAGGAUCAAUAUAUCAGCAAUUCAGAUGUCAUUGGAGAUGAAACCUUAGUUCAUCCAAAAGGUCAAAAAAAAACAUCUGAAGAAAGGUGUUUGGCUGAAAAGGAAAAGCAAAAAAGUGGUAAUGCAGACAAACACAUGCAGAAAAAUAUAAAAACAUGUCAUAGGGAGGCAGACCAAUCUUGCAAGGAGGUAUAGACGAAACGUGAUACACGACCUGCCUACCUUGUCGUGGAUACCCCAAGAAGAUGUCAUAGAGGUGCAGACCAAGCUAGCAAGGAGGUCGAAACGUGAUACACGGCCUGCCUACCUUGCCGUGGAUAUUAGCCCUGAGAUCAUUCUACUGUUCAAGGAAUAACACUCAAUGCUGCUGCUGCUGCUGACCUGGCUCCAUAAAGUUAUACUCCUCUAGGUGCUUGCACUAACUUUAUCUGAAGUAUUAUUCUCUCUGCACUGUAUAUAUGGUUAUGGAGUUUGCUGGAGUAUCCGGGGCGAAGAACCUACAUAAUACGUCUUGGAACUAAUUGACAUUGAUUCACAGACAAACUCUACAAGGUGCUGUUCUUGCCAUUUUAGAGCAUCCAAAGGACUAUAAAUAACAUAGUUUACCAUAUACCAUAUACCAUAUACCAUAAUAUGUUAGCUAAAAUAAGAGCAUACACAUGUUGCAGGAGUCCAAAAGCACCGGUUGAGGACCAGGUACAUUGAAUUACUAGAAAAAGACAGGGGACAAGGUUUAGGUAACCACAUGAAACAUUUGAAUUUAUUGUACUAUGAACACUUAGUUACCAUGCCAGGAGCACAUAGUUAACACUAACAUUUAGCCACUUUAGAUCAUCCCGAAUCACCAAUGACCCUCAAUAGUGACAAAUUUUGGUUUAAAUGCCAUCACCAAUGAUCCUCAAUAGUGACGUAUUUAGGUUUAAAUCCCGUCACUAAUAACCCUCAAUAGUGACCUGUUUUGGUUUAAAUCUCAUUACCACUGAUCCUCAAUAGUGAUGUGUUUUAGCAAAACAUGUUAUCAAUGACUUGUCAUUGGUGACGUGUUAAAACGCGUUAUCUCAAUGGCAAAUCAUUGGUGACGUGUUAUCUCAAUGUUAUCAAUGUUCUAUUCUUUUCAACAAUACCAGCUCGUUCCUCCGUUUUUAUUCCACCAAUACAAGCACCACCUUGUAACAUUUCCUAUGUUUUUUUUCCUUUUGUCUGUUUUCUCACUACAUGCGUUGCUCUUUCAUGCAUUUUUUUCCAUUCCUGUAUUCCAAAUAGGUCUACAUGAACACAAAAUGAACUAGGGGACAGAAAAAGCCAGUGAAGCCAAUUUUGAGCUUCACCAGCUACUUGCUACAUAAAGUGUGCUAUAGUGACGUGUUUUAGCAAAACAUGUUAUCAAUGACUUGUCAUUGGUGACGUGUUAAAACGCGUUAUCUCACUGGCAAAUCAUUGGUGACGUGUUUUAAAAAAACAUGUCACCGUGAGAGUCAUUGGUGAAGGGUAAUUAAAAUGCGUCACUAAUGUUGUAGCAUUAGUUAUGAUAAUUUAGUAACGCAAAAAUCUACCAUCAGUAUUGAGCUUUAGAGCCAUCGCUAAUGUGGGUUUCUUACAUAGUGAUGCAAGCUCUACAAGGUGCUGUUGCUGCCAUUUUAAAGCAUCCCAUGACUACAUGUUAAUAACAUAGUUUACCAUAUAUCAUAAAAAUAUUAGUUACAAUAAGCACAUACGCAUGUGGAAGAGUCCGAAUGCACCGGUUGAGGACUAAACACAUUGAAUUACUAGAACCAAAUGUAUGUUUAGAACAAAGACAGGGGUCAAGGUUUGGGUAACCGCAUUAAAAACAUUGGAUUUUACUGUACAUGAACACUUAGUUACCAUUACCAUGCCUUGAGCACCUAGUUACAACAAACAUUAAUUUAGCCACUUUAGAGCUUCCAGAAUCGCUAUAAAUAAUAUACCUACGCCGUACCAUGAAAACAUCAAGAAGAGAGACGGAUACAUGGACCACCAUCAAGCGAGUAGUGACAGCACGCACAAGAAUACCCGGAACCUGUUAGCUUGUCUGUAGUGAUCUGUUUUCUUCCCCAUAAAAUCCAUGAGUAUUGCCACAAAUAAUGAAAGAGGCUGACCAAGCUAGCAAGGAGGUAGAGCAAACGUGAUACACGGCCUGCCAAGAUUGCCCUGGAUACGCCAAUAAGAGCGACAGAUACAUGGAUCACACCAAUAUGGUGAAACGUAUAUUCAUCACACAAGCAAAGCUGGUCAGUUUAUCCAUGGUCAAAUUGUGGUCUUUGUUUUCACUUGAGAGCUAAUUGAGGCACUAUAAUAUGGGCAGGCCUAUCUUCAACAGACAUGACAGCUACAGGGAACUUGACAUAAUUUGCUGGGCCGCCUGUGCACAAUUAUUUGUUUUAUUGUCCUUGCAUAGAAUGCUAAAAUACUCUUUACAAAAUGUUGGAUCUAAUAUUUGAAAUAUAGAGUAGUAAUCAUAUAUUGAUCAACAACUUGAAAUUAUCUGUACAUUCUCGGUGAAGCUGUUGAACUAAUUUUUGCAAAUUAUUAAUUCAUCUCAUUACGUAAAGAAAAAAGUAAGUGGAUAAGAUAUUUCGUGGACCACAUCACUGCAAACAUGUCAUGGAGAGACAGACCAAGGAGGCAGGACGUGAUACACGACUUACCCUAGGUUGCCGUGGAACCGCCAAGAAGAGAUACAGAUACAUGGACCACACCAUCUUGGGAGUAGUGACAGCAUAUAUGCAGAAGAAUACCCCGUGCCUAUUUGCAUGCAUGUCUCAAGUGAUCUGUUUUCUUCAGAAAAUACAUGAGCAUUGCCAGAAAGAAUGGCAAGAGACAAACAUGUCAUAGAGACUUGCAUGUCUUGCCUUGGAUACGCCAAGAAGAGGGACACAUACAUGGAUAACACAAAUCUAGUGACACGUAUAUUCAUCACAAAGGCAAAUCUGAUAAUUUUAUCCAUGGAGCAGACCAAGGAGAAAUUGAUGACGGACAUGUGAUCUCUGUAUUCAGUUGAAAGCUAAUUGAGCUACACUAAUAUGAGCAGGACUAUAUUCAAGAGACUUGUUGAGAGCUACAGGGAACUUGUAAUAAUUUGCUGGGCGGCCUGCGCACAAUGAUUUGUUAUACAUAGUUGAAAUAUUUCAAGAAUUUAUCAACCUCAUACUCUGAAACCCUUGGUGCAAUGUACUCUGCUUUCCGAGGUAGACUGUUCACGUAAAAUGAGGUCAUGCGUAAGACGGAAUCGGAUUGGAUUCACAGGGAAUCAGAUUUGGAUAGCACCUUUUAGCAGGUUUUUAGUCAAAUGCAAAUUCGGAUCCACAUGUGGUUGAAUGCGAGUUCAAAAUUCUACUUGGAUAUCCAUUUAAUUUAGGUGAUAGCAAUUAGCACAAAAUGUUGGAUGAACAAAAUCAUAGUUAGACAUACAAUUACAUGUAUGGUUAAAGUAUAAUACAAUACACCAAGAUUAUUCCUUGAAAAUAUUUCUUAAAAAUAUUAUAAUAAAUGAAUAAAUAUAAUUGUGGCCACCAACAAAUAGUCGGUGGUCGCUAAGUUGGAGCCAUUUCUGGUUACUAAUGCGGCCUUCUCCUCGACCAGCGACGACAGCUGAGCUUGUUCCUUCUGACACUAAAUCAUCAGAGUCUUCCCUCCACUACUAUAGAAUGCACCUUUAGCACCAAUUGGGAAAUCCCCUUCAGUAUUGGAUGCUGCAACCAGUGCUAUAUAUCAAAAUGGAGACUAAAAGCCUCGGUCUUGGGUACCGGUUGCAUAACGCAUUACUAAAGGAGGCAAAAGAGAAAUGUAACAAAAAAAAUAUUUUGAAUUCCAAGAAUGUUUCACUAUUCAAGAUGACUAGCUGAGAGUCAACAGACAAGAUACUAGGAAUGUGGGUGCUUGAAUGCAUUUGUACAGAGGUCAUACUAUUUACAAACUCUUCUAUGUUUCCAUAUGACUACCUACUUCAAUGUCACGCGAGCCAUUCAGCUGGACACAUGGCACACUAGCUUGCAUGUCGAAUCCAUGAUUAAUUAUUUGCACUUGUGAUCUCUUACCAGUAUUUGUCCAGACUAGAAACGUGCAACACAUUUUUAGGAUAUGGACACGCAUAUAUUUGGACUAGUAUACAGGUCACCUUUGGAUGCGUACAAGGAUGACCGGGAGGGACUAAUGGAUACAAGGAAGGGACCAUCAGGAUUAAUAUUGACAUAUGCCACAUGACAAUCUUCAUUGUCAUGCAAUCCCUAUCAACAAUCAUGGAAUCCCUAGUGUACUAAUCCCUGGAGGGUUGUGUGGAAAUUUAUUUUACCUUGCGGUGAAAAUCUCAUGAGCAGUCAUUAGUUAAGCUGACUAGCUGAGAUAUAAUAGACAAGCUAGUAAGAUUGGGAGCAUCAAUGCAUCCAUACAGGGUCACAAUAUCCUUUCCAUUCACUUUUAUAUAUAACCCUACGAAUACAAGUCCAACGAAAUGCGGGCCUUUCGAUCAAGAUAAAUUAAAUGGCCCACUUGUAUUUCUAAUCCAGGAUUAACUAUGCCCUCUGUUCAUCUCUUGCAAGCACGUGCAACACAUUUUCACGAUAUGGACAUGCAUGGAGGUUAUUAUACUGUUUGGACAAACUCUGAUGUGCCAUGACCUAAAUGCUUAGGGCCUGUUUGGUUUGAGUUGCUUAUUAUAAGCAACUUAAAGUUGCUUAAAGUUGCUUAUUUGAAGUUGCUUAUUUUUAGUCUAAACUGUUUGGAUACCCUUGCUUAUGAGCAUUGAAUGAGUUGGACAUUGUCAAAUUUGCCCCAUGUGUUGCUACCCCUCCAAUUUGCCUCCCCACCCUUCUUCUUCCUGCACACGUCCGAUCCCGGGGGCCGACGGCGGGCAGGGAGCAGCAGCAGCUGGCCAGGGCGGCGGUGGGGCGGGAGCGGCGGCGCACACCAGCACGCGCUCGCACGCCAGGUGCUAGGGCGCGGCGAGGCAGUCGUCGUAGCCCACCGGGAGCGGGUGCUCGGGCGCGAGGCGGUACUCGACGGAGAUGCCGAGCGUCGGGCGCGCGGCGGCGAGCGCGUUGAGGAAGCGAUGGUAGUGCGGCGACGUCGCGGACUCCGCCACGAAGCCGCCGCCGUGGACGUACACCACCACGGGCAGCUUCGUCUUGCCGUCGGCGGCCGCGGCCGCGGCCUGGGGUGGCAGGUAGAGGCGGACGGAGCAGGAGCCGAGGUCGACGUCCCUGGAGUCGACGCCCGUGGCGGCGUCCAGGCUGGGCCCGACCGGCGGCGGCACGAGCGGGCGCUCGAUGCGGCCGCUCUUGUAAAUCCGACGGGUCUGUGCGGAGGCGGGCGGCGGGCGGGAGCGGCGGGUGGGAGCGGCGGCAGGUGGUGCGGAGGCCGGCGGCGGCGGGUGGCGCGGAGGAAGGGGAGCUGGUGAGUGGUGACAGGGGAGGGGGGGAGAGAGAGGGGGGGUAGGGUGCAUUGAAUGAGGGCAGGAGGUGUAAAGUGCACCUUUUAGUCCCCAUGAGCAACCAUAAGCAGCCCAAGAGUUGCUUAUUUGCUUAUAAUAAGCAACCUCAUAAGCAAGAGUGAUUGGUUUCAUAAGCAACUUAUUUGCUUAUUUUAAGUUGCUUAUGCAUAAGCAUGUGAAACCAAGCAGGUCCUUAACCUAUGGUUGUGGCACCACACAGUACAUAGUAUUUAAUAAUGCUAUUCGUUUGGUAUGUGCACAAGGGCACGCAUGAAAUGUCUGGCCCACGGUAAACAAGUACGGACGCUGCAAAUAAUCUACUCUGCUCGUCCAGUCCCUAGCCUAUAAAUAGAUGCCAUGCUAGCUCUUGUUGUGCUCACAAUUAAUCCUGACUACACACGAGCUUCUCUCCCUGGCCAAGACACAAUCAUAGUAUGAUGAAGAACAUGGCACUAGCCGGCAAUGGUAUGAAGAACUUAAUCCUCGCUGUUCUCUUACUGUGUCUAGUUAUAGGGCAGAUACAAGUGGAAGCUAAGAGCUGCUGCCCAUCCAUUACUGCAAGAAAUAUCUACAAUGCCUGCCGUAUCACGGGUACAUCCCGUCCAACGUGUGCAAAACUGUCAGGCUGCAAAAUUAUCAGCGGGGACAAAUGCAAGCCCCCUAACGACCACCUCACCCUUGACCCGGACACUGGUAAAUAAUAAAUUUAUCUCACUUGAUUUCUUCGUGUUUUGAGUCGUUAAUGUAUUUUCCAUCUGAUGAAACGUAUUGGUUUUGCAUUGAAGAGGAAGUUAAUGUGCUUAACUUCUGCAAGUUGGGGUGUGCGUCGUCUGUGUGCAACAACAUCAACGCUGGUAAGCACCUUUUGCUCAGACGGAGAAAACAAUAAUCAUUAAUUAGCGGCAGCUAGAAUCCUAUAAUCUAAUAUAUUUAUAUAUAUAUAUAAUUUUAUCAGCUCUGGGAAAUGAAGAGGCGAACGAUGCCGUUGAGAGUUGCGACCAAGCCUGCUCUAGCUUCUGCAACGUGCACGUUGGCGCUGCCACCGUGGUUGCUUAAGCAAAUGCAUCCAACUGGAUCGUCCUUGUGCUAAAUAAUUGGAUAUCGUAUCCACUUAAAGCUGCCUUGUGUAGUACGUUUUUGUUUGUGUCUCUCUUUAUAUUCCAAUAAGGUCGGUGAUCUUGAUGCCACACACUCAGACGUGUGUUCAUCUCCAGAUACUACUCCAUGCUACCUGCCCUUUGUGUUUUGUUCAAUAACUGGGUAUCAUAUCCCAGCCAGUGUGCCAUCUGUUUUGUGUUUAUUUCCUUCUAGUUUCAAAGGGGUUAUCAUGAUGUUACCUUCUUUCGAUAUGGUGCUUUGCAUGACUACUGUUGUAUGGUACCAUCUUGUUGGCCAAUAAAUACAUCUUAUCCUAUGACCCUUUGCUAUGACCCUUUGCAAAUAAGUACAAGAUUGUUAAAUACUCGGUAUAAAUUGACUACUGCUGUGAGUUCCCUUUCAGCUUAUCGUAGGCAUACAUUAUUGCUAGCACGGUGAAGACAACCAACACGAAUGGUCAAGUAAACGUACCGGUACUUUUGUAUACCAACACCCUUGCUUAAAUGUACCGGUGUUACUCCCCACUAGCACAUAUAUUCUUAUAUGCUAGCCGGCUUGAAAAUUAACCGAUUAAAAUAAUUAUUUCAAGACAGAAAUAACUUAUCGGCUUCUCGAAGCAUGUGUAAUGUGAAUUCAAGGACUUGAUGGAAGUUGAAUCGCUUAAUCUAGAUUGCUUUCAGGAUUUUGGGUAACUAAAUUUAACAUUUGCACAUACAAAUGUUAAUGUACAAAUAUUAAAUAUAGUUACCCAAGCAGAAUAUGAAGAUACUCUAUAGUAUAUAUAUACUAUAUAAAUCUAGUUAACAUUUAGUCUAAAUGUUAAAUCUAGUUACCUAAAAUCCUGAAAGCAAAAUGUAUAAAUAUAUAUCUUUUAAGGAAUCCCAAAGCAAGAGUUCAGUGGCAUUCUAUAGUCCCAUGCUGCUAGUUUGAGUUGGUCGAAGCCAACUUAAAUAGGAGAGCUCUCUCACUUCUCUAAAUACGUAACUGAAGGAGAGAAGGGGGCUUGGUUACACAACGCACGCACGCACGCAUAUUUGCGUUCUUUUCGCGUAACCAACCGCGUGACUUGAAACUUGCGACGUAGCGUGCUGCCAAGUCAAGUUGAUAUAACCUUUUUGCCGUAGGCGUGUAAUCUUUUGACAACGGUCAUUGGAGGUGAUAAGCACGCAGUCAAUACCUUAAUCCUGAGUUAAUAGGGCGGUUACUACUGCCAAUUAGUGGGGCAAUUUUGUAGGGGAAACGGUUAGCAGAGGGCUACCAUCUUCUCUAUAAGAAGUUCUGGAGACGUCCAGGAACACACAUGUACAUGUGAGAGACCCACGAAUUCCUUCCCAUCUCCCUUUUCCAUCUGGUGAAGUGUGCUAUGGUACUGAGCUGCUGGAUCUCGCCGGCUCUUCUCCUUGGCGUGCACCGAGGAGGAGGGUGAGCGGUAUCUCCGAGCUAUUGCCGUCAGGAAGCCUGCACGAGGGACAACAAUAAAGUUUUUGGGUAGCGCAACUACGCAACCGCUCGAUUCGAUCGACUAUGUUCUGCGCUGCCUCAUCUUCGAUCUGCACUGCAACACGUAACCCUGCAGCAAGUCUACACAAGGACGGAGCACUAAUCUGUAAGUCCUAGAUUGGUUUCUUACAGAGUUGUAGGUUACACAAGAUCUAGAAUUGUUACAUACUUAUUAUUAUGGGUUACAUGAUGUUUUGUACGGUUACGUCUAUUUUGCAUAUGCUAUUUUUACAUACCGUUUACAUGCAUAUGUAAUGGUUACGCCUAGCUAUUUGAAUCUAGAAUUGGGUUACAUAGCAGUAGCAAUGACUUACGUAAUAUGCCUCAUGUUUAUAUCUGGUAGAAUUUAACACGUAUCUCCAACAUAUUUUGAGGCAGUAUAAAUUUCAAUUCCUUUUGCUGCUCUGUUAAAUCCCGUCUUUCGUGUGGCCCAACACUCUAGUAUGCAUGUAGCACCAAGCUUGUUUGAGCCGCUUUGUGCUCUGAUUUUGCUGUCUGUAUCAGGUUGGACUGUUUCUUUGUCUUGCGAUGUAUAGCUUCAUAUCUUCUAGAGGUUAGACAGCAAAACCCGCGUUCUCUUAAGGCAACAACUCGAAGAAUCUGCAGCGCUCCUGAUAUAUCACUGCUGCAGAAACAAUCUUUAGUACUGAUUUCCAACCCCCUUUAGUAUCGGUUUGGCAAUCAGUACCACUACGUCGGUACUAAAGGGAGUUCUCUAGAAUCGGGUCAAAUAACUGGUACUAAAAGUGCUCCUCUACUACCAGUUGGUAACACCAAUAGGUAGUAACUUUUUUUGCACCCAAAAAAUUAAAGAAAAACAGCCGGGAGGCUCGCGCACACACGCAUCAUGAGUAAUAUGCGCGUGCAUGGUUUGUGGGAUUCCAACCCACGACCAAGCUAUAAGCACGUAGUUACAAAAAAAUUAAACACUUAGACAUUUUAGAGCAUCCCAAAUAACUACAAAUUCUUUAGUUUACCAUAUACCAUAAAAUAUUAGUUAAAAUAAGAGCAUACGCACGUCGGAAGAGUCCCAAUGCACCGGUUGAGGAUCAGACCAGGCACUUUGAAUGCACAUGCCAUAAGAUAAUUCUGCAGGACGAUGAUUGCAAUAAUGGACCAUCGAGAAGAUAGGGGCGAUGGGGUUGCCUCAUCAAUUAUGACUUGGCGCAACAAGACCAGCAAAGUCUUUAUCGACAGGGGUGGAUCAAGGGGUGGGGCGGGUAGAGCUCCAAUCUUCCUACCGCCGCUCGAACAAUGGAGCCCCCCUUAGCCCCUCCAUAAAUUUUUAGGUAGAAGAAAAAAGAAGAGAAGGGAAGGAAGGGGAAGAAUAGGGAGCCCCUCCUAAGUAGGUCGCCAUCGUGCUUCCCAACGCAUGAUCGCCGCACCGCAUCCAUUCCUCUACAAGCCUCCAGCGUCUCUCCUGCCGCUACCUCUGAACCAUGUGCAGCUGCAGACCCAACUAGUGUCUUGUCACCCAUCUCAAUCCCAACAGAGCGGCGGCUCCUGCCAGCACAAAUCUCCCUCCGCCUGUUCUUCACGAUCGAUGGCCACCACAAGCAUAAACCUCGCCUUCGCAUCCACGCAAAAGGGUCGCCGGUGUGCCUUCUCGCAUCGCUUCUCAGCCUCCUUCACUUGCGGCUGGCCAAGAACCGUGCCACCACCUCGGGUGCGCGCCACCGCUCCAGGGCCGCUACCCCAUGCGUGCGGCCGCCGCCGGCCACCACGCGUGUGCAACCGUGUCGCACCGCUUCCCUGCUCUGUGCCACCACUGCUACUGCACCACCAGCUCCACCACCUUGGGCUGGUCGCCAGGGUGACUGAUUGGUGGAUUAUUACUACAAAUAAGUUCCUUAUUAUCUGCAACUACUAUUAACUCAGGGAUACAUGCGUCUUUUGCUUCUCCUGUUAAUAUGUCCUAAAAUAUCUAGAAUGCCUUAUAUUUCUGGACGGAGGAAGUAUUUGAAUAAAAUGAACCAAUUUUAAAAAAUGUGUUGUACACUACUACAGAAAGAACUAUCAGUGUCAAACCCAAAAAUGUCGUCACUGCCAGUUUUGGGCAUCGUUGGUGAAAGGUUGGCGGUGAUGGGUAUCCCCUUCAACAACGGCACUAGAGCUAACAGUGAUUGACAUUAGAAAACGAAAAAGGGGACCCACCUAGCCACCCCUGCAACCCGGCUGGCCGUGCCUCCCGUCAUCCCCACCACCUCGCCUCCCCCGUGACCCCCCGCCGGCGCCCUUGCGCCUAGCCCCCUCGCCUGCCUGGCCGGCCACCCUCGUCACGAGAGAGAGGGGUGCAUGUUGUAUAAUUGCGUGAAUUUUUAAUGUUUAAUUUCAUGUAAGUUUCAUAUAAUAAAUUGUACAAGUUUUAUUGUAUAUAUGAAUUCCAUAUAUAUAUAUUUAUAAUUUAAUGUAUGGUUUCAUGUGUAUAUUUCAAUAAUGUGUAUAUUUAGUAGAUAGCCGAUUUUCUUUUUCUACAAGACAAGGGUUGAUGUAUAAUUACGUGUAUAUGUUUAUUGUACGGGCAAUUAGGACAAGUUUUGUAUAAAUUUCUUUUAUUUCAUGGUUGUUGUAUGGUUUCAUGUAUAUACAUUUAUUGUACUACUUGAGACAAUUUUUAAUUUAAUGUUUCUAUGGUUACAUGUGUGUAUAACUAAUUGUAUUAUUAGUUAAGAUGGGAGCCAAAGAGGAUGAAAGGUAUAUAAUGGAGCAGAUUAUUGCUGGCGGUAGUGGCUCAAACGUUGCAAGAACCUACAUCAAGGGUGAGGGUAGCUAGGUGGACAUGUACCUCAACAUGUCCAGUGAUGGCAAUGACGAUGAGGAGCACGAGCAUGACGUUUAUGAUAGUGCGGAACAAGACAUUGCAGAAUUGGAAGGUUCUAAUGAGGUGUGCUUCAUGUUGAUGAUCUGGUUGGCUUUUUUUCUUUGGUCACACCUUAGUUACCAUAGAACUUCGUCUCGGGAGAAGAUUGGAGGUGCUAUGGUGAUUGGAAUUUUAUUGCCUCCAAAUAUGAUUUCCAUCGAAUCAUAUCCCUUGUAUUUAUCUUCUUUUUAUUUGUGAGAGCAUCUUCUUUAUGCUUGCAAAACAAUUCAAGUGCACAUACUACACCUAGGGUGAUGAUUAGGAGUAGAAACAAUUGCCAACAAACGAACACCACAUCCUAAGAUUCUUAACUUGUGGUAUAAUUAGUCUAGUAAAAAGAAAGAUAAAAACCUAAUGGGUGUACGUGAGUGCAAUGCGUAUAUGCAUAUGAGUGGAAGGCAUAUAAGCAAAGAUAAUAUUUACACAUAGAUCUAAGCACCAUGUUUACAACUAAGUUGCUGAAUUUCUCCAUAGCUAUAGAGAUUAAUGAACCAAGGUCAAAACACCAUGUCUAUCCCAAGAUCAGUAAUUCUUUAUAGCACAAGAAAAAGAAAGCGCAUUGCAAAGUUUAUAAACCAACCAAUGCAGCAUGAAAACAAGAUGAAUAGCUAGCAAGGUUUAUUAAACUGAAUGAUGACGGUCUGCAAGCAAGUUUGAACACCAUCUUUACACAAGAUUGCAAAUGGAAAAUUCCCAUAUGAAGAACUAACAUGGAUAUGAAAUCAUUCAUCAUAAAGCGUAAAGAACAACCAAGCCAACCAUAUGCAAAGCAUGAAUGGAAUGCAAUGAAGGUGCAAGAGAACAUUUUUGGAUGAACCCAUUAUGAUGAUGGCAAAAUGCGCCGUGCCCCCCAGCCCCCGCGGUGAGAUCCCGCCGCUCGCUGCCGCCAGACCCUAUUAGGCCUCCACCGGCAGGUCCACCCACGGUCCCGCGCGACGUGGCAGCCUCUUGGCUCUCGGCGCUCGCGGCACGCCAGUGCUGGCGCAGCCCCACCAGGCGACUACCCUCCCCCCAUAAGGCCUCGGCCCCUCCCCAGCGCCGCCCCCCAACACCAGGACUGCCUGCUGCCCCCCACCGUGAGGUAAUCGAAAUCGACUGCUCAAUCUCUCAAUCUGUUGAUAUGAUGCACACGGUUGCAAAAAUAGAUGUGUCAAAAUAGAUGUUUUGCCAAUUGCUAUAGAUGCAUACGGUUGACAUGAAGUCAAAAAUGACAUUUGGUUCCUUGUAGGCAGUCAAAAAUGAAGAAGUCAAAAAAUAUUGAUCUGAAAUCAAUGUGGGAAAGGGCUAUGAAGACACGCAGGUAGAUUCCCUUGUGAACUUUUUAUGUCGUUCGUCUAAAUAAUUUUUUGCAAUGGGCAUACCCUACUCUGAAAUCCUGGGUCCGCCACUGAUGAUGAUGGUCUAAAAAUAAACCAAGCCUAGAUUAAUUAGCCACAACUGAAAUUAAGCAAAGGUUAAUGUCAUUGACCCUAGCUCUAUCCUAGCUUUUACCAAAGUUCCGGCACAUAUAGUGGUUGGGCCCACUCUCUCUGCUUCCCUCUCUGCUGCAUGCACGCACACGAGCAACGGGAGGCCCGACGAAGCCCAGAAGGGUUCGGCCGAACCAGUAUGAGCGCCGCUCCCUCCCAGCCUUCGCGCAGAUGCUCCUCCAACGUUCCUUGACCCCUCCCUCAGCGUCCCGUUGGGUUUAACAUUGCAGGAGAGGAGUCCCUUUUUUAAAAUCUCAACCACCUCCUCUCCCCAUUCACUCCACUCUCAUCUCCAUCAAACUCACCAAGAUCCGCACCGGAAAUCCCUGCUUACCACCAUGGCUGGCAAAGCCCUCAUCCCUUUCACCAACUUGGGCUUGACCACUGAUCUCGAUGGGGAAAUCACUCUGGCAAAUAUGCGUGUAACACUGCCCCCUUUGCCGAGGGUUAAAGCCAAAACACUCAGCAAAGUGGAUAGUACCCCCCUUUUUACCCGUUUUGUCAUGUAUAACGGACCCCUCUCAAUUCACAAUAGACAUCAUCAUAGGCAUUUAUAAUAAACAAUCACAGGCAUAAUUCACAAUCACCAUUACAAGCAUUAUUCAUAAAUAUCACAGACAUAAUCCAAAGUAAGCAUGAAACAAGCCAUAAAUCCAAGUUCAAGUCACAACUAAGUUUCAUCCAAGUUCAAGUCACAAAUGCAAUGUCUAAAUCCAUGGAGGCCAAGGAGACCACUGCGACAAAUCUUGGUCUUCAUUAUUCGAAGCCGCCGAUUGAUUCUGCACAUAGGAUAGGACAUUCUGAGCUAACAUCUAAAGUUGUCAAAAUUAAAGUAUUCAAUCUUAAGCACAAUGUGUCAAAUGACUCACAGGAGUAGUUGUGGGUGGCUGAGGCGGAGGGAACAGCAUCGAUGGCGGUGGCAAAGAUUGACCCAUGCUCGAAGCAAAAUUCUGCAUGUACUGGAACAUCUGGUCCAUCCUCAUCCGAUUUUCUUCCUCCAUCCUCUGCCGCUCGGCCUCUAACCUCCGCUGAACCAUCUGCUCCAUCCUCGCCGCCAUCUCCUCUUGUUGCUUCCUUGCUGCUUCCACCUGGGCCUACAAUAUUUCAUUGCAAUGUUACAAUGCAAAGCUAAAGUAUAGCAACCAACGAACAAUGAAUGGAAGAGAAAGAACCUGGAGAGCCUCCAUCUGGAACUGUCCAAUGGUUGGUCGUAGCCGUAUCGCCGGGCUCGAGUCCGUGCUCCUUGCUUGGAUCUGGGAGAGAGUGGCAGUAGAGGCCGUGUUGAUUACGCCGUCGCCAAUCCAAUAUCGGCCAUGCUUCUUGCCUCCUCCCACCCUCAUCACGAUUUCUCCAUCAAUAUCCUCAGAGCUUGAAUCGAAGUCUGGCCCGUGAACCUCCCUUGCCAUCACUGUAUAUUCCUUUGCCGAGUGCCCGAGAUAAAGCACUCGGCAAAUAGAAAACACUCGGCAACUUUACUGUUUCCCGUAGUGUCGCUAUUUUUGCAGGUUCUCGACCAGGCCAGUUCUUUGGGCCAACCUAUCAUUCACGACUUAAACAUACGGUGGCUGUAGAAAUGUUCUAUUCUUUUCAACAAUACCAGCUGGUUCCUCCGUUUUUAUUCCACCAAUACAAGCACCACCUUGUAACAUUUCCUAUGUUUUUUUUUCCUUUCGUCUGUUUUCUACAUGCGUUGCUCUUUCAUGCAUUUUUUUCCAUUCCUGUAUUCCAAAUAGGUCUACAUGAACACAAAAUGAACUAGGGGACAGAAAAAGCCAGUGAAGCCAAUUUUGAGCUUCACCAGCUACUUGCUACAUAAAGUGUGCUAUAGUGACGUGUUUUAGCAAAACAUGUUAUCAAUGACUUGACAUUGGUGACGUGUUAAAACGCGUUAUCUCAAUGGCAAAUCAUUGGUGACGUGUUUUAAAAAAACAUGUCACCGUGAGAGUCAUUGGUGAAGGGUAAUUAUAAUGCGUCACUAAUGUUGUAGCAUUAGUUAUGAUAAUUUAGUAACGCAAAAAUCUACCAUCAGUAUUGAGCUUUAGAGCCAUCGCUAAUGUGGGUUUCUUACAUAGUGAUGCAAGCUCUACAAGGUGCUGUUGCUGCCAUUUUAAAGCAUCCCAUGACUACAUGUUAAUAACAUAGUUUACCAUAUAUCAUAAAAAUAUUAGUUACAAUAAGCACAUACGCAUGUGGAAGAGUCCGAAUGCACCGGUUGAGGACUAAACACAUUGAAUUACUAGAACCAAAUGUGUGUUUAGAACAAAGACAGGGGUCAAGGUUUGGGUAACCGCAUUAAAAACAUUGGAUUUUACUGUACAUGAACACUUAGUUACCAUUACCAUGCCUUGAGCACCUAGUUACAACAAACAUUAAUUUAGCCACUUUAGAGCUUCCAGAAUCGCUAUAAAUAAUAUACCUACGCCGUACCAUGAAAACAUCAAGAAGAGAGACGGAUACAUGGACCACCAUCAAGCGAGUAGUGACAGCACGCACAAGAAUACCCGGAACCUGUUAGCUUGUCUGUAGUGAUCUGUUUUCUUCCCCAUAAAAUCCAUGAGUAUUGCCACAAAUAAUGAAAGAGGCUGACCAAGCUAGCAAGGAGGUAGAGCAAACGUGAUACACGGCCUGCCAAGAUUGCCCUGGAUACGCCAAUAAGAGCGACAGAUACAUGGAUCACACCAAUAUGGUGAAACGUAUAUUCAUCACACAAGCAAAGCUGGUCAGUUUAUCCAUGGUCAAAUUGUGGUCUUUGUUUUCACUUGAGAGCUAAUUGAGGCACUAUAAUAUGGGCAGGCCUAUCUUCAACAGACAUGACAGCUACAGGGAACUUGACAUAAUUUGCUGGGCCGCCUGUGCACAAUUAUUUGUUUUAUUGUCCUUGCAUAGAAUGCUAAAAUACUCUUUACAAAAUGUUGGAUCUAAUAUUUGAAAUAUAGAGUAGUAAUCAUAUAUUGAUCAACAACUUGAAAUUAUCUGUACAUUCUCGGUGAAGCUGUUGAACUAAUUUUUGCAAAUUAUUAAUUCAUCUCAUUACGUAAAGAAAAAAGUAAGUGGAUAAGAUAUUUCGUGGACCACAUCACUGCAAACAUGUCAUGGAGAGACAGACCAAGGAGGCAGGACGUGAUACACGACUUACCCUAGGUUGCCGUGGAACCGCCAAGAAGAGAUACAGAUACAUGGACCACACCAUCUUGGGAGUAGUGACAGCAUAUAUGCAGAAGAAUACCCCGUGCCUAUUUGCAUGCAUGUCUCAAGUGAUCUGUUUUCUUCAGAAAAUACAUGAGCAUUGCCAGAAAGAAUGGCAAGAGACAAACAUGUCAUAGAGACUUGCAUGUCUUGCCUUGGAUACGCCAAGAAGAGGGACACAUACAUGGAUAACACAAAUCUAGUGACACGUAUAUUCAUCACAAAGGCAAAUCUGAUAAUUUUAUCCAUGGAGCAGACCAAGGAGAAAUUGAUGACGGACAUGUGAUCUCUGUAUUCAGUUGAAAGCUAAUUGAGCUACACUAAUAUGAGCAGGACUAUAUUCAAGAGACUUGUUGAGAGCUACAGGGAACUUGUAAUAAUUUGCUGGGCGGCCUGCGCACAAUGAUUUGUUAUACAUAGUUGAAAUAUUUCAAGAAUUUAUCAACCUCAUACUCUGAAACCCUUGGUGCAAUGUACUCUGCUUUCCGAGGUAGACUGUUCACGUAAAAUGAGGUCAUGCGUAAGACGGAAUCGGAUUGGAUUCACAGGGAAUCAGAUUUGGAUAGCACCUUUUAGCAGGUUUUUAGUCAAAUGCAAAUUCGGAUCCACAUGUGGUUGAAUGCGAGUUCAAAAUUCUACUUGGAUAUCCAUUUAAUUUAGGUGAUAGCAAUUAGCACAAAAUGUUGGAUGAACAAAAUCAUAGUUAGACAUACAAUUACAUGUAUGGUUAAAGUAUAAUACAAUACACCAAGAUUAUUCCUUGAAAAUAUUUCUUAAAAAUAUUAUAAUAAAUGAAUAAAUAUAAUUGUGGCCACCAACAAAUAGUCGGUGGUCGCUAAGUUGGAGCCAUUUCUGGUUACUAAUGCGGCCUUCUCCUCGACCAGCGACGACAGCUGAGCUUGUUCCUUCUGACACUAAAUCAUCAGAGUCUUCCCUCCACUACUAUAGAAUGCACCUUUAGCACCAAUUGGGAAAUCCCCUUCAGUAUUGGAUGCUGCAACCAGUGCUAUAUAUCAAAAUGGAGACUAAAAGCCUCGGUCUUGGGUACCGGUUGCAUAACGCAUUACUAAAGGAGGCAAAAGAGAAAUGUAACAAAAAAAAUAUUUUGAAUUCCAAGAAUGUUUCACUAUUCAAGAUGACUAGCUGAGAGUCAACAGACAAGAUACUAGGAAUGUGGGUGCUUGAAUGCAUUUGUACAGAGGUCAUACUAUUUACAAACUCUUCUAUGUUUCCAUAUGACUACCUACUUCAAUGUCACGCGAGCCAUUCAGCUGGACACAUGGCACACUAGCUUGCAUGUCGAAUCCAUGAUUAAUUAUUUCCACUUGUGAUCUCUUACCAGUAUUUGUCCAGACUAGAAACGUGCAACACAUUUUUAGGAUAUGGACACGCAUAUAUUUGGACUAGUAUACAGGUCACCUUUGGAUGCGUACAAGGAUGACCGGGAGGGACUAGAAAUGGUCUAGUUUUGAUUGGACUACAAAACUUUUUGUACAGUGAAUAGAGAAUAUAUAUUAUUGUUGGAAUACGAGGUAGGCUACACUAUCGCAAUUCUGAUAUUCUACCGCGUAUAACCAAGAAGAACUGUCGUAUAAGGAUCACGGGAUUACCACUCGACGCACUACUGGUGCGGAAGAUGUAGAUAUGCGUCGAUGCAGUGAAGACGAUCACGUAGUCGUAUGUAGUCGAUCAACGUAGUCGUACAUAGUCGAUCACGUCCAGCAGCUCCUCAGCAGCUCGUCCACGUGCAGCAAGAUCGCCUCCGGUACCGCGGCUCGUCGUUGGCUUGUCGUGGCUCGUCGACGGCUCGUCGGCGGCUCGUCCAAGUGCUGCAGGCGCAACACCUCCAAGGUAUCCACACGUGCAGGGAGGAAGCGUCGCAAGCCGGACUGCUAGAUCCACGAGUUGCAACAGGCGAGGGCGUGGGAGGCGCGGCAGGUGUGUUUCGCCAAAAAGGUGUAAACCCUAGGGCGCCCCCACCCCUCUAUUUAUAGAGGUUCCUGACGGGCCUCUGGAUCCGAGGCCCAUUAGUACUUCUAAACCUAAUCCAACUCGGAUCAGAUCCGAAUUGGGCUUCCAGCCCCUUAAGUGUGUGACCCUAUAAGUUCGGAUACGUAUAGACAUGGCCCGAGUACUCCUACUCGGCCCAAUAGUCGGUAGCGGCCUCUAGCAAGACGUGCCAACUCCUAUACGCACACGAAGAUCAUAUCAGACGAACCAUCACAACAUAAUAUACAUGCUAUUCCCUUUGCCUCACGAUAUUUGGUCUAGCUUCAAGCCGACCGCUCUUUCUCAGUCCUGUGAUUCGGAAUCCCUUUGUAGGUUAACUCUUAACCGUACGUAGCAUGGCCAUGCAUUUUCGGAUCUGAUCACUCGAGGGGCCCAGAGAUAUCACUCUCAAUCAGAGAGGGGCAAAUCCCAUCUUGAUUGACCAUGUCUCAUAGCAUGCUUCUUGACAAACCUAAAAACUACCUUUAUAACUUCCCUGUUACGGCGUAGUGUUUGAUAGCUCCUAAGUAGGUCGAUCCACAUCUAGAAUACAUGCGACAAUUUCAGGUCUAAGGACAAAGCGUAUAUGUUGUUUAAAGAGAGAACUACUUCUCGUGUUGGGUCAGUCCCAGCACAUGUCUCCACAUGUGUCCACAUUAUUAGUUCAACAUCUCCAUGUCCAUGACUUGUGAAACAUAGUCAUCAACUAAUACAUGUGCUAGUCUAAUAUUCAUGUGUGUCCUCACAUGAACUCCGACUAGGGACAACUUUAGAAUAACCAUACAAGUAAAGAGUUUCACAUACAAUUCACAUAAUUGCAAAUCAAUUCAAGUAGCCUUCAAUGGAUAUUCAAUGAACACAACAUACAAAUCAUGGAUACAAAUGGAAUAUCAUCAUCUCUAUGAUUGCCUCUAGGGCAUACCUCCAACAGUCUCCCACUUGCACUAGAGUCAAUCUAGAAGGUACCUAAUACCCAUAGCUCUUACAUGCGCAUCAUGCUUAGCCUGCGGGAGUGGUUUUGUCAACGGAUCAGAAAUGUUCAGAUCCGUGUGUAUUUUGCAUAUCUUGAUCUCACCCCGGUUAACGAAGUCUCGAAUGAGAUGAAAUCGCCGCAUUACAUGUUUGUUCUUCUGGUGGUUCCUUGGCUCCUUUGCUUGCGCAAUUGCCCCAUUGUUAUCACAGUAGAGAUUCAAUGGGCUGGACCCAUUCGGGAACACACCAAGCUCAAUGAGGAAAUUCCUUAUCCAAACACCUUCCUUCGCGGCUUCCGAAGCCGCGAUGUACUCGGCUUCUGUCGUAGAAUCGGCCACCGUCUCCUGCUUGGAACUCUUCCAACUAACAGCACCACCAUUUAGCGUGAACACAAAUCCUGUUUGUGACUUUGAAUCAUCUCUGUCGGUUUGGAAACUAGCAUCGGUGUAACCUGUUACAACGAGCUCCUCCUCACCUCCAUAGACGAGGAAUAUAUCUUUAGUCCUUCUCAAGUACUUAAGAAUGUUUUUCACCGCUGUUCAGUGACUCUCACCUGGAUCAGAUUGGUGUCUGCUUGUCAUACUUAGCACAUAUGAAACAUCUGGGCGAGUACUUAUCAUUGCAUACAUGAUAGAUCCAAUAGCCGAGGCAUAUGACACUCUACUCAUGUGAUCCCGCUCAUCAGCAGUCGAAGGACACUGAGUCUUGCUGAGAUGUAUGCCAUGUGACAUAGGCAAGAACCCUUCCAUGCUGAACCGCUUCAACACUUUGUCAAUGUAAGUAUCUUGGCUUAAACCUAUAAGCCUUCUCGAUCUAUCUCUAUAGAUCUUAAUGCCCAGAAUAUAUGCCGCUUCCCCUAAGUCCUUCAUCGAAAAACUAUUUUUCAGUGAAGUCUUUAUGGACUCAAGCAUAGGAAUGUUAUUUCCAAUCAGUAAUAUGUCAUCCACAUAUAAGAUUAGAAAUACUACAGAGCUCCCACUAACCUUCUUGUAAACACAAGACUCUUCUUCGUUCUUGGUGAAGUCAAACCCUUUGACCACUUCAUCAAAACGAAUGUUCCAACUCCUAGAUGCUUGCUUCAAUCAAUAAAUGGAUCUCUGAAGCUUGCAUACCUUUCCAGCAUUUUUCGGAUCGACAAAACCCUUGGACUGUAUCAUAUACACGUCCUCAGUUAGGUUUCCAUUCAGGAAAGCUGUCUUGACAUCCAUCUGCCAUAUCUCAUAAUCGAAAUAUGCAGCCAAACUUGAUUGUCUCCCAUGGACUCUAUUUCGGAUUGCAUGGCAUUCUGCCAUUUUUCGGAGUCUGGGUCCAUCAUUGCUUCUGCAUAUGUCACAGGCUCAUCAUUGUCCAACAAUAAUAUUUCCUGCAUUUCGCGGAGCCUUGCCGACCUUCGUGGUUGUGGCGGUGCUUCUCUUGCCAUGGGUAUCUCAACUUGUUCUGCUACGUUAGCAUCACUCAUUGAUUCUUGCCCGAUCGGCUCAUCUUGAACUUCUUCAAGAUGCACUGUCUUUCCACUCUUUUCUCCUUUGAGAAACUCUUUCUCUAGGAAAACCCCGUUCCGAGCGACAAACACUUUGCCUUCUGAUCAGUUGUAAAAAUAAUAUCCCAAAGUUUCCUUUGGAUAUCCCACGAAAAUGCACUUAUCCGACUUGGGUGCGAUCUUGUCCGACUGAAGUCGCUUGACAAACACAUCACAUCCCCAAAUCUUUAGAAAAGACAAACUAGGAACCUUUCCAGUCCAUAUCUCAUAUGGUGUCUUAACUACGGAUUUAGAUGGUACCCUAUUAAGUGUGAAAGCUGCUGUUUCUAGAGCGUAUCCCCAAAAUGACAACGGUAGGUCCGACUGGCUCAUCAUUGAUCGAACCAUGUCUAACAAAGAUCGAUUACGUCGCUCGGACACACCGUUUCUCUGAGGUGAUCCAGGCGGCGUAAGUUGUGGAACAAUUCCGCAACUCUUUAGAUGAUUGCUAAACUUGUGGCUCAAAUACUCGCCUCCACGAUCAGAUUGUAAGGCCUUAAUUUUCUUGACACGCUAAUUUUCAACUUCAUUCUGAAAAUCCUUGAACUUUUCAAAGGUUUCAGACUUGUGCCUCAUCAAGUAGACAUAGCCAUAUCUACUAAAAUCAUCAGUGAAAGAUAUGAAGUAUUGGAAUCCUCCUCUAGCCGUCGUGCUCAUUGGUCCGCAUACAUCACUAUGUACGAGUUCCAACAAGUCUACUGCUCUCUCAGGAAAUCCUGUGAAAGACGUCUUGGUCAUCUUGCCUAGCAAGCAAGCCUCACAUGUCUCGUAUGAUUCAAAAUCAAACGAAGUUAGAAGUCCAUCAGAAUGGAGCUUCUUCAUGCGUUUUUCACUUAUAUGACCCAAACGACAAUGCCACAAGUAGGUAGGACUCAAAUCAUUAGGCCGAGGCCUUUUAGCACUUACAUUACAGACAGGUGAACCAUCAAGAUUUAAAACAAAUAAUCCAUUCACAAUGGGUGCAAAAGCCAUAAACAUAUUAUUCUUAGAGAUCACACAACCAUUGUUUUCACUCGCAAAUGAAUAACCAUCCUUCAUCAAGCAUGAAGGAGACAAAAUGUUUCGACUUAAACUAGGAACAAAAUAACAAUUAUUCAACUCCAUAAUAAAUGCUGACGGGAGGUGGAGUUGCAUCGUCCCGACGGUCAACGCAGCAACUCUUGCAUUAUUGCCCACGCGGAAAUCAACUUCUCCUCUUUCCACGCUUCUACUUCUUAUCAUUCCCUGCAUCGAAUUGCAAAUAUGAGCAACCGAUCCGGUAUCAAAUACCCAAGAAUUAAUAAUUGUAUCAGCGAGAAAUAUGUUGUCUAUGACAUUAACAACAAGCGUACCUGAGGUAGAAGUACUCUUACUUCCUCCAUUCUUCAACGAAGCUAGGUACUGCUUGCAGUUUCUCUUCCAGUGACCAAGUUCAUGACAGUAAAAGCACUCUUUGUCUGGAGCAGGUCCAGGUCCAGCUUUAACCUUGGGCGCUCGCUGGGUUUGGCUUGGAAAUUCCAGCCUUGCCCUUCUUCUUCCAAGAAUUGCCCUUCUUCUUAAAGCUAGGCUUGUUCUGUAUAGCCAUCACAUGGCUAGUACAAGCGCUUUUCUUGAUGUCUACCUCUGCUGUCUUGAGCAUACCACACAGUUCAUUCAAACCCUUCUCCGUCCCAUGCAUAUGGUAGUUCGAGAUGAAGUUCCCAUAGCUAGGCGGAAGAGAUGAAAGAAUGAAGUCAGUGGCCAACUCUUUGCCCAUUGGGAAGCCCAGCUUCUCCAAUCGCUGAGUGUAACCAACCAUGUUGAUUACAUGUGGUCCUACUGCUGCGUCUUCUGCUAGCUUGCACUCCAGAAAAGCUUUGGACACAUUGAACCUUUCAGUCCUAGCCUGUGUCUGGAACAUGUCCUUGAGCGCCACGAUCAUAUCGUGUGCCUCAUGAUUUGUUUCGAACUGCAUCUGCAGCUCGGGUUCCAUGCAAGCAAGCAUAAGGCAGCUUACCUCAAGAUUAGCAUCAAAUGCCUUCUUGUAAGCAGCCUUAACGGCAGCAGAUGCAUCAUCAGCAGGUACUGGUGGUAGUGGGGUAUCUAGAACAUCUUCCUUUUUAUCGGCCCUGAGAACAAUUCUCAGGUUACGGAUCCAAUCCGAGUAGUUUGUUCCAUUCAACUUGUCCUUCUCAAGGACCGAGCGCAAAGCAAACGAUGUGGUGGUGUUGCUAGGUGCCAUUUAAUCUACAACAAAAGUAAUGCAAAAUACACUAAGACAAACGUAUCCAUGAUAGAGCAAAUUACAUUAAACUAUUUUAACAGAAUCUACUCCCACUAAAAUCAAUAUCCCUCUAUUGAAACUUAGUGAUUCAGGAUCCACAACUAACAAGUCUACUAGUGAGCUUUAGCAUCACCGCUAGCAAACGAGGUAGAUCGGUAAGCAACUUUUGCUAAUCAUAUCACAUAUGACUCCUGUUGUUGGGUGACAUCUCCAUGUCUCGGCGCCCAACCAUUAUGCCCCAAGGUCCUUAACCGUUAAGAUGACCUCGUUAAGCAAACCAACCCUUAUGCGUGUAAGUGUCCGACACAAACCCGUCUAGUCAAGGAAAACUAGUGGCACCCUAAUUUCAUAGACCCACCACUAAUUGUACAAGACAUGGGACGGUGCAAGUUUUAGUUGGGAGGGCAUACUAACUUAAAUUUUUUGUGAGGGAUCGUUCUACUUCUAACAUCACAGCAUGCAGAAAGUAAAACAUAAACAGAAUAGCAUUCACACAGCUGUGACACAGUAUGGCCCGUUUUUAUAUGGUGAUCUCCAUCUCCAUAGAACCUGUUCACCAUGGUGAUCUCCAUCUCCAUGUUCCAUGUGCGCCAUCCUCCUGGUGAGGAGUCCUCCAAGAACUAGAACAUGCUAUUACACCUAAUAGCUAGUAAAGAAUCUAGUAAUGAAGAUUACAUAGUUGCUUGGAUCAUCACAGAUUGGUACGCAGACCAUUAAAUACAAUAAAGUGACAACACAUAUGGCUCCUGCCGUGUUGCCGUACGCGCGACACGCAGGUCACGAAUGAGUUACACACAUGCAUCACAUACACAAGGGGGCCAUACUGAUCACAAGAUACAUACAUACAUCCUGCAAAACAGAGUUAGGCGUCCUAACGUUCCAAACUUCGAAGGCCCGAAACUCCAUCUUCCAAGCCGAAUUUGGGAAAUCUAAUUUUGCCGAAAACGGCAAAGCGGUUGAAUUUCAUGUGUAACUUUUUCUGUAGAUCAAUUUUCAUAUAAAAUUCGCCCCGAUCCGAGAUCGUACCGAAAAGUUACGGCUGAUUUACCGAAGCAUACGCAUACGGCAAAAAUUCCGACCCCGGCAGUAGAUCCCAUCUACUAUUGCACAUCUAAUGCGCCUGGCGUAUGAUCCUGGAUUUCGAUUCGACCAAUCAUAUUGAUCUUCGCUCACUGCAACUGGAAUUACGUGUAUCACUUAACUCGUCGGCGGCUCGUCGGCGGCUCAUCCAAGUGCUGCAGGCCCAACACCUCCAAGGUAUCCACACGUGCAGGGAGGAAGCGUCGCAAACCGGACUGCUAGAUCCGCGAGUUGCAAUAGGCGAGGGCGUGGGAGGCGCCGCAGGUGUGUUUCGCCAAAAAGAUGUAAACCCUAGGGCGCCCCCACCCCUCUAUUUAUAGAGGUUCCUGACGGGCCUCUGGAUCCGAGGCCCAUUAGUACUUCUAAACCUAAUCCAACUCGGAUCAGAUCCGAAUUGGGCUUCCAGCCCCUUAAGUGUGUGACCCUAUGGGUUCGGAUACGUAUAGACAUGGCCCGAGUACUCCUACUCGGCCCAAUAGUCGGUAGCGGCCUCUAGCAAGACGUGCCAACUCCUAUACACACACGAAGAUCAUAUCAGAUGAACCAUCACAACAUAAUAUACAUGCUAUUCCCUUUGCCUCACGAUAUUUGGUCUAGCUUCAAGCCGACCGCUCUUUCUCAAUCCUGUGAUUCGGAAUCCCUUUGUAGGUUAACUCUUAACCGUACGUAGCAUGGCCAUGCAUUUUCGGAUCCGAUCACUCGAGGGGCCCAGAGAUAUCACUCUCAAUCAGAGAGGGGCAAAUCCCAUCUUGAUUGACCAUGUCUCAUAGCAUGCUUCUUGACAAACCCGAAAACUACCUUUAUAACUACCCUGUUACGGCGUAGCAUUUGAUAGCCCCUAAGUAGGUCGAUCCACAUCUAGAAUACAUGCGACAAUCUCAGGUCUAAGGACAAAGCGUAUAUGUUGUUUAAAGAGAGAACUACUUCUCGUGUUGGGUCAGUCCCAGCACAUGUCUCCACAUGUGUCCACAUUAUUAGUUCAACAUCUCCAUGUCCAUGACUUGUGAAACAUAGUCAUCAACUAAUACAUGUGCUAGUCUAAUAUUCAUGUGUGUCCUCACAUGAACUCCGACUAGGGACAACUUUAGAAUAACCAUACAAGUAAAGAGUUUCACAUACAAUUCACAUAAUUGCAAAUCAAUUCAAGUAGCCUUCAAUGGAUAUUCAAUGAACACAACAUACAAAUCAUGGAUACAAAUGGAAUAUCAUCAUCUCUAUGAUUGCCUCUAGGGCAUACCUCCAACAAUUAUUUCAUGUAAAUUUUUGACAAUUUUUUAAAAUUGUUUGAUAUUUUUUAAAUUUUUUUUAAAAUAACUUUGCCGAGUGUCCUAUUGUAGACACUCGGCAAAGCAGCCUUCACCGAGUGUUACCCCUGGGACACUCGGCGAAUUAAUGCCCGGCCGCUCAAGAAUAUGUGCCCGGCCCCCUCACUCUCCCGGCCCCCCUCACUCUCACUCCCCUCACUCCCUCCUCUCUCCCUCCUCUCUCCCUCUCGCCGCCGCCCGAAACCCCCGCCGCCGCCCGCCGCCCGGCAUGCCGCCCAGCGCCCCCCGCCGCCGCCCGGCGCUCCCGAAUCCGCCGCCGCCCGCCCGGCGCCCGGCCCCCGGAUCCGCCGCCGCCGGCCGCCCGGCGCCCCCGGAUUCGCCGCCGCCCGCCCGGCCCCCGGCCCCCGGAUCAGCCGCCGCCCGCCGCCCGGCGCACGGCGCCCCCGGAUCCGCCGCCGCCUGCCCGGCGCCCGGCCCCUGGCCCCCUGAUCCGCCGCCGCCCGCCCGGAUCCGCCGCCGCCCGCCCGGCGCCCGGCCCCCGGCCCCCGGAUCCACCGCCGCCCCCCCGGCCCCCGGAUCCGCCGCCCGCCCGUCCCCUCCACCGGAUCCGCCGGCGCCGGGGCCUGAAGAGAAGAGAAGAGGAGAGGAUGGUGGCGGCGGCGGCCGCGGCGGCGGAGCAGGUGGCAGAGCAUGCAUGAUUUUUUUUUAUUUUUUCAAUAAUUGUUCGCCAAGUGUUUUCUGGGCACUCGGCAAAGUCUUUGCCGAGUGCCCGACACAAAACACUCGGCGAACCAGUGUUUGCCGUCAAGAUUUUUGCCGUGUGUCGUUUGCCGAGUGUUACACUCGGCAAACGCUUUGUCGAGUGUUUUUGGGGUUUCGCGGAGUGACCCUGGCACUCGGCAUCACGCAUGUUUCCCUUAGUGAACUUGAAAUUAUCUGUACAUUCUCGGUGAAGCUGUUGAACUAAUUUUUGCAAAUUAUUAAUUCAUCUCAUUACGCAAAGAAAAAAGUAAGUGGAUAAGAUAUUUCGUGGACCACAUCACUGCAAACAUGUCAUGGAGAGACAGACCAAGGAGGCAGGACGUGAUACACGACUUACCCUAGGUUGCCGUGGAACCGCCAAGAAGAGAUACAGAUACAUGGACCACACCAUCUUGGGAGUAGUGACAGCAUAUAUGCAGAAGAAUACCCCGUGCCUAUUUGCAUGCAUGUCUCAAGUGAUCUGUUUUCUUCAGAAAAUACAUGAGCAUUGCCAGAAAGAAUGGCAAGAGACAAACAUGUCAUAGAGACUUGCAUGUCUUGCCUUGGAUACGCCAAGAAGAGGGACACAUACAUGGAUAACACAAAUCUAGUGACACGUAUAUUCAUCACAAAGGCAAAUCUGAUAAUUUUAUCCAUGGAGCAGACCAAGGAGAAAUUGAUGACGGACAUGUGAUCUCUGUAUUCAGUUGAAAGCUAAUUGAGCUACACUAAUAUGAGCAGGACUAUAUUCAAGAGACUUGUUGAGAGCUACAGGGAACUUGUAAUAAUUUGCUGGGCGGCCUGCGCACAAUGAUUUGUUAUACAUAGUUGAAAUAUUUCAAGAAUUUAUCAACCUCAUACUCUGAAACCCUUGGUGCAAUGUACUCUGCUUUCCGAGGUAGACUGUUCACGUAAAAUGAGGUCAUGCGUAAGACGGAAUCGGAUUGGAUUCACAGGGAAUCAGAUUUGGAUAGCACCUUUUAGCAGGUUUUUAGUCAAAUGCAAAUUCGGAUCCACAUGUGGUUGAAUGCGAGUUCAAAAUUCUACUUGGAUAUCCAUUUAAUUUAGGUGAUAGCAAUUAGCACAAAAUGUUGGAUGAACAAAAUCAUAGUUAGACAUACAAUUACAUGUAUGGUUAAAGUAUAAUACAAUACACCAAGAUUAUUCCUUGAAAAUAUUUCUUAAAAAUAUUAUAAUAAAUGAAUAAAUAUAAUUGUGGCCACCAACAAAUAGUCGGUGGUCGCUAAGUUGGAGCCAUUUCUGGUUACUAAUGCGGCCUUCUCCUCGACCAGCGACGACAGCUGAGCUUGUUCCUUCUGACACUAAAUCAUCAGAGUCUUCCCUCCACUACUAUAGAAUGCACCUUUAGCACCAAUUGGGAAAUCCCCUUCAGUAUUGGAUGCUGCAACCAGUGCUAUAUAUCAAAAUGGAGACUAAAAGCCUCGGUCUUGGGUACCGGUUGCAUAACGCAUUACUAAAGGAGGCAAAAGAGAAAUGUAACAAAAAAAAUAUUUUGAAUUCCAAGAAUGUUUCACUAUUCAAGAUGACUAGCUGAGAGUCAACAGACAAGAUACUAGGAAUGUGGGUGCUUGAAUGCAUUUGUACAGAGGUCAUACUAUUUACAAACUCUUCUAUGUUUCCAUAUGACUACCUACUUCAAUGUCACGCGAGCCAUUCAGCUGGACACAUGGCACACUAGCUUGCAUGUCGAAUCCAUGAUUAAUUAUUUGCACUUGUGAUCUCUUACCAGUAUUUGUCCAGACUAGAAACGUGCAACACAUUUUUAGGAUAUGGACACGCAUAUAUUUGGACUAGUAUACAGGUCACCUUUGGAUGCGUACAAGGAUGACCGGGAGGGACUAAUGGAUACAAGGAAGGGACCAUCAGGAUUAAUAUUGACAUAUGCCACAUGACAAUCUUCAUUGUCAUGCAAUCCCUAUCAACAAUCAUGGAAUCCCUAGUGUACUAAUCCCUGGAGGGUUGUGUGGAAAUUUAUUUUACCUUGCGGUGAAAAUCUCAUGAGCAGUCAUUAGUUAAGCUGACUAGCUGAGAUAUAAUAGACAAGCUAGUAAGAUUGGGAGCAUCAAUGCAUCCAUACAGGGUCACAAUAUCCUUUCCAUUCACUUUUAUAUAUAACCCUACGAAUACAAGUCCAACGAAAUGCGGGCCUUUCGAUCAAGAUAAAUUAAAUGGCCCACUUGUAUUUCUAAUCCAGGAUUAACUAUGCCCUCUGUUCAUCUCUUGCAAGCACGUGCAACACAUUUUCACGAUAUGGACAUGCAUGGAGGUUAUUAUACUGUUUGGACAAACUCUGAUGUGCCAUGACCUAAAUGCUUAGGGCCUGUUUGGUUUGAGUUGCUUAUUAUAAGCAACUUAAAGUUGCUUAAAGUUGCUUAUUUGAAGUUGCUUAUUUUUAGUCUAAACUGUUUGGAUACCCUUGCUUAUGAGCAUUGAAUGAGUUGGACAUUGUCAAAUUUGCCCCAUGUGUUGCUACCCCUCCAAUUUGCCUCCCCACCCUUCUUCUUCCUGCACACGUCCGAUCCCGGGGGCCGACGGCGGGCAGGGAGCAGCAGCAGCUGGCCAGGGCGGCGGUGGGGCGGGAGCGGCGGCGCACACCAGCACGCGCUCGCACGCCAGGUGCUAGGGCGCGGCGAGGCAGUCGUCGUAGCCCACCGGGAGCGGGUGCUCGGGCGCGAGGCGGUACUCGACGGAGAUGCCGAGCGUCGGGCGCGCGGCGGCGAGCGCGUUGAGGAAGCGAUGGUAGUGCGGCGACGUCGCGGACUCCGCCACGAAGCCGCCGCCGUGGACGUACACCACCACGGGCAGCUUCGUCUUGCCGUCGGCGGCCGCGGCCGCGGCCUGGGGUGGCAGGUAGAGGCGGACGGAGCAGGAGCCGAGGUCGACGUCCCUGGAGUCGACGCCCGUGGCGGCGUCCAGGCUAGGCCCGACCGGCGGCGGCACGAGCGGGCGCUCGAUGCGGCCGCUCUUGUAAAUCCGACGGGUCUGUGCGGAGGCGGGCGGCGGGCGGGAGCGGCGGGUGGGAGCGGCGGCAGGUGGUGCGGAGGCCGGCGGCGGCGGGUGGCGCGGAGGAAGGGGAGCUGGUGAGUGGUGACAGGGGAGGGGGGGAGAGAGAGGGGGGGGUAGGGUGCAUUGAAUGAGGGCAGGAGGUGUAAAGUGCACCUUUUAGUCCCCAUGAGCAACCAUAAGCAGCCCAAGAGUUGCUUAUUUGCUUAUAAUAAGCAACCUCAUAAGCAAGAGUGAUUGGUUUCAUAAGCAACUUAUUUGCUUAUUUUAAGUUGCUUAUGCAUAAGCAUGUGAAACCAAGCAGGUCCUUAACCUAUGGUUGUGGCACCACACAGUACAUAGUAUUUAAUAAUGCUAUUCGUUUGGUAUGUGCACAAGGGCACGCAUGAAAUGUCUGGCCCACGGUAAACAAGUACGGACGCUGCAAAUAAUCUACUCUGCUCGUCCAGUCCCUAGCCUAUAAAUAGAUGCCAUGCUAGCUCUUGUUGUGCUCACAAUUAAUCCUGACUACACACGAGCUUCUCUCCCUGGCCAAGACACAAUCAUAGUAUGAUGAAGAACAUGGCACUAGCCGGCAAUGGUAUGAAGAACUUAAUCCUCGCUGUUCUCUUACUGUGUCUAGUUAUAGGGCAGAUACAAGUGGAAGCUAAGAGCUGCUGCCCAUCCAUUACUGCAAGAAAUAUCUACAAUGCCUGCCGUAUCACGGGUACAUCCCGUCCAACGUGUGCAAAACUGUCAGGCUGCAAAAUUAUCAGCGGGGACAAAUGCAAGCCCCCUAACGACCACCUCACCCUUGACCCGGACACUGGUAAAUAAUAAAUUUAUCUCACUUGAUUUCUUCGUGUUUUGAGUCGUUAAUGUAUUUUCCAUCUGAUGAAACGUAUUGGUUUUGCAUUGAAGAGGAAGUUAAUGUGCUUAACUUCUGCAAGUUGGGGUGUGCGUCGUCUGUGUGCAACAACAUCAACGCUGGUAAGCACCUUUUGCUCAGACGGAGAAAACAAUAAUCAUUAAUUAGCGGCAGCUAGAAUCCUAUAAUCUAAUAUAUUUAUAUAUAUAUAUAAUUUUAUCAGCUCUGGGAAAUGAAGAGGCGAACGAUGCCGUUGAGAGUUGCGACCAAGCCUGCUCUAGCUUCUGCAACGUGCACGUUGGCGCUGCCACCGUGGUUGCUUAAGCAAAUGCAUCCAACUGGAUCGUCCUUGUGCUAAAUAAUUGGAUAUCGUAUCCACUUAAAGCUGCCUUGUGUAGUACGUUUUUGUUUGUGUCUCUCUUUAUAUUCCAAUAAGGUCGGUGAUCUUGAUGCCACACACUCAGACGUGUGUUCAUCUCCAGAUACUACUCCAUGCUACCUGCCCUUUGUGUUUUGUUCAAUAACUGGGUAUCAUAUCCCAGCCAGUGUGCCAUCUGUUUUGUGUUUAUUUCCUUCUAGUUUCAAAGGGGUUAUCAUGAUGUUACCUUCUUUCGAUAUGGUGCUUUGCAUGACUACUGUUGUAUGGUACCAUCUUGUUGGCCAAUAAAUACAUCUUAUCCUAUGACCCUUUGCUAUGACCCUUUGCAAAUAAGUACAAGAUUGUUAAAUACUCGGUAUAAAUUGACUACUGCUGUGAGUUCCCUUUCAGCUUAUCGUAGGCAUACAUUAUUGCUAGCACGGUGAAGACAACCAACACGAAUGGUCAAGUAAACGUACCGGUACUUUUGUAUACCAACACCCUUGCUUAAAUGUACCGGUGUUACUCCCCACUAGCACAUAUAUUCUUAUAUGCUAGCCGGCUUGAAAAUUAACCGAUUAAAAUAAUUAUUUCAAGACAGAAAUAACUUAUCGGCUUCUCGAAGCAUGUGUAAUGUGAAUUCAAGGACUUGAUGGAAGUUGAAUCGCUUAAUCUAGAUUGCUUUCAGGAUUUUGGGUAACUAAAUUUAACAUUUGCACAUACAAAUGUUAAUGUACAAAUAUUAAAUAUAGUUACCCAAGCAGAAUAUGAAGAUACUCUAUAGUAUAUAUAUACUAUAUAAAUCUAGUUAACAUUUAGUCUAAAUGUUAAAUCUAGUUACCUAAAAUCCUGAAAGCAAAAUGUAUAAAUAUAUAUCUUUUAAGGAAUCCCAAAGCAAGAGUUCAGUGGCAUUCUAUAGUCCCAUGCUGCUAGUUUGAGUUGGUCGAAGCCAACUUAAAUAGGAGAGCUCUCUCACUUCUCUAAAUACGUAACUGAAGGAGAGAAGGGGGCUUGGUUACACAACGCACGCACGCACGCAUAUUUGCGUUCUUUUCGCGUAACCAACCGCGUGACUUGAAACUUGCGACGUAGCGUGCUGCCAAGUCAAGUUGAUAUAACCUUUUUGCCGUAGGCGUGUAAUCUUUUGACAACGGUCAUUGGAGGUGAUAAGCACGCAGUCAAUACCUUAAUCCUGAGUUAAUAGGGCGGUUACUACUGCCAAUUAGUGGGGCAAUUUUGUAGGGGAAACGGUUAGCAGAGGGCUACCAUCUUCUCUAUAAGAAGUUCUGGAGACGUCCAGGAACACACAUGUACAUGUGAGAGACCCACGAAUUCCUUCCCAUCUCCCUUUUCCAUCUGGUGAAGUGUGCUAUGGUACUGAGCUGCUGGAUCUCGCCGGCUCUUCUCCUUGGCGUGCACCGAGGAGGAGGGUGAGCGGUAUCUCCGAGCUAUUGCCGUCAGGAAGCCUGCACGAGGGACAACAAUAAAGUUUUUGGGUAGCGCAACUACGCAACCGCUCGAUUCGAUCGACUAUGUUCUGCGCUGCCUCAUCUUCGAUCUGCACUGCAACACGUAACCCUGCAGCAAGUCUACACAAGGACGGAGCACUAAUCUGUAAGUCCUAGAUUGGUUUCUUACAGAGUUGUAGGUUACACAAGAUCUAGAAUUGUUACAUACUUAUUAUUAUGGGUUACAUGAUGUUUUGUACGGUUACGUCUAUUUUGCAUAUGCUAUUUUUACAUACCGUUUACAUGCAUAUGUAAUGGUUACGCCUAGCUAUUUGAAUCUAGAAUUGGGUUACAUAGCAGUAGCAAUGACUUACGUAAUAUGCCUCAUGUUUAUAUCUGGUAGAAUUUAACACGUAUCUCCAACAUAUUUUGAGGCAGUAUAAAUUUCAAUUCCUUUUGCUGCUCUGUUAAAUCCCGUCUUUCGUGUGGCCCAACACUCUAGUAUGCAUGUAGCACCAAGCUUGUUUGAGCCGCUUUGUGCUCUGAUUUUGCUGUCUGUAUCAGGUUGGACUGUUUCUUUGUCUUGCGAUGUAUAGCUUCAUAUCUUCUAGAGGUUAGACAGCAAAACCCGCGUUCUCUUAAGGCAACAACUCGAAGAAUCUGCAGCGCUCCUGAUAUAUCACUGCUGCAGAAACAAUCUUUAGUACUGAUUUCCAACCCCCUUUAGUAUCGGUUUGGCAAUCAGUACCACUACGUCGGUACUAAAGGGAGUUCUCUAGAAUCGGGUCAAAUAACUGGUACUAAAAGUGCUCCUCUACUACCAGUUGGUAACACCAAUAGGUAGUAACUUUUUUUGCACCCAAAAAAUUAAAGAAAAACAGCCGGGAGGCUCGCGCACACACGCAUCAUGAGUAAUAUGCGCGUGCAUGGUUUGUGGGAUUCCAACCCACGACCAAGCUAUAAGCACGUAGUUACAAAAAAAUUAAACACUUAGACAUUUUAGAGCAUCCCAAAUAACUACAAAUUCUUUAGUUUACCAUAUACCAUAAAAUAUUAGUUAAAAUAAGAGCAUACGCACGUCGGAAGAGUCCCAAUGCACCGGUUGAGGAUCAGACCAGGCACUUUGAAUGCACAUGCCAUAAGAUAAUUCUGCAGGACGAUGAUUGCAAUAAUGGACCAUCGAGAAGAUAGGGGCGAUGGGGUUGCCUCAUCAAUUAUGACUUGGCGCAACAAGACCAGCAAAGUCUUUAUCGACAGGGGUGGAUCAAGGGGUGGGGCGGGUAGAGCUCCAAUCUUCCUACCGCCGCUCGAACAAUGGAGCCCCCCUUAGCCCCUCCAUAAAUUUUUAGGUAGAAGAAAAAAGAAGAGAAGGGAAGGAAGGGGAAGAAUAGGGAGCCCCUCCUAAGUAGGUCGCCAUCGUGCUUCCCAACGCAUGAUCGCCGCACCGCAUCCAUUCCUCUACAAGCCUCCAGCGUCUCUCCUGCCGCUACCUCUGAACCAUGUGCAGCUGCAGACCCAACUAGUGUCUUGUCACCCAUCUCAAUCCCAACAGAGCGGCGGCUCCUGCCAGCACAAAUCUCCCUCCGCCUGUUCUUCACGAUCGAUGGCCACCACAAGCAUAAACCUCGCCUUCGCAUCCACGCAAAAGGGUCGCCGGUGUGCCUUCUCGCAUCGCUUCUCAGCCUCCUUCACUUGCGGCUGGCCAAGAACCGUGCCACCACCUCGGGUGCGCGCCACCGCUCCAGGGCCGCUACCCCAUGCGUGCGGCCGCCGCCGGCCACCACGCGUGUGCAACCGUGUCGCACCGCUUCCCUGCUCUGUGCCACCACUGCUACUGCACCACCAGCUCCACCACCUUGGGCUGGUCGCCAGGGUGACUGAUUGGUGGAUUAUUACUACAAAUAAGUUCCUUAUUAUCUGCAACUACUAUUAACUCAGGGAUACAUGCGUCUUUUGCUUCUCCUGUUAAUAUGUCCUAAAAUAUCUAGAAUGCCUUAUAUUUCUGGACGGAGGAAGUAUUUGAAUAAAAUGAACCAAUUUUAAAAAAUGUGUUGUACACUACUACAGAAAGAACUAUCAGUGUCAAACCCAAAAAUGUCGUCACUGCCAGUUUUGGGCAUCGUUGGUGAAAGGUUGGCGGUGAUGGGUAUCCCCUUCAACAACGGCACUAGAGCUAACAGUGAUUGACAUUAGAAAACGAAAAAGGGGACCCACCUAGCCACCCCUGCAACCCGGCUGGCCGUGCCUCCCGUCAUCCCCACCACCUCGCCUCCCCCGUGACCCCCCGCCGGCGCCCUUGCGCCUAGCCCCCUCGCCUGCCUGGCCGGCCACCCUCGUCACGAGAGAGAGGGGUGCAUGUUGUAUAAUUGCGUGAAUUUUUAAUGUUUAAUUUCAUGUAAGUUUCAUAUAAUAAAUUGUACAAGUUUUAUUGUAUAUAUGAAUUCCAUAUAUAUAUAUUUAUAAUUUAAUGUAUGGUUUCAUGUGUAUAUUUCAAUAAUGUGUAUAUUUAGUAGAUAGCCGAUUUUCUUUUUCUACAAGACAAGGGUUGAUGUAUAAUUACGUGUAUAUGUUUAUUGUACGGGCAAUUAGGACAAGUUUUGUAUAAAUUUCUUUUAUUUCAUGGUUGUUGUAUGGUUUCAUGUAUAUACAUUUAUUGUACUACUUGAGACAAUUUUUAAUUUAAUGUUUCUAUGGUUACAUGUGUGUAUAACUAAUUGUAUUAUUAGUUAAGAUGGGAGCCAAAGAGGAUGAAAGGUAUAUAAUGGAGCAGAUUAUUGCUGGCGGUAGUGGCUCAAACGUUGCAAGAACCUACAUCAAGGGUGAGGGUAGCUAGGUGGACAUGUACCUCAACAUGUCCAGUGAUGGCAAUGACGAUGAGGAGCACGAGCAUGACGUUUAUGAUAGUGCGGAACAAGACAUUGCAGAAUUGGAAGGUUCUAAUGAGGUGUGCUUCAUGUUGAUGAUCUGGUUGGCUUUUUUUCUUUGGUCACACCUUAGUUACCAUAGAACUUCGUCUCGGGAGAAGAUUGGAGGUGCUAUGGUGAUUGGAAUUUUAUUGCCUCCAAAUAUGAUUUCCAUCGAAUCAUAUCCCUUGUAUUUAUCUUCUUUUUAUUUGUGAGAGCAUCUUCUUUAUGCUUGCAAAACAAUUCAAGUGCACAUACUACACCUAGGGUGAUGAUUAGGAGUAGAAACAAUUGCCAACAAACGAACACCACAUCCUAAGAUUCUUAACUUGUGGUAUAAUUAGUCUAGUAAAAAGAAAGAUAAAAACCUAAUGGGUGUACGUGAGUGCAAUGCGUAUAUGCAUAUGAGUGGAAGGCAUAUAAGCAAAGAUAAUAUUUACACAUAGAUCUAAGCACCAUGUUUACAACUAAGUUGCUGAAUUUCUCCAUAGCUAUAGAGAUUAAUGAACCAAGGUCAAAACACCAUGUCUAUCCCAAGAUCAGUAAUUCUUUAUAGCACAAGAAAAAGAAAGCGCAUUGCAAAGUUUAUAAACCAACCAAUGCAGCAUGAAAACAAGAUGAAUAGCUAGCAAGGUUUAUUAAACUGAAUGAUGACGGUCUGCAAGCAAGUUUGAACACCAUCUUUACACAAGAUUGCAAAUGGAAAAUUCCCAUAUGAAGAACUAACAUGGAUAUGAAAUCAUUCAUCAUAAAGCGUAAAGAACAACCAAGCCAACCAUAUGCAAAGCAUGAAUGGAAUGCAAUGAAGGUGCAAGAGAACAUUUUUGGAUGAACCCAUUAUGAUGAUGGCAAAAUGCGCCGUGCCCCCCAGCCCCCGCGGUGAGAUCCCGCCGCUCGCUGCCGCCAGACCCUAUUAGGCCUCCACCGGCAGGUCCACCCACGGUCCCGCGCGACGUGGCAGCCUCUUGGCUCUCGGCGCUCGCGGCACGCCAGUGCUGGCGCAGCCCCACCAGGCGACUACCCUCCCCCCAUAAGGCCUCGGCCCCUCCCCAGCGCCGCCCCCCAACACCAGGACUGCCUGCUGCCCCCCACCGUGAGGUAAUCGAAAUCGACUGCUCAAUCUCUCAAUCUGUUGAUAUGAUGCACACGGUUGCAAAAAUAGAUGUGUCAAAAUAGAUGUUUUGCCAAUUGCUAUAGAUGCAUACGGUUGACAUGAAGUCAAAAAUGACAUUUGGUUCCUUGUAGGCAGUCAAAAAUGAAGAAGUCAAAAAAUAUUGAUCUGAAAUCAAUGUGGGAAAGGGCUAUGAAGACACGCAGGUAGAUUCCCUUGUGAACUUUUUAUGUCGUUCGUCUAAAUAAUUUUUUGCAAUGGGCAUACCCUACUCUGAAAUCCUGGGUCCGCCACUGAUGAUGAUGGUCUAAAAAUAAACCAAGCCUAGAUUAAUUAGCCACAACUGAAAUUAAGCAAAGGUUAAUGUCAUUGACCCUAGCUCUAUCCUAGCUUUUACCAAAGUUCCGGCACAUAUAGUGGUUGGGCCCACUCUCUCUGCUUCCCUCUCUGCUGCAUGCACGCACACGAGCAACGGGAGGCCCGACGAAGCCCAGAAGGGUUCGGCCGAACCAGUAUGAGCGCCGCUCCCUCCCAGCCUUCGCGCAGAUGCUCCUCCAACGUUCCUUGACCCCUCCCUCAGCGUCCCGUUGGGUUUAACAUUGCAGGAGAGGAGUCCCUUUUUUAAAAUCUCAACCACCUCCUCUCCCCAUUCACUCCACUCUCAUCUCCAUCAAACUCACCAAGAUCCGCACCGGAAAUCCCUGCUUACCACCAUGGCUGGCAAAGCCCUCAUCCCUUUCACCAACUUGGGCUUGACCACUGAUCUCGAUGGGGAAAUCACUCUGGCAAAUAUGCGUGUAACACUGCCCCCUUUGCCGAGGGUUAAAGCCAAAACACUCAGCAAAGUGGAUAGUACCCCCCUUUUUACCCGUUUUGUCAUGUAUAACGGACCCCUCUCAAUUCACAAUAGACAUCAUCAUAGGCAUUUAUAAUAAACAAUCACAGGCAUAAUUCACAAUCACCAUUACAAGCAUUAUUCAUAAAUAUCACAGACAUAAUCCAAAGUAAGCAUGAAACAAGCCAUAAAUCCAAGUUCAAGUCACAACUAAGUUUCAUCCAAGUUCAAGUCACAAAUGCAAUGUCUAAAUCCAUGGAGGCCAAGGAGACCACUGCGACAAAUCUUGGUCUUCAUUAUUCGAAGCCGCCGAUUGAUUCUGCACAUAGGAUAGGACAUUCUGAGCUAACAUCUAAAGUUGUCAAAAUUAAAGUAUUCAAUCUUAAGCACAAUGUGUCAAAUGACUCACAGGAGUAGUUGUGGGUGGCUGAGGCGGAGGGAACAGCAUCGAUGGCGGUGGCAAAGAUUGACCCAUGCUCGAAGCAAAAUUCUGCAUGUACUGGAACAUCUGGUCCAUCCUCAUCCGAUUUUCUUCCUCCAUCCUCUGCCGCUCGGCCUCUAACCUCCGCUGAACCAUCUGCUCCAUCCUCGCCGCCAUCUCCUCUUGUUGCUUCCUUGCUGCUUCCACCUGGGCCUACAAUAUUUCAUUGCAAUGUUACAAUGCAAAGCUAAAGUAUAGCAACCAACGAACAAUGAAUGGAAGAGAAAGAACCUGGAGAGCCUCCAUCUGGAACUGUCCAAUGGUUGGUCGUAGCCGUAUCGCCGGGCUCGAGUCCGUGCUCCUUGCUUGGAUCUGGGAGAGAGUGGCAGUAGAGGCCGUGUUGAUUACGCCGUCGCCAAUCCAAUAUCGGCCAUGCUUCUUGCCUCCUCCCACCCUCAUCACGAUUUCUCCAUCAAUAUCCUCAGAGCUUGAAUCGAAGUCUGGCCCGUGAACCUCCCUUGCCAUCACUGUAUAUUCCUUUGCCGAGUGCCCGAGAUAAAGCACUCGGCAAAUAGAAAACACUCGGCAACUUUACUGUUUCCCGUAGUGUCGCUAUUUUUGCAGGUUCUCGACCAGGCCAGUUCUUUGGGCCAACCUAUCAUUCACGACUUAAACAUACGGUGGCUGUAGAAAUGUUCUAUUCUUUUCAACAAUACCAGCUGGUUCCUCCGUUUUUAUUCCACCAAUACAAGCACCACCUUGUAACAUUUCCUAUGUUUUUUUUUCCUUUCGUCUGUUUUCUACAUGCGUUGCUCUUUCAUGCAUUUUUUUCCAUUCCUGUAUUCCAAAUAGGUCUACAUGAACACAAAAUGAACUAGGGGACAGAAAAAGCCAGUGAAGCCAAUUUUGAGCUUCACCAGCUACUUGCUACAUAAAGUGUGCUAUAGUGACGUGUUUUAGCAAAACAUGUUAUCAAUGACUUGACAUUGGUGACGUGUUAAAACGCGUUAUCUCAAUGGCAAAUCAUUGGUGACGUGUUUUAAAAAAACAUGUCACCGUGAGAGUCAUUGGUGAAGGGUAAUUAUAAUGCGUCACUAAUGUUGUAGCAUUAGUUAUGAUAAUUUAGUAACGCAAAAAUCUACCAUCAGUAUUGAGCUUUAGAGCCAUCGCUAAUGUGGGUUUCUUACAUAGUGAUGCAAGCUCUACAAGGUGCUGUUGCUGCCAUUUUAAAGCAUCCCAUGACUACAUGUUAAUAACAUAGUUUACCAUAUAUCAUAAAAAUAUUAGUUACAAUAAGCACAUACGCAUGUGGAAGAGUCCGAAUGCACCGGUUGAGGACUAAACACAUUGAAUUACUAGAACCAAAUGUGUGUUUAGAACAAAGACAGGGGUCAAGGUUUGGGUAACCGCAUUAAAAACAUUGGAUUUUACUGUACAUGAACACUUAGUUACCAUUACCAUGCCUUGAGCACCUAGUUACAACAAACAUUAAUUUAGCCACUUUAGAGCUUCCAGAAUCGCUAUAAAUAAUAUACCUACGCCGUACCAUGAAAACAUCAAGAAGAGAGACGGAUACAUGGACCACCAUCAAGCGAGUAGUGACAGCACGCACAAGAAUACCCGGAACCUGUUAGCUUGUCUGUAGUGAUCUGUUUUCUUCCCCAUAAAAUCCAUGAGUAUUGCCACAAAUAAUGAAAGAGGCUGACCAAGCUAGCAAGGAGGUAGAGCAAACGUGAUACACGGCCUGCCAAGAUUGCCCUGGAUACGCCAAUAAGAGCGACAGAUACAUGGAUCACACCAAUAUGGUGAAACGUAUAUUCAUCACACAAGCAAAGCUGGUCAGUUUAUCCAUGGUCAAAUUGUGGUCUUUGUUUUCACUUGAGAGCUAAUUGAGGCACUAUAAUAUGGGCAGGCCUAUCUUCAACAGACAUGACAGCUACAGGGAACUUGACAUAAUUUGCUGGGCCGCCUGUGCACAAUUAUUUGUUUUAUUGUCCUUGCAUAGAAUGCUAAAAUACUCUUUACAAAAUGUUGGAUCUAAUAUUUGAAAUAUAGAGUAGUAAUCAUAUAUUGAUCAACAACUUGAAAUUAUCUGUACAUUCUCGGUGAAGCUGUUGAACUAAUUUUUGCAAAUUAUUAAUUCAUCUCAUUACGUAAAGAAAAAAGUAAGUGGAUAAGAUAUUUCGUGGACCACAUCACUGCAAACAUGUCAUGGAGAGACAGACCAAGGAGGCAGGACGUGAUACACGACUUACCCUAGGUUGCCGUGGAACCGCCAAGAAGAGAUACAGAUACAUGGACCACACCAUCUUGGGAGUAGUGACAGCAUAUAUGCAGAAGAAUACCCCGUGCCUAUUUGCAUGCAUGUCUCAAGUGAUCUGUUUUCUUCAGAAAAUACAUGAGCAUUGCCAGAAAGAAUGGCAAGAGACAAACAUGUCAUAGAGACUUGCAUGUCUUGCCUUGGAUACGCCAAGAAGAGGGACACAUACAUGGAUAACACAAAUCUAGUGACACGUAUAUUCAUCACAAAGGCAAAUCUGAUAAUUUUAUCCAUGGAGCAGACCAAGGAGAAAUUGAUGACGGACAUGUGAUCUCUGUAUUCAGUUGAAAGCUAAUUGAGCUACACUAAUAUGAGCAGGACUAUAUUCAAGAGACUUGUUGAGAGCUACAGGGAACUUGUAAUAAUUUGCUGGGCGGCCUGCGCACAAUGAUUUGUUAUACAUAGUUGAAAUAUUUCAAGAAUUUAUCAACCUCAUACUCUGAAACCCUUGGUGCAAUGUACUCUGCUUUCCGAGGUAGACUGUUCACGUAAAAUGAGGUCAUGCGUAAGACGGAAUCGGAUUGGAUUCACAGGGAAUCAGAUUUGGAUAGCACCUUUUAGCAGGUUUUUAGUCAAAUGCAAAUUCGGAUCCACAUGUGGUUGAAUGCGAGUUCAAAAUUCUACUUGGAUAUCCAUUUAAUUUAGGUGAUAGCAAUUAGCACAAAAUGUUGGAUGAACAAAAUCAUAGUUAGACAUACAAUUACAUGUAUGGUUAAAGUAUAAUACAAUACACCAAGAUUAUUCCUUGAAAAUAUUUCUUAAAAAUAUUAUAAUAAAUGAAUAAAUAUAAUUGUGGCCACCAACAAAUAGUCGGUGGUCGCUAAGUUGGAGCCAUUUCUGGUUACUAAUGCGGCCUUCUCCUCGACCAGCGACGACAGCUGAGCUUGUUCCUUCUGACACUAAAUCAUCAGAGUCUUCCCUCCACUACUAUAGAAUGCACCUUUAGCACCAAUUGGGAAAUCCCCUUCAGUAUUGGAUGCUGCAACCAGUGCUAUAUAUCAAAAUGGAGACUAAAAGCCUCGGUCUUGGGUACCGGUUGCAUAACGCAUUACUAAAGGAGGCAAAAGAGAAAUGUAACAAAAAAAAUAUUUUGAAUUCCAAGAAUGUUUCACUAUUCAAGAUGACUAGCUGAGAGUCAACAGACAAGAUACUAGGAAUGUGGGUGCUUGAAUGCAUUUGUACAGAGGUCAUACUAUUUACAAACUCUUCUAUGUUUCCAUAUGACUACCUACUUCAAUGUCACGCGAGCCAUUCAGCUGGACACAUGGCACACUAGCUUGCAUGUCGAAUCCAUGAUUAAUUAUUUCCACUUGUGAUCUCUUACCAGUAUUUGUCCAGACUAGAAACGUGCAACACAUUUUUAGGAUAUGGACACGCAUAUAUUUGGACUAGUAUACAGGUCACCUUUGGAUGCGUACAAGGAUGACCGGGAGGGACUAGAAAUGGUCUAGUUUUGAUUGGACUACAAAACUUUUUGUACAGUGAAUAGAGAAUAUAUAUUAUUGUUGGAAUACGAGGUAGGCUACACUAUCGCAAUUCUGAUAUUCUACCGCGUAUAACCAAGAAGAACUGUCGUAUAAGGAUCACGGGAUUACCACUCGACGCACUACUGGUGCGGAAGAUGUAGAUAUGCGUCGAUGCAGUGAAGACGAUCACGUAGUCGUAUGUAGUCGAUCAACGUAGUCGUACAUAGUCGAUCACGUCCAGCAGCUCCUCAGCAGCUCGUCCACGUGCAGCAAGAUCGCCUCCGGUACCGCGGCUCGUCGUUGGCUUGUCGUGGCUCGUCGACGGCUCGUCGGCGGCUCGUCCAAGUGCUGCAGGCGCAACACCUCCAAGGUAUCCACACGUGCAGGGAGGAAGCGUCGCAAGCCGGACUGCUAGAUCCACGAGUUGCAACAGGCGAGGGCGUGGGAGGCGCGGCAGGUGUGUUUCGCCAAAAAGGUGUAAACCCUAGGGCGCCCCCACCCCUCUAUUUAUAGAGGUUCCUGACGGGCCUCUGGAUCCGAGGCCCAUUAGUACUUCUAAACCUAAUCCAACUCGGAUCAGAUCCGAAUUGGGCUUCCAGCCCCUUAAGUGUGUGACCCUAUAAGUUCGGAUACGUAUAGACAUGGCCCGAGUACUCCUACUCGGCCCAAUAGUCGGUAGCGGCCUCUAGCAAGACGUGCCAACUCCUAUACGCACACGAAGAUCAUAUCAGACGAACCAUCACAACAUAAUAUACAUGCUAUUCCCUUUGCCUCACGAUAUUUGGUCUAGCUUCAAGCCGACCGCUCUUUCUCAGUCCUGUGAUUCGGAAUCCCUUUGUAGGUUAACUCUUAACCGUACGUAGCAUGGCCAUGCAUUUUCGGAUCUGAUCACUCGAGGGGCCCAGAGAUAUCACUCUCAAUCAGAGAGGGGCAAAUCCCAUCUUGAUUGACCAUGUCUCAUAGCAUGCUUCUUGACAAACCUAAAAACUACCUUUAUAACUUCCCUGUUACGGCGUAGUGUUUGAUAGCUCCUAAGUAGGUCGAUCCACAUCUAGAAUACAUGCGACAAUUUCAGGUCUAAGGACAAAGCGUAUAUGUUGUUUAAAGAGAGAACUACUUCUCGUGUUGGGUCAGUCCCAGCACAUGUCUCCACAUGUGUCCACAUUAUUAGUUCAACAUCUCCAUGUCCAUGACUUGUGAAACAUAGUCAUCAACUAAUACAUGUGCUAGUCUAAUAUUCAUGUGUGUCCUCACAUGAACUCCGACUAGGGACAACUUUAGAAUAACCAUACAAGUAAAGAGUUUCACAUACAAUUCACAUAAUUGCAAAUCAAUUCAAGUAGCCUUCAAUGGAUAUUCAAUGAACACAACAUACAAAUCAUGGAUACAAAUGGAAUAUCAUCAUCUCUAUGAUUGCCUCUAGGGCAUACCUCCAACAGUCUCCCACUUGCACUAGAGUCAAUCUAGAAGGUACCUAAUACCCAUAGCUCUUACAUGCGCAUCAUGCUUAGCCUGCGGGAGUGGUUUUGUCAACGGAUCAGAAAUGUUCAGAUCCGUGUGUAUUUUGCAUAUCUUGAUCUCACCCCGGUUAACGAAGUCUCGAAUGAGAUGAAAUCGCCGCAUUACAUGUUUGUUCUUCUGGUGGUUCCUUGGCUCCUUUGCUUGCGCAAUUGCCCCAUUGUUAUCACAGUAGAGAUUCAAUGGGCUGGACCCAUUCGGGAACACACCAAGCUCAAUGAGGAAAUUCCUUAUCCAAACACCUUCCUUCGCGGCUUCCGAAGCCGCGAUGUACUCGGCUUCUGUCGUAGAAUCGGCCACCGUCUCCUGCUUGGAACUCUUCCAACUAACAGCACCACCAUUUAGCGUGAACACAAAUCCUGUUUGUGACUUUGAAUCAUCUCUGUCGGUUUGGAAACUAGCAUCGGUGUAACCUGUUACAACGAGCUCCUCCUCACCUCCAUAGACGAGGAAUAUAUCUUUAGUCCUUCUCAAGUACUUAAGAAUGUUUUUCACCGCUGUUCAGUGACUCUCACCUGGAUCAGAUUGGUGUCUGCUUGUCAUACUUAGCACAUAUGAAACAUCUGGGCGAGUACUUAUCAUUGCAUACAUGAUAGAUCCAAUAGCCGAGGCAUAUGACACUCUACUCAUGUGAUCCCGCUCAUCAGCAGUCGAAGGACACUGAGUCUUGCUGAGAUGUAUGCCAUGUGACAUAGGCAAGAACCCUUCCAUGCUGAACCGCUUCAACACUUUGUCAAUGUAAGUAUCUUGGCUUAAACCUAUAAGCCUUCUCGAUCUAUCUCUAUAGAUCUUAAUGCCCAGAAUAUAUGCCGCUUCCCCUAAGUCCUUCAUCGAAAAACUAUUUUUCAGUGAAGUCUUUAUGGACUCAAGCAUAGGAAUGUUAUUUCCAAUCAGUAAUAUGUCAUCCACAUAUAAGAUUAGAAAUACUACAGAGCUCCCACUAACCUUCUUGUAAACACAAGACUCUUCUUCGUUCUUGGUGAAGUCAAACCCUUUGACCACUUCAUCAAAACGAAUGUUCCAACUCCUAGAUGCUUGCUUCAAUCAAUAAAUGGAUCUCUGAAGCUUGCAUACCUUUCCAGCAUUUUUCGGAUCGACAAAACCCUUGGACUGUAUCAUAUACACGUCCUCAGUUAGGUUUCCAUUCAGGAAAGCUGUCUUGACAUCCAUCUGCCAUAUCUCAUAAUCGAAAUAUGCAGCCAAACUUGAUUGUCUCCCAUGGACUCUAUUUCGGAUUGCAUGGCAUUCUGCCAUUUUUCGGAGUCUGGGUCCAUCAUUGCUUCUGCAUAUGUCACAGGCUCAUCAUUGUCCAACAAUAAUAUUUCCUGCAUUUCGCGGAGCCUUGCCGACCUUCGUGGUUGUGGCGGUGCUUCUCUUGCCAUGGGUAUCUCAACUUGUUCUGCUACGUUAGCAUCACUCAUUGAUUCUUGCCCGAUCGGCUCAUCUUGAACUUCUUCAAGAUGCACUGUCUUUCCACUCUUUUCUCCUUUGAGAAACUCUUUCUCUAGGAAAACCCCGUUCCGAGCGACAAACACUUUGCCUUCUGAUCAGUUGUAAAAAUAAUAUCCCAAAGUUUCCUUUGGAUAUCCCACGAAAAUGCACUUAUCCGACUUGGGUGCGAUCUUGUCCGACUGAAGUCGCUUGACAAACACAUCACAUCCCCAAAUCUUUAGAAAAGACAAACUAGGAACCUUUCCAGUCCAUAUCUCAUAUGGUGUCUUAACUACGGAUUUAGAUGGUACCCUAUUAAGUGUGAAAGCUGCUGUUUCUAGAGCGUAUCCCCAAAAUGACAACGGUAGGUCCGACUGGCUCAUCAUUGAUCGAACCAUGUCUAACAAAGAUCGAUUACGUCGCUCGGACACACCGUUUCUCUGAGGUGAUCCAGGCGGCGUAAGUUGUGGAACAAUUCCGCAACUCUUUAGAUGAUUGCUAAACUUGUGGCUCAAAUACUCGCCUCCACGAUCAGAUUGUAAGGCCUUAAUUUUCUUGACACGCUAAUUUUCAACUUCAUUCUGAAAAUCCUUGAACUUUUCAAAGGUUUCAGACUUGUGCCUCAUCAAGUAGACAUAGCCAUAUCUACUAAAAUCAUCAGUGAAAGAUAUGAAGUAUUGGAAUCCUCCUCUAGCCGUCGUGCUCAUUGGUCCGCAUACAUCACUAUGUACGAGUUCCAACAAGUCUACUGCUCUCUCAGGAAAUCCUGUGAAAGACGUCUUGGUCAUCUUGCCUAGCAAGCAAGCCUCACAUGUCUCGUAUGAUUCAAAAUCAAACGAAGUUAGAAGUCCAUCAGAAUGGAGCUUCUUCAUGCGUUUUUCACUUAUAUGACCCAAACGACAAUGCCACAAGUAGGUAGGACUCAAAUCAUUAGGCCGAGGCCUUUUAGCACUUACAUUACAGACAGGUGAACCAUCAAGAUUUAAAACAAAUAAUCCAUUCACAAUGGGUGCAAAAGCCAUAAACAUAUUAUUCUUAGAGAUCACACAACCAUUGUUUUCACUCGCAAAUGAAUAACCAUCCUUCAUCAAGCAUGAAGGAGACAAAAUGUUUCGACUUAAACUAGGAACAAAAUAACAAUUAUUCAACUCCAUAAUAAAUGCUGACGGGAGGUGGAGUUGCAUCGUCCCGACGGUCAACGCAGCAACUCUUGCAUUAUUGCCCACGCGGAAAUCAACUUCUCCUCUUUCCACGCUUCUACUUCUUAUCAUUCCCUGCAUCGAAUUGCAAAUAUGAGCAACCGAUCCGGUAUCAAAUACCCAAGAAUUAAUAAUUGUAUCAGCGAGAAAUAUGUUGUCUAUGACAUUAACAACAAGCGUACCUGAGGUAGAAGUACUCUUACUUCCUCCAUUCUUCAACGAAGCUAGGUACUGCUUGCAGUUUCUCUUCCAGUGACCAAGUUCAUGACAGUAAAAGCACUCUUUGUCUGGAGCAGGUCCAGGUCCAGCUUUAACCUUGGGCGCUCGCUGGGUUUGGCUUGGAAAUUCCAGCCUUGCCCUUCUUCUUCCAAGAAUUGCCCUUCUUCUUAAAGCUAGGCUUGUUCUGUAUAGCCAUCACAUGGCUAGUACAAGCGCUUUUCUUGAUGUCUACCUCUGCUGUCUUGAGCAUACCACACAGUUCAUUCAAACCCUUCUCCGUCCCAUGCAUAUGGUAGUUCGAGAUGAAGUUCCCAUAGCUAGGCGGAAGAGAUGAAAGAAUGAAGUCAGUGGCCAACUCUUUGCCCAUUGGGAAGCCCAGCUUCUCCAAUCGCUGAGUGUAACCAACCAUGUUGAUUACAUGUGGUCCUACUGCUGCGUCUUCUGCUAGCUUGCACUCCAGAAAAGCUUUGGACACAUUGAACCUUUCAGUCCUAGCCUGUGUCUGGAACAUGUCCUUGAGCGCCACGAUCAUAUCGUGUGCCUCAUGAUUUGUUUCGAACUGCAUCUGCAGCUCGGGUUCCAUGCAAGCAAGCAUAAGGCAGCUUACCUCAAGAUUAGCAUCAAAUGCCUUCUUGUAAGCAGCCUUAACGGCAGCAGAUGCAUCAUCAGCAGGUACUGGUGGUAGUGGGGUAUCUAGAACAUCUUCCUUUUUAUCGGCCCUGAGAACAAUUCUCAGGUUACGGAUCCAAUCCGAGUAGUUUGUUCCAUUCAACUUGUCCUUCUCAAGGACCGAGCGCAAAGCAAACGAUGUGGUGGUGUUGCUAGGUGCCAUUUAAUCUACAACAAAAGUAAUGCAAAAUACACUAAGACAAACGUAUCCAUGAUAGAGCAAAUUACAUUAAACUAUUUUAACAGAAUCUACUCCCACUAAAAUCAAUAUCCCUCUAUUGAAACUUAGUGAUUCAGGAUCCACAACUAACAAGUCUACUAGUGAGCUUUAGCAUCACCGCUAGCAAACGAGGUAGAUCGGUAAGCAACUUUUGCUAAUCAUAUCACAUAUGACUCCUGUUGUUGGGUGACAUCUCCAUGUCUCGGCGCCCAACCAUUAUGCCCCAAGGUCCUUAACCGUUAAGAUGACCUCGUUAAGCAAACCAACCCUUAUGCGUGUAAGUGUCCGACACAAACCCGUCUAGUCAAGGAAAACUAGUGGCACCCUAAUUUCAUAGACCCACCACUAAUUGUACAAGACAUGGGACGGUGCAAGUUUUAGUUGGGAGGGCAUACUAACUUAAAUUUUUUGUGAGGGAUCGUUCUACUUCUAACAUCACAGCAUGCAGAAAGUAAAACAUAAACAGAAUAGCAUUCACACAGCUGUGACACAGUAUGGCCCGUUUUUAUAUGGUGAUCUCCAUCUCCAUAGAACCUGUUCACCAUGGUGAUCUCCAUCUCCAUGUUCCAUGUGCGCCAUCCUCCUGGUGAGGAGUCCUCCAAGAACUAGAACAUGCUAUUACACCUAAUAGCUAGUAAAGAAUCUAGUAAUGAAGAUUACAUAGUUGCUUGGAUCAUCACAGAUUGGUACGCAGACCAUUAAAUACAAUAAAGUGACAACACAUAUGGCUCCUGCCGUGUUGCCGUACGCGCGACACGCAGGUCACGAAUGAGUUACACACAUGCAUCACAUACACAAGGGGGCCAUACUGAUCACAAGAUACAUACAUACAUCCUGCAAAACAGAGUUAGGCGUCCUAACGUUCCAAACUUCGAAGGCCCGAAACUCCAUCUUCCAAGCCGAAUUUGGGAAAUCUAAUUUUGCCGAAAACGGCAAAGCGGUUGAAUUUCAUGUGUAACUUUUUCUGUAGAUCAAUUUUCAUAUAAAAUUCGCCCCGAUCCGAGAUCGUACCGAAAAGUUACGGCUGAUUUACCGAAGCAUACGCAUACGGCAAAAAUUCCGACCCCGGCAGUAGAUCCCAUCUACUAUUGCACAUCUAAUGCGCCUGGCGUAUGAUCCUGGAUUUCGAUUCGACCAAUCAUAUUGAUCUUCGCUCACUGCAACUGGAAUUACGUGUAUCACUUAACUCGUCGGCGGCUCGUCGGCGGCUCAUCCAAGUGCUGCAGGCCCAACACCUCCAAGGUAUCCACACGUGCAGGGAGGAAGCGUCGCAAACCGGACUGCUAGAUCCGCGAGUUGCAAUAGGCGAGGGCGUGGGAGGCGCCGCAGGUGUGUUUCGCCAAAAAGAUGUAAACCCUAGGGCGCCCCCACCCCUCUAUUUAUAGAGGUUCCUGACGGGCCUCUGGAUCCGAGGCCCAUUAGUACUUCUAAACCUAAUCCAACUCGGAUCAGAUCCGAAUUGGGCUUCCAGCCCCUUAAGUGUGUGACCCUAUGGGUUCGGAUACGUAUAGACAUGGCCCGAGUACUCCUACUCGGCCCAAUAGUCGGUAGCGGCCUCUAGCAAGACGUGCCAACUCCUAUACACACACGAAGAUCAUAUCAGAUGAACCAUCACAACAUAAUAUACAUGCUAUUCCCUUUGCCUCACGAUAUUUGGUCUAGCUUCAAGCCGACCGCUCUUUCUCAAUCCUGUGAUUCGGAAUCCCUUUGUAGGUUAACUCUUAACCGUACGUAGCAUGGCCAUGCAUUUUCGGAUCCGAUCACUCGAGGGGCCCAGAGAUAUCACUCUCAAUCAGAGAGGGGCAAAUCCCAUCUUGAUUGACCAUGUCUCAUAGCAUGCUUCUUGACAAACCCGAAAACUACCUUUAUAACUACCCUGUUACGGCGUAGCAUUUGAUAGCCCCUAAGUAGGUCGAUCCACAUCUAGAAUACAUGCGACAAUCUCAGGUCUAAGGACAAAGCGUAUAUGUUGUUUAAAGAGAGAACUACUUCUCGUGUUGGGUCAGUCCCAGCACAUGUCUCCACAUGUGUCCACAUUAUUAGUUCAACAUCUCCAUGUCCAUGACUUGUGAAACAUAGUCAUCAACUAAUACAUGUGCUAGUCUAAUAUUCAUGUGUGUCCUCACAUGAACUCCGACUAGGGACAACUUUAGAAUAACCAUACAAGUAAAGAGUUUCACAUACAAUUCACAUAAUUGCAAAUCAAUUCAAGUAGCCUUCAAUGGAUAUUCAAUGAACACAACAUACAAAUCAUGGAUACAAAUGGAAUAUCAUCAUCUCUAUGAUUGCCUCUAGGGCAUACCUCCAACAAUUAUUUCAUGUAAAUUUUUGACAAUUUUUUAAAAUUGUUUGAUAUUUUUUAAAUUUUUUUUAAAAUAACUUUGCCGAGUGUCCUAUUGUAGACACUCGGCAAAGCAGCCUUCACCGAGUGUUACCCCUGGGACACUCGGCGAAUUAAUGCCCGGCCGCUCAAGAAUAUGUGCCCGGCCCCCUCACUCUCCCGGCCCCCCUCACUCUCACUCCCCUCACUCCCUCCUCUCUCCCUCCUCUCUCCCUCUCGCCGCCGCCCGAAACCCCCGCCGCCGCCCGCCGCCCGGCAUGCCGCCCAGCGCCCCCCGCCGCCGCCCGGCGCUCCCGAAUCCGCCGCCGCCCGCCCGGCGCCCGGCCCCCGGAUCCGCCGCCGCCGGCCGCCCGGCGCCCCCGGAUUCGCCGCCGCCCGCCCGGCCCCCGGCCCCCGGAUCAGCCGCCGCCCGCCGCCCGGCGCACGGCGCCCCCGGAUCCGCCGCCGCCUGCCCGGCGCCCGGCCCCUGGCCCCCUGAUCCGCCGCCGCCCGCCCGGAUCCGCCGCCGCCCGCCCGGCGCCCGGCCCCCGGCCCCCGGAUCCACCGCCGCCCCCCCGGCCCCCGGAUCCGCCGCCCGCCCGUCCCCUCCACCGGAUCCGCCGGCGCCGGGGCCUGAAGAGAAGAGAAGAGGAGAGGAUGGUGGCGGCGGCGGCCGCGGCGGCGGAGCAGGUGGCAGAGCAUGCAUGAUUUUUUUUUAUUUUUUCAAUAAUUGUUCGCCAAGUGUUUUCUGGGCACUCGGCAAAGUCUUUGCCGAGUGCCCGACACAAAACACUCGGCGAACCAGUGUUUGCCGUCAAGAUUUUUGCCGUGUGUCGUUUGCCGAGUGUUACACUCGGCAAACGCUUUGUCGAGUGUUUUUGGGGUUUCGCGGAGUGACCCUGGCACUCGGCAUCACGCAUGUUUCCCUUAGUGAACUUGAAAUUAUCUGUACAUUCUCGGUGAAGCUGUUGAACUAAUUUUUGCAAAUUAUUAAUUCAUCUCAUUACGCAAAGAAAAAAGUAAGUGGAUAAGAUAUUUCGUGGACCACAUCACUGCAAACAUGUCAUGGAGAGACAGACCAAGGAGGCAGGACGUGAUACACGACUUACCCUAGGUUGCCGUGGAACCGCCAAGAAGAGAUACAGAUACAUGGACCACACCAUCUUGGGAGUAGUGACAGCAUAUAUGCAGAAGAAUACCCCGUGCCUAUUUGCAUGCAUGUCUCAAGUGAUCUGUUUUCUUCAGAAAAUACAUGAGCAUUGCCAGAAAGAAUGGCAAGAGACAAACAUGUCAUAGAGACUUGCAUGUCUUGCCUUGGAUACGCCAAGAAGAGGGACACAUACAUGGAUAACACAAAUCUAGUGACACGUAUAUUCAUCACAAAGGCAAAUCUGAUAAUUUUAUCCAUGGAGCAGACCAAGGAGAAAUUGAUGACGGACAUGUGAUCUCUGUAUUCAGUUGAAAGCUAAUUGAGCUACACUAAUAUGAGCAGGACUAUAUUCAAGAGACUUGUUGAGAGCUACAGGGAACUUGUAAUAAUUUGCUGGGCGGCCUGCGCACAAUGAUUUGUUAUACAUAGUUGAAAUAUUUCAAGAAUUUAUCAACCUCAUACUCUGAAACCCUUGGUGCAAUGUACUCUGCUUUCCGAGGUAGACUGUUCACGUAAAAUGAGGUCAUGCGUAAGACGGAAUCGGAUUGGAUUCACAGGGAAUCAGAUUUGGAUAGCACCUUUUAGCAGGUUUUUAGUCAAAUGCAAAUUCGGAUCCACAUGUGGUUGAAUGCGAGUUCAAAAUUCUACUUGGAUAUCCAUUUAAUUUAGGUGAUAGCAAUUAGCACAAAAUGUUGGAUGAACAAAAUCAUAGUUAGACAUACAAUUACAUGUAUGGUUAAAGUAUAAUACAAUACACCAAGAUUAUUCCUUGAAAAUAUUUCUUAAAAAUAUUAUAAUAAAUGAAUAAAUAUAAUUGUGGCCACCAACAAAUAGUCGGUGGUCGCUAAGUUGGAGCCAUUUCUGGUUACUAAUGCGGCCUUCUCCUCGACCAGCGACGACAGCUGAGCUUGUUCCUUCUGACACUAAAUCAUCAGAGUCUUCCCUCCACUACUAUAGAAUGCACCUUUAGCACCAAUUGGGAAAUCCCCUUCAGUAUUGGAUGCUGCAACCAGUGCUAUAUAUCAAAAUGGAGACUAAAAGCCUCGGUCUUGGGUACCGGUUGCAUAACGCAUUACUAAAGGAGGCAAAAGAGAAAUGUAACAAAAAAAAUAUUUUGAAUUCCAAGAAUGUUUCACUAUUCAAGAUGACUAGCUGAGAGUCAACAGACAAGAUACUAGGAAUGUGGGUGCUUGAAUGCAUUUGUACAGAGGUCAUACUAUUUACAAACUCUUCUAUGUUUCCAUAUGACUACCUACUUCAAUGUCACGCGAGCCAUUCAGCUGGACACAUGGCACACUAGCUUGCAUGUCGAAUCCAUGAUUAAUUAUUUGCACUUGUGAUCUCUUACCAGUAUUUGUCCAGACUAGAAACGUGCAACACAUUUUUAGGAUAUGGACACGCAUAUAUUUGGACUAGUAUACAGGUCACCUUUGGAUGCGUACAAGGAUGACCGGGAGGGACUAAUGGAUACAAGGAAGGGACCAUCAGGAUUAAUAUUGACAUAUGCCACAUGACAAUCUUCAUUGUCAUGCAAUCCCUAUCAACAAUCAUGGAAUCCCUAGUGUACUAAUCCCUGGAGGGUUGUGUGGAAAUUUAUUUUACCUUGCGGUGAAAAUCUCAUGAGCAGUCAUUAGUUAAGCUGACUAGCUGAGAUAUAAUAGACAAGCUAGUAAGAUUGGGAGCAUCAAUGCAUCCAUACAGGGUCACAAUAUCCUUUCCAUUCACUUUUAUAUAUAACCCUACGAAUACAAGUCCAACGAAAUGCGGGCCUUUCGAUCAAGAUAAAUUAAAUGGCCCACUUGUAUUUCUAAUCCAGGAUUAACUAUGCCCUCUGUUCAUCUCUUGCAAGCACGUGCAACACAUUUUCACGAUAUGGACAUGCAUGGAGGUUAUUAUACUGUUUGGACAAACUCUGAUGUGCCAUGACCUAAAUGCUUAGGGCCUGUUUGGUUUGAGUUGCUUAUUAUAAGCAACUUAAAGUUGCUUAAAGUUGCUUAUUUGAAGUUGCUUAUUUUUAGUCUAAACUGUUUGGAUACCCUUGCUUAUGAGCAUUGAAUGAGUUGGACAUUGUCAAAUUUGCCCCAUGUGUUGCUACCCCUCCAAUUUGCCUCCCCACCCUUCUUCUUCCUGCACACGUCCGAUCCCGGGGGCCGACGGCGGGCAGGGAGCAGCAGCAGCUGGCCAGGGCGGCGGUGGGGCGGGAGCGGCGGCGCACACCAGCACGCGCUCGCACGCCAGGUGCUAGGGCGCGGCGAGGCAGUCGUCGUAGCCCACCGGGAGCGGGUGCUCGGGCGCGAGGCGGUACUCGACGGAGAUGCCGAGCGUCGGGCGCGCGGCGGCGAGCGCGUUGAGGAAGCGAUGGUAGUGCGGCGACGUCGCGGACUCCGCCACGAAGCCGCCGCCGUGGACGUACACCACCACGGGCAGCUUCGUCUUGCCGUCGGCGGCCGCGGCCGCGGCCUGGGGUGGCAGGUAGAGGCGGACGGAGCAGGAGCCGAGGUCGACGUCCCUGGAGUCGACGCCCGUGGCGGCGUCCAGGCUGGGCCCGACCGGCGGCGGCACGAGCGGGCGCUCGAUGCGGCCGCUCUUGUAAAUCCGACGGGUCUGUGCGGAGGCGGGCGGCGGGCGGGAGCGGCGGGUGGGAGCGGCGGCAGGUGGUGCGGAGGCCGGCGGCGGCGGGUGGCGCGGAGGAAGGGGAGCUGGUGAGUGGUGACAGGGGAGGGGGGGAGAGAGAGGGGGGGUAGGGUGCAUUGAAUGAGGGCAGGAGGUGUAAAGUGCACCUUUUAGUCCCCAUGAGCAACCAUAAGCAGCCCAAGAGUUGCUUAUUUGCUUAUAAUAAGCAACCUCAUAAGCAAGAGUGAUUGGUUUCAUAAGCAACUUAUUUGCUUAUUUUAAGUUGCUUAUGCAUAAGCAUGUGAAACCAAGCAGGUCCUUAACCUAUGGUUGUGGCACCACACAGUACAUAGUAUUUAAUAAUGCUAUUCGUUUGGUAUGUGCACAAGGGCACGCAUGAAAUGUCUGGCCCACGGUAAACAAGUACGGACGCUGCAAAUAAUCUACUCUGCUCGUCCAGUCCCUAGCCUAUAAAUAGAUGCCAUGCUAGCUCUUGUUGUGCUCACAAUUAAUCCUGACUACACACGAGCUUCUCUCCCUGGCCAAGACACAAUCAUAGUAUGAUGAAGAACAUGGCACUAGCCGGCAAUGGUAUGAAGAACUUAAUCCUCGCUGUUCUCUUACUGUGUCUAGUUAUAGGGCAGAUACAAGUGGAAGCUAAGAGCUGCUGCCCAUCCAUUACUGCAAGAAAUAUCUACAAUGCCUGCCGUAUCACGGGUACAUCCCGUCCAACGUGUGCAAAACUGUCAGGCUGCAAAAUUAUCAGCGGGGACAAAUGCAAGCCCCCUAACGACCACCUCACCCUUGACCCGGACACUGGUAAAUAAUAAAUUUAUCUCACUUGAUUUCUUCGUGUUUUGAGUCGUUAAUGUAUUUUCCAUCUGAUGAAACGUAUUGGUUUUGCAUUGAAGAGGAAGUUAAUGUGCUUAACUUCUGCAAGUUGGGGUGUGCGUCGUCUGUGUGCAACAACAUCAACGCUGGUAAGCACCUUUUGCUCAGACGGAGAAAACAAUAAUCAUUAAUUAGCGGCAGCUAGAAUCCUAUAAUCUAAUAUAUUUAUAUAUAUAUAUAAUUUUAUCAGCUCUGGGAAAUGAAGAGGCGAACGAUGCCGUUGAGAGUUGCGACCAAGCCUGCUCUAGCUUCUGCAACGUGCACGUUGGCGCUGCCACCGUGGUUGCUUAAGCAAAUGCAUCCAACUGGAUCGUCCUUGUGCUAAAUAAUUGGAUAUCGUAUCCACUUAAAGCUGCCUUGUGUAGUACGUUUUUGUUUGUGUCUCUCUUUAUAUUCCAAUAAGGUCGGUGAUCUUGAUGCCACACACUCAGACGUGUGUUCAUCUCCAGAUACUACUCCAUGCUACCUGCCCUUUGUGUUUUGUUCAAUAACUGGGUAUCAUAUCCCAGCCAGUGUGCCAUCUGUUUUGUGUUUAUUUCCUUCUAGUUUCAAAGGGGUUAUCAUGAUGUUACCUUCUUUCGAUAUGGUGCUUUGCAUGACUACUGUUGUAUGGUACCAUCUUGUUGGCCAAUAAAUACAUCUUAUCCUAUGACCCUUUGCUAUGACCCUUUGCAAAUAAGUACAAGAUUGUUAAAUACUCGGUAUAAAUUGACUACUGCUGUGAGUUCCCUUUCAGCUUAUCGUAGGCAUACAUUAUUGCUAGCACGGUGAAGACAACCAACACGAAUGGUCAAGUAAACGUACCGGUACUUUUGUAUACCAACACCCUUGCUUAAAUGUACCGGUGUUACUCCCCACUGGCACAUAUAUUCUUAUAUGCUAGCCGGCUUGAAAAUUAACCGAUUAAAAUAAUUAUUUCAAGACAGAAAUAACUUAUCGGCUUCUCGAAGCAUGUGUAAUGUGAAUUCAAGGACUCGAUGGAAGUUGAAUCGCUUCAUCUAGAUUGCUUUCAGGAUUUUGGGUAACUAAAUGUAACAUUUGCACAUACAAAUGUUAAUGUACAAAUAUUAAAUAUAGUUACCCAAGCAGAAUAUGAAGAUACUCUAUAGUAUAUAUAUACUAUAUAAAUCUAGUUAACAUUUAGUCUAAAUGUUAAAUCUAGUUACCUAAAAUCCUGAAAGCAAAAUGUAUAAAUAUAUAUCUUUUAAGGAAUCCCAAAGCAAGAGUUCAGUGGCAUUCUAUAGUCCCAUGCUGCUAGUUUGAGUUGGUCGAAGCCAACUUAAAUAGGAGAGCUCUCUCACUUCUCUAAAUACGUAACUGAAGGAGAGAAGGGGGCUUGGUUACACAACGCACGCACGCACGCAUAUUUGUGUUCUUUUCGCGUAACCAACCGCGUGACUUGAAACUUGCGACGUAGCGUGCUGCCAAGUCAAGUUGAUAUAACCUUUUUGCCGUUGGCGUGUAAUCUUUUGACAACGGUCAUUGGAGGUGAUAAGCACGCAGUCAAUACCUUAAUCCUGAGUUAAUAGGGCGGUUACUACUGCCAAUUAGUGGGGCAAUUUUGUAGGGGAAACGGUUAGCAGAGGGCUACCGUCUUCUCUAUAAGAAGUUCUGGAGACGUCCAGGAACACACAUGUACAUGUGAGAGACCCACGAAUUCCUUCCCAUCUCCCUUUUCCAUCUGGUGAAGUGUGCUGUGGUACUGAGCUGCUGGAUCUCGCCGGCUCUUCUCCUUGGCGUGCACCGAGGAGGAGGGUGAGCGGUAUCUCCGAGCUAUUGCCGUCAGGAAGCCUGCACGAGGGACAACAAUAAAGUUUUUGGGUAGCGCAACUGCGCAACCGCUCGAUUCGAUCGACUAUGUUCUGCGUUGCCUCAUCUUCGAUCUGCACUGCAACACGUAACCCUGCAGCAAGUCUACAUGAGGAUGGAGCACUAAUCUGUAAGUCCUAGAUUGGUUUCUUAUAGAGUUGUAGGUUACACAAGAUCUAGAAUUGUUACAUACUUAUUAUUCUGGGUUACAUGAUGUUUUGUACGGUUACGUCUAUUUUGCAUAUGCUAUUUUUACAUACCGUUUACAUGCAUAUGUAAUGGUUACGCCUAGCUAUUUGAAUCUAGAAUUGGGUUACAUAGCAGUAGCAAUGACUUACGUAAUAUGCCUCAUGUUUAUAUCUGGUAGAAUUUAACACGUAUCUCCAACAUAUUUUGAGGCAGUAUAAAUUUCAAUUCCUUUUGCUGCUCUUUUAAAUCCCGUCUUUCGUGUGGCCCAACACUCUAGUAUGCAUGUAGCACCAAGCUUGUUUGAGCCGCUUUGUGCUCUGAUUUUGCUGUCUGUAUCAGGUUGGACUGUUUCUUUGUCUUGCGAUGUAUAGCUUCAUAUCUUCUAGAGGUUAGACAGCAAAACCCGCGUUCUCUUAAGGCAACAACUCGAAGAAUCUGCAGCGCCCCUGAUAUAUCACUGCUGCAGAAACGAUCUUUAGUACUGAUCUCCAACCCCCUCUAGUAUCGGUUUGGCAAUCAGUACCACUACGUCGGUACUAAAGGGAGUUCUCUAGAAUCAGGUCAAAUAACUGGUACUAAAAGGGCUCCUUUACUACCAGUUGGUAACACCAAUAGGUAGUAACUUUUUUUGCACCCAAAAAAUUAAAGAAAAACAGCUGGGAGGCUCGCGCACACACGCAUCAUUAGUAAUAUGUGUGUGCAUGGUUUGUGGGAUUCCAAUCCACGACCAAGCUAUAAGCACGUAGUUACAAAAAAUUAAACACUUAGACAUUUUAGAGCAUCCCAAAUAACUACAAAUUCUAUAGUUUACCAUAUACCAUAAAAUAUUAGUUAAAAUAAGAGCAUACACAUGUCGGAAGAGUCCCAAUGCACCGGUUGAGGAUCAGACCAGGCACUUUGAAUGCACAUGCCAUAAGAUAAUUCUGCAGGACGAUGAUUGCAAUAAUGGACCAUCAAGAAGAUACGGGCGAUGGGUUUGCCUCAUCAAUUAUCACUUGGCGCAACAAGACCAGCAAAGUCUUUAUCGACAGGGGUGGAUCAACGGGUGGGGCGGGCAGAGCUCCAGUCCUCCUACCGCCACUCGAACAAUGGAGCCCCCCUUAGCCCCUCCAUAAAUUUUUAGGUAGAAGAAAAAAGAAGAGAAGGGAAGGAAGAGGAAGAAGAGGGAGCCCCUCCUAAGUAGGUCGCCAUCAUGCAUCCCAACGCAUGAUCGCCGCACCGCAUCCAUUCCUCUACAAGCCUCCAGUGUCUCUCCCGCCGCUACCUCUGAACCAUGUGCAGCUGCAGACCCAACUAGUGUCUUGUCGCCCAUCUCGGUCCCAAUAGAGCGGCGGCGGUUGCCAGCACAAAUCUCCCUCCACCUCUUCUUCAUGGUCGAUGGCCGCCACAAGCAUAAACCUCGCCUUCGCAUCCACGCAAAAGGGUCGCUGGGGUGCCUUCUUGCAUCGCUUCUCAGCCUCCUUCACUUGCGGCCAGCCAAGAACCGUGCCACCACCUCAGGUGCGCGCCACCGCUCCAGGGCUGCUACCCCAUGCCUGCGGCCGCCGCCAGCCACCACGCGUGUCGAACCGCGUCGCACCGCUUCCCUGCUCUGUGCCACCACUGCUGCUAUACCACCAGCUCCACCACAUUGGGCUGGUCGCCAGGGUGACUGAUUGGUGGAUUAUUACUCAAAAUAAGUUCCUUAUUAUUUGCAACUACUAUUAACUCGCGGAUACAUGCAUGUUUUGCUUCUCCUGCUAAUAUGUCCUAAAAUAUCUAGGAUACCUUAUAUUUCUAGACAGAGGAAGUAUUUGAAUAAAAUGAACCAAUUUAAAAAAAA
rnacentral:lncRNA from 1 species